rnacentral:lncRNA from 1 species
CAAUCCCUGCUGCCUCAAGACUUGAAACAAAACAAAUUGGAGGGCGAGUCAGAGGUCCAUUUCCAUUAAUCCAUCAAUGGAUAGAAUUCUGCUUGCAAACAGCAUGAUCAUUGCCUUUCAAGCAAGAGGUUAUCCCGAGCGCAUCUCCCUCUGCUCUUGAGAGUACUCUGGUUAAGUUGCCUGAAGAACUUUUGAAGGGUAAACCAAGUCUGGAUACUAACUUAAUUGCGGGAGUACCCCCGGCUGAAAUUCUGGCCAGAUGUGAGUUUUUGGAGCCAUUAUCUGAAGCUACUUUGUCAGAUUAUGAGUGGCUGGUUGCUAAUCUGCAAAAACCUGCUCCUGUCUUGAUGAAAAGGGUGCAACGUUACUUGUCAUCAUUAAUCUUUAGCUAAAGGUACAUUGAAAAGUUAAUGGCACUGCAUACCAGUCAUUAUAAUUGGGUCAGGGCAAUUAGGUCAGAGCAUAACUUCAUUAGGAAAAGAGGCUUCAGCUACGUUAAAUAUUACAGGAUGUACAGAGAUGGCUGAAGUUGUUGAGGUUUUACGAGAAACGAAAGAUGAGUGUUUGUUUGAACAAAGUUGUUGCCAAUCUUGCAGAGUUCGAGAAGAAAGAUCACAGAGCGAAUGCCACCGAUUUCUUCAUCAUUGUAGCCUCCAUAGUUGAAGUUUCCUCAUUUGAAGCUGUUUAUGCAUUAAGCUUAUUCCCUGCUCAAGUACAGGAAACUGAAGAAUUAACCAGACAUGAUAUGCUGAAAGAGGGAAGUUUUCUUCCUUGAAUGUGGCCUUGUGAUUUGUAGUGAAGUAAUAGGAUGAUCACUAGCAAGAACCCUAUCAAGGUAGACUUUAUAAUGUCAACAUAUUAUUAAGCAUUUGUCAAUUUAGCACUUUCGCAAUGAUACAUUCAUAGCAUGAAAUUAAUUAUAUGAUCCUGAUUAAUCAAUUAAUCUUCAUGAGAUUUAACCUAGUUAAAACUAAGUACAAUCAUCGUUAACAAAUACUGAAAUUGGGUAAAUAUGAUCUCGACAUUGAAGAAUUUGAAAACACAACCCACAGAGGAAAUUACUUAUUGCAUGGGGAUGGAGAUGGUUACUGCAGGGAUAUAGAAUAUGUGCAAGGUGUUGUCCACUGCUCGUUGGGUUAUGGUGUGACUUGCGAUUUCAAGGUUGCCCUGAAACAAUGGAAAAGAUUAACAUAUCCUCCAAUGAAUAAAAACGGCUUGACUAAUUCAAAUUACUCAGGAUCAGGUGGCAAUAAAACAGUCCAUUUACUUUUCCAGGAUCAGAUGUUGAUAAUAAUAGUUUAUUAAAUGAAAAAUCAUUGUUCUUGGGGGUUGGUUGUAUACGUCAUUACUACUUCAAGUAGAAGAAAAAGGUUGUGUAGGUGAUUUCAGAAAUAAAAUACAUUCUGAGAGAUGAUGGUCCACUAUUGCAUGCCCCCCAGAUUUAAUAAUCAUCACUUUUCCUUAAAAAACUGCUACGCUUUGAUUUUAGUGCUGAAUAUUUAUUGAACUCUGAUAGAGGGAGUUUGAAGUCAAACUCGUAAUUACAGGUUAUCUAAUUGCGAGUUGCUGUCCAUAGCUGUUGAUUUGUAGUGAUUAUUUAAUUGACUGAGGUAACAACAAUUUUUUUUUUAAUUUUCAGUAAAAUAAAUUCUCCUAGUUAAUUUGUUUCAAGUUAAAUUAUUAAUUACUUAAACUCUGUUUUAAGUCUUUAAUUUUAUGUCUUGGCGUAUAUGCAAAAUUGGAUUCUUGAGCGUGCUGGACACGACCAACAAUGAAAUUGACAGUAAAUAAACAUUACAACGUGUGGACUCCGGUAGCUACAAGUCUACAACUUCACAAAUAAUAAUUGAGUAAGCGCCUUUGAUUCUCGGGACCCUUCAAUGAAUUUCUAGUCCCGUUGACUCCGCCGACUAAAGUUCUGUUAAAAAAAAAAAUACAUAGAAUUCCACCAAAUGCAAAACGCGUGGAAUUUAAUUUUCGGCCAUGUGGACCGAAACAUAAUUUAACAAAAAAAGAAAAAAAAUGAUAAGAUUUCUAAAACGUGUGGAAGGUGAUCCAUAUUUUACUGAAACGACUUGUUAAAAUUUUCAAAGAUUUAGAAUAUUUGGUUAUAAAUUACGCUCAUGUUAAUUUUUCUGCCAUUGACUAUCAUAUUCUAGACUUAAUGGUACCUUUCUUGAUGAAGGGUACUUAGUCUCUCUUCUCGUCUUAUAAAAAUUAUAUUAAUUGAUUUCUUGUUAUAAUUAAUAGUCUUUAGGAACGGAUAACUUUAUUGUUUUCAUGACCAAAUUAUGCCUCCUAAGCUUGCGACUAUUAAUAAAAUUAAUAUUUAAUAUUUAUGUUAAAAGAUAUAAGAUUUUAUGCAUUCAUUAAUUGUUAUUAGCUAAAUGAUGAAUUAUUUUUUAAACCCAAUCAGUUGAUGCAUCUGCAAGAGUUUUUUCUUUUAUUGACCAUAAUUAUAUUCCGGGUACAAUAAAUUGUCAUUGGUGCUUGGAAAAUAUGACUUCUUACUUCAAGUUUGAUAUGUCUCUCUCCAUAAGCUUACUGGAAAUAUAUCCUCAUCUACUGUCAUUUAUCUAAUAUCAAUUGAAAGAUCUCACUUUUUCAAACUAUCACUUCCAAGUCUCAUUGUCACUUAGCCAUUCUUGGACCAUUCAAAACCAAUCUGUUGAAAUAAUCAAAUAUAUGCAAAAUUAGAGUCACGAUUGUUGGUCCCCCAAAUUCUAAUUAUAUAUCUUCUAUAUAUCUCAUUGUCAGGUCACGAACUUGUUGGCAUAUUUUCCAAAUUCCUCUUCCAUCAGCUCUCACAUGUUAACUUGAGUGGAAAGUUUCCAAGUUGAUUGCUAGAAAGCAACGCAAAAUCAGACACACUUGAUCUAUCCCCUAAUUCUCGUUUCUACGUUGAAAAAGAAAGUAUAUAUAUAUAUCUAUGUAAAAAUAAAUAAUAAACUGAGUAAAAGUACAUUUGUUUAAUUAACAUCUGAUCGGGGCAUUUUUGGUGUAAUUUCGUGCCGUGUAAGCCACAACUAAAAUCAAACAGCCCCUUAGCAUACUUCUUCCAUAUUAUCUGCUACUUUUGUGGAUCUUAUAGGGUGGGCAUGUGGACAGAAUUUAAAAGUUUUAAUAGUCUCAAAGAAUAAGAUAUGUUAAAGCUAAAGUUGUUGCACCUUCUAAUUAAAUAAAGUUGCAUAAUUUCACCAACUUGAAAGAAUUGACAUUAAUGGACUGGUCCCCUCUCCAUAUAUGAAGCCUUCUUAAAAGUUAAUUUUUAUUUCAGAAAAAAAAAGUUUAAGUUACAUAUAUUACAGUAAGAUUUUUUGAGACCAAUUCCCUUCUUCAAAUGAUAAUGGAAAAGUAUUAAUUUAAAAAUAGCAUGAAUAUGUAUUGAUUAUAUCUUGAUUUUCAUCAAUUAUAGUCAGAGUUUCUCCAAAUCAAUUCCCUUAUUCAAAUAAUACAGAAAAUAAUUUAAUAGUAAAAUAAAUAGGUGUUGAUUAUAUAUCCUAAGUUUCAUCGAUUAUGUGAUCAAAGUGGCAUUGUUGAUUUAUUUCUUGUUCAAUGUUAAUUAAUUUUAGGGGAAUAUUCGGCCAACCUCUGUAAUUUCAGAGUGAUCAUUAAUUAAUUAAACGAUACAAAUAUCUAAAGUGAUUAGAUGUUUGCUGACAAUACAAGUUCAUGGCUUGAAAUUUGAUCUCUAUCGAUUGGUUUACAAAUGGACGCACUUGUGCCUUUGUGGCGAUAAUUGAACAGAGAUGUGAAGUUGUAAAGAUUUGGCAGUAGUAAAUUGUUAUAAAGACAUAAUGACAAGUUCCCAUGAUUAGUAUUUUUUUCCAAAAACUUUGUUACAACAAAUUCAUCUCGCCCAAAAAUUCUAUUUUGCUAACUAACAAUAAUUGAGCACUUGGCCGCAUUGACUCCACGUCUCCACCUACUUUGUAAGUAAAAACAUGGAAAUGUAAUCUCCACAAAAUGCCAAACGUGUGGAAUUUAAUUUUUGGCCUUGUGAAUCAAAAUGCAAAUGAAAGAAAAAGAGAGAAAAAAACAAGGCCCAAAGACUACGAAAAGAUAUAAAAGUCUUUGGGCCUUUUUAUAACGGCGAAUUUUUUAAAAGGCAAAAAUAACAACACUUCUAUGGUUUGUUUUGAUAAUCACAUUUACAUAUACUCUCUAAUUUUCAAAAUGGACACAUAAAUCUUUUUUUUUUCUACAAAUGUAUAUUAUUCGUAUUUUUUAUUAUUUUUAAUAUCAUAUUGUUAUUUAUUAUAAAUGUUUAAAGUAAAUUUUUAGGUUAAAAUAUAAUAAAAGGGUAUAAUCGUUCUCUUAUUAAACACCCAUACUUUUAGUUUCUAUCCAUUUGUCAUCUCAAUCUCUCUCAAUUAUUCUUUAUUGCUAGCUCAAAACGCGUUGCUGUUGCAAAUUAUAGCAAAAAGACAAAUAUGGAAAAGAAAAAAGGGAAGAAAAUUAGUGCAUGAAAGACUUGGAGAAAACAACGAAGUAAGUCAACUAUAAUCUAGCUGGGUGUAUAAAUUGUUUGAUGCUUUAUAAGCAAAUAACAAACAGAGACAGACAGUGUGUGUUCGUUUUUUCAUAGUUAAAGAUAUAGUUAGAAUGGGUGGUUCAAAAUCAAAAAUGGCGAUAAUGUUUGUUAUGUUAUUAAUAAUAUUUAAAAGUGGGUGGAGUGAGGGAUGUUUGGAUCACGAGAGAUUUGCUCUUUUGCGACUGCAACAUUUCUUCAAUGAUCCUCGUAAUUCUCUUUACAACUGGGUCGAUGAUGAGGGAGCUACUGAUUGUUGUCAGUGGGAAAGGGUUGAGUGCAGCAACACCACAGGCCGAGUGAUAGCGCUAGACCUUUUUGAAAUGUAUUCGGGAGAGUACAGCUGGUAUCUGAAUGCUUCUUUGUUUACUCCCUUCCAACAACUUGAGUCACUUGAUUUAACUGCCAACAAAAUAGCCGGUUGUGUUGAGAAUGAAGGUGCUUCGUUUAAUUUAAUUAAUUUACUUUCUCCCCCCUAAUUUAAGUUGAAUAUCAAGACCGAGCAACUAUACGCAUAUUCAUUUAGUCGACAAUUUUGACUUUUUUUUAAGUGAUUAAUUAAUUUUAAAAUUACACCAAUAUCUAUGAUCUUUUUUUUUUUUAAUUUUGCUUGCAGGUCUAGAGAGGCUAUCAAGAUUGAACAACUUGAAGAUGCUUAAUUUAAGUGAAAACUCUUUGAACAAUAGCAUUUUAUCAUCUCUAACUCAUCUUUCAUCAUUAAGCUCAUUAAAUUUAUUUUUAAAUAGAUUGGAAGGAAGUAUUGACUUUAAAGGUACAUAAUUAAAACUUCAUCCCUUCUCCAAGCUCUUUCAUUAACUUGCUAAAAUAAGACUCAAGGCUUUGAAUUCAAUUUUUUUUAUGAUUAGUAUUAAAAAAAACAGUUUUAAGCAAUUUAUAAAUACAAGUUUUAAUGGUUAUCGUAAUUUCAUCUUGUAAUUUCAUAUGUCUUGAAUUUAAGAUUAAAAAAAACUCUAAUAGCGAACCAAACACCUCCACAACUUAUUAUUAUUAUUAUUAUUAUUAUUAUUUGUGGUGAGGUUGGAAACAUUCAACUUAAUUUGUACUUAUUACAGAAUUUGAUUCUUUGAGAGAUUUAGAGGAGCUAGACAUUGGCGGGAACAAGAUUGACAAAUUUGUGGUCUCAAAAGGUACUACAAAUACCACAAAAAAUGUAAACUUUUACAAAUUAGCUGGAUUCUUUGCCAUUUGGUUUAUUAUUUUACAGGUUUGAGUAAGUUGAAGUCUCUUGAUUUAAGUGGUAUCAAACUCAACCGUAGUAUCUUAUCUUCUCUAACUGUCUUUUCUUCAUUAAGAGAAUUACAUCUACGUAAUAUCAUAUUCAAAGGAACAUUUGAUGUUCGAGGUAAGCCUAAGCCUUGCUUUCUCAUUUUCUAUAUGCCAACUAGAUUUGUGUAUCAUCGGCAUAAUUUAAUAUUUAAUUUGAUAAGUCUGAAGGAAUUACAUGCUAAUUUAAACAUACUUUUAUUUACUUUGUCAAUUAAUUAAUUAAUUAAUUACUAUUUGACAUUGGACGGUUCCUCUCUCCAUAUAAGCCUUCUGCAAAGCAUUGCAUCAUUCACUUCGUUAAAAAAUCUGUCGAUGUCUGAUUGUGAAGUCAAUGGUGUCCUACGUGGUCAAGGUAAAAGAAAAGUGUUGAUUGUGAAUAAGCUGUUAAUUAAUUAAUGUUGUUGCUCCUUGCUUCUAAACAGAGUUGCGCAAUUUCACCAACUUGGAAUAUUUGAAUUGGAUUCUUCCUCGCUCCAUAUAAGCCUUCUACAAUUGCUUGAACAAUUUAUUUAUUUAUUUAUUUAUUAUUAUUGUUGUUGUUGUUGUUGUUGAAGUGGGGUGGGCAAGCGUUCACUCAGUUAAUAUGUGGGGAAUUAAAUAUUACAAUCCAAGGUAGAAUUGUGGAAAAUUAAAGCUAAAUGAGAAAUAUGGAAAGAAAGGAAGAAAGUUAAGGGCAUGAAAGACUGGGAGAAUACUAAAAACCACCAAAUAAGUCAACUGAAAACUAGCUGAGGCCUGGGUGUACAAAUUGUUAGAUGUGUUUGUUAUAAAUAACAUAGAGCCAUCUUGUUGGUUGCAGAGGCAGAGAGACAGAGAGUGUGCAUUUUGUCCAGUUAAAAAUGAUAAAAUUUAUCAUUUGUUUAUAUUGAUUUAUUAACUCUAUUUUAAGUCUUAAGUCUUGGCGUCUUGGCAUGUUUGCAGAAUUUGAUUCCUUGAGCAACUUAGAGGAGUUGGACAUGAGCGGCAAUGAAAUAGACAAUUUCGAGGUUCCUCAAGGUACACAAUUAAAAUAUUAUUUAAUUACAUUAAUUUAAUUCGUUUGAUUAGGGAAGGCCCAAAAUGUACAAAAACAUAAUUAGAAAAAAUAAAGAAACAGAGAAUUCAUAUUAUUUCAAAUAACAAAAGGUAAUACUAUUAUUUCAAAAACAGAUUGUAAUAAAGAUUUGAUUCCAAUUCUUUAAUCUUUACAGUGAUUGAAAAACGAUACUACUUCCCAAAGCAUAAAAUACGAAUUGACUCUCAAUUAAAUUAAUCAUUUAUUUCGUUUAGGUCUAAAUUUAGAAAAAUGAAUUUUGAUUCUCUUGAAUCAUUUCCUAAUUAUUAUUAUUCAACAGGUUACAGAGGUUUGAGGAAGCUGAAAAGCCUGCAUCUAUCGGGAGUUGGAAUUAGAGAUGGAAGCAAGUUGUUACAGUCAAUGGGAUCAUUUCCAUCCCUCAACGCUCUUUACCUGAGCAAUAAUAAUUUUACCGGUACAACGUCAACUACUCAAGGUAAGUAAAAGGUACAGAUGUGGCCAAAUUUAUAAAUAAACUGUUAAUUAAUUAAUUUUCUGUAUUAUUAAUAAAGCUAAAUUUUUUGCUCAUUCCUUCUAAUUCUAAACAGAGUUGCACAAUUUCACCAACUUGGAAUAUUUGACAUUGGACGAUUCCUCUCUCCAUAUAAGCCUUCUGCAAAGCAUUGCAUCAAUAUUCCCUUCGUUGAAAAAACUGUCGAUGUCUUAUUGUGAAGUCAAUGGUGUCGUACAUGGUCAAGGUAAAAGAAAAGUGUUGGUUGUGCACUCACUCAGUGGUGUCCUACGUGUUCAAUAUUUUUAUUUAUUUAUUUUAUUGUUUAAUGAGAUGCUUCCACCCUCCCCUUUAAAUCUAUAAUAUUAAUUUUCGAUUAAUAUAUAAUUAUAGAAACCAAUCACUUAUAAAAGAAUGCUAUGCAUUUGCCAAUUUUUUUAUAUUUUACUGAUUGAUGAAUUAAUAAAUUUUCAGGCCUCUGUUCGUUGGUGCAUCUACAAGAGUUGUACAUUGCAACUCUUGUAGUAAUUAAUUAAUUAAGUAUUAGUUAAUUAAUUAAUUAAUUAAUUUUCUGUAUUAUUAAUAAAGCUAAUUUUUUUGCUCAUUCCUUCUAAUUCUGAACAGAGUUGCACAAUUUCACCAACUUGGAAUAUUUGGCAUUGGACUCUUCCUCUCUCCAUAUAAGCCUUCUGCAAAGCAUUGCAUCAUUAUUCCCUUCAUUAAAAAAUCUGUCGAUGUCUAGUUGUGAAGUCAAUGGUGUCGUACGCAGUCAAGGUAAAAGAAAAGGGUUGAAUGUGAACUCACUCAAUGGUGUCCUACGUGUUCAACAUUUUUAUUUAUUUAUUUUAUUGUUUAAUCUUUCUGCUAGGUUUUCCUCAUUUCAAGAGUUUGGAACAUUUUGACAUGGAUUUCACGCGCAUUGCACUCAACACUAGCUUUAUUGCACUCAACACUAGCUUUCUUCAAAUCAUCAGUGAAUCGAUGCCUUCUCUUAAGUACUUAUCACUAUCAUAUUAUACUCUUGGAACUAAUAGCAGCGGGACUCUUGAUCAAGGUUAACGAGAUGCUCCCACCCUCCCCUCCUAAUCUAUAAUAUUAAUUUUUUAUUUAAUAUAAUUACACAAACGAAUCACUUAUAAAAGAAUGAUAUGCAUUUGUUAAUUUUUUUAUUGUACUGAUGGAUGAAUUAAUAAAUUUUCAGGCCUCUGUUCGUUGGUGCAUCUACAAGAGUUGUACAUUGCAAGCAAUGAUUUAAGAGGUAGCUUGCCUUGGUGCAUGGCAAAUAUGACAUCCCUCAGAAUAUUAGAUGUUUCUUCUAAUCAACUUACUGGAAGCAUCUCCUCAUCUCCCCUCGUUCAUUUGACAUCCAUUGAAGAGCUGAUGCUUUCAAACAAUUACUUCCAGAUCCCAAUUUCACUUGAACCACUUUUCAAUUACUCAAGACUCAAGAUUUUCAAUGCUGAGAACAACGAAAUAAAAGCUGAAAUAACUGAGUCACAUUCUUUGAUCGCCCCAAAAUUCCAAUUAAAUACUCUCUCAUUGUCUUCCAAUUACGGAGACGGUUUCAUAUUCCCCAAAUUCCUUUACCAUCAACAUGACCUGGAGUAUGUUGAUCUCUCACACAUAAAGAUGAAUGGAGAAUUUCCAAAUUGGUUGUUGGAAAACAACACAAAAUUAGAAACUCUUUUUCUGGUUAAUGAUUCUCUUGCAGGACCUUUUCGGUUGCCAAUUCAUUCACACAAGCGGUUAAGACAGUUGGAUGUCUCCAACAACAACAUUCGAGGCCACAUUCCAGUAAAAAUUGGAGAUGUUUUACCAAGUUUAUACGUUUUCAACAAUUCCAUGAAUGCUUUAGACGGUAGCAUUCCCUCUUCAUUUGGUAAUAUGAAAUUCCUCCAAAUUCUGGACUUAUCCAACAAUCACUUGACUGGUGAAAUCCCCGAGCACUUGGCCGUGGGUUGCGUCAACUUGCAGUUUCUUGCAUUAUCAAAUAACAACCUACAAGGUCAUUUGUUCUCUAGAAAUUUUAACUUGACAAACUUGCAAUGGUUACAAUUGGAGGGCAAUCGCUUCGUAGGUGAGAUCCCACAAAGUUUGUCUAAAUGCUCCUCACUAGAAGGAUUGUACCUUAACAAUAAUAGUCUUUUAGGUAAGAUUCCACGAUGGUUGGGUAAUCUGACACGGUUACAAUAUAUUAUAAUGCCCAAUAAUCAUCUUGAAGGCCCUAUUCCAGUGGAGUUUUGCCAGCUUGAUUCGCUUCAGAUUUUGGACAUUUCAGACAACAACAUAUCUGGAAGUUUACCAUCUUGUUUCCAUCCUCUCUCUAUCAAACAAGUUCAUCUUUCAAAAAAUAUGUUACAUGGACAGCUAAAAAGAGGUACAUUCUUUAAUUGCUCUUCCCUUGUGACAUUAGAUCUUAGCUAUAACCGCUUGAAUGGCAGCAUUCCGGAUUGGGUUGAUGGGCUUUCUCAGUUAAGCCACCUUAUCUUAGGUCACAAUAAUCUUGAAGGUGAAGUGUCAGUUCAAUUGUGCGAAUUGAACCAACUACAAUUGUUAGAUCUUUCUAAUAAUAAUCUUCACGGUCCUAUUCCUCCUUGCUUUGAUAACACCACACUUCAUGAAAGUUACAGCAAUAGUUCUAGUCCUGAUGAGCAAUUUGAAAUAUUUUUUUCCAUCGAAGGCCAUCAGGGAUUUUUAGAAAAGCAAAACCAUGAAAUUUUUGAGUUCACAACAAAGAACAUUGCGUACAUUUACCAAGGAAAAGUGCUUAGCCUCCUAUCAGGACUUGAUCUUUCUUGCAACAAGCUAAUUGGUCAUAUUCCUCCUCAAAUUGGAAAUUUGACAAGGAUUCAAACAUUGAAUCUCUCGCACAAUAACUUGACAGGAUCGAUCCCAUCAACAUUUUCAAACUUGAAGCAUGUCGAAAGUUUGGAUCUUUCCAACAACAAAUUGAAUGGGAAAAUCCCUCAUCAACUAGUGGAGUUAAAGACAUUGGAGGUUUUCAAUGUGGCAUACAAUAACUUAUCAGGCGAAAUUCCAGAAUGGAAAGCACAAUUUGCAACCUUCAACGAGAGUAGCUAUGAGGGAAAUACUUUUCUUUGUGGACUGCCAUUGCCCAUUUGCAGAUCACCAGCAACUAUGCCGGAGGCUUCAAUUGGCAAUGAACAAGAUGAUAAUUUAAUUGAUAUGGACAGUUUCUUUAUCACAUUUACAACAUCGUACGUAAUUGUGAUAUUCGGAAUUGUUAUUGUUUUAUAUGUAAAUUCUUAUUGGCGACGUAGAUGGUUUUACUUUGUUGAAAUGUGGAUAACUUAAUGUUACUAUUUUGUUGUAAACAAUCUUAUUGCAACAAGAUAUUGUCAUUGAAAUUAAUUAGCAGUUUAAUUACGAUUCUUUAAGUUCUAAUCAAGUUUGCUUAGGAAAUAAUUUUUUUUUUAUUUUUUUAUUAAAAUUGUAGUAGUAUUUAGCGCUAUAUAGCUUCCAACUUGGUAGAAAGCUCCAUUUUUUGUUGGCUACAGUAAAAGCAUGUUGUUUUAUUCUUCUUAUACUUUACGCCUGCAUCAGCUUAAAUCACUUCUUAAACGCUUGCUUUAACUGCACCGCUUCGUACUGCUCUAUAUAUGUAACGGUUAUGCGGUUGUAGCUCACGGCUCAAGCUACGCGUUUGUUUGACGUGGUAGUUACGUUAUGAUGUUUCGAGUCUGUUAAACAUUCGGUGAUAAGAUUAGUUACAACAAACCUACUAGUUUUAUAAAAUUCAAGUGAGAUGGAAUAAAAUAAAAAAUAAAUAUAAAAUUGGCUUUUAUUUUUUAGGUUAACCAUAUUUUGUGUUCUCUUCGGGCACUACUACAAUUGUUCCCUAUACAUCAGUUACACUCACGUAUCAUCGACACGAAAAAUGAAAUCUAAUAUCACCUGUUUAGUUAAAGAAUCACUCAUGAAAAAAAAUUACCAUUUUGAUUUGAAGAUCCAUAUUUUGAACUACCAAUUAAUGUUCAUCAAGAACAGAGUGUGGCCGUUAAGUAGAAAAACUAUUUUUGGACAAAUUAUUAAAUUCCAAUAUUGUAUCCAUAUGCAAACGAUGCCUGAAGCAGAGCCUCCAAACAAUGACCAGGGCACAAAACAAGAGUGUAGUAAUCAAGUGUAUUGUCUCAUAAUCAAUUAAAAGCAGAUAUACAGGAUACCAUAUUCAAUUCCAAAAUAACAAAAGCAUAAUGAGGAUGAGAAGAACAAUGAUCACUCAAAUAUUUCUUCACUUUGGUUGUCAAUUAUCUAUUCAAAUUAAUCAGUGUCAUUAUGGACUUAUUUAUUUAGAAGAGCGGGUGAUAAAUAUAUUCAAUAAUGUGAACAAGAAGUUGAUUAACUUUUAUGAUCAUUUGGAAGGUCGGCGUGUCAUCACUCGUCAAACACAUUGCAUCGAUCCACCAGCAUGAACCGACCGGAUUAUGCCCAAAAGUUGAAAUAUCAAUAAAAAAAACAAUUAAUUAAAGGUCGAAGAUGGGUCCUUUACAUAUGUUUUUGUUUUCGUAUUAGGUAGGAGGUUAUUAUAUUAUAUCAUGUAAUUAAUUUAUUAUUACUCAACACUAAGUAAUAACUUAACUAUAUAAAGACAACAAGAAGAUAAAAUGAUAUAUAAAAAAAAAAAGAAUUUCAAAGAGAUAGCAACAUACAAUAGACUGAAGCCAUUUGAUCUGCUCAUUGAUUUCAGCCUUAAACUUGUAAAUAGUUACUGUCAAAUAUUCUAUUCAUACGAAAAAAAUGUUUAGAUAUCUUACUAUAAAUAUAGCCGUUUGACUGUCUUAAUAAAGUCACACACAACCAUUCUUAUUAAAUUAGCAAGAUCAAACACUGCCCUGGAUCUUGAACAGAUCAACACAAGAUGCACAACUUAUGAUUGAACCCAGAAACAAUCAAAUCUUUAGCAAGAACAAUUAAUCAGAGUCAAGAAACAAGUUUAAUGAAUAUAAACCUAUAAUUGAAACAAACAUAGCCAAGAAAAAAAUACAGAUUUUACACGGUUCAGUUGUACCUAGGAUGGCACAACCUACACCACGAGAGAAGCUUUCUGGUGAGAUUUUAUUGAUGAUCAAAGAAGAAUCUUUUGACAAAGCUAAUAAUAGAGAUUUCAGAGAAUAAGCUGUAACCCUCUCUCCCUCUUCAAUCUCUCUCUAUUUUGUUCCCAUUGAUGACCCCAAUCUGCUUAGUUAUCCAGCUUUAUAGCUGCAUCAGUAACAAACCAGCAAACCCAGAUUGAGCAGAUUGACGACACGUGGAUAACGGCUUUAACGAACCUGGUUAAGAACUGCUCACAUGUUCGUCACGCGUGCUGCUUAAAUGAUGGCCAAAACGACUUCAAACAAAUGUCGUUUUGAGGCUUAUGAAUUACAAGUGAUAACACGAGCUUGUCUCAUGACUUUUAAAUGCAACAACGUGCCCACAACGCCGUCGUUUUACUCUGUUGAGUUUGAUUCAUUACUAAGCUUUACGACUGGCAAUGGAGAAGAUGAUAAUUUAAUUGACACGGACAGUUUUUAUAUCACUUUUACAACAUCCUAUGCAAUUGUAAUAUUGGGAAUUAUUGAUGUUUUAUUCUGUGAAUCCUCAUUGGCAAAAACUAGUGGUUUUAUCUUUGUUGAAAUAUAGAUGACCUCUCGUUACUGUUUUAUUAUAAACAUAUAGUUUCGUAAGUGAAACUAUAUGUUUAUAAUAAAAUUAACAUAUAGUUUUGUUACAUUUCUGCCUCAUUAAGAUUCUCAAAUACCAGUCAGGUUUGCUUAAGAAAUAAAUUUUUUCCAUUAAAAUUGCAGUAGUAUUUCCAAGCAUAUCGCAUUUUCUAUGAGUUUUCAUAAAUUAAUUAAUCUGCGGUGCCAAUAUCAGAUUUAGUUUUUCAAACUAAAUAAUCAAGAAAGCAAACAUACAAAUAUACAGUUUAGAGGGGUAAACUAGGUAGGUGGUUUAGAUUUUAGAACUAAGCCAGCUACCUCGCUAAAUUCCGAUUCGUACAGUGAACUGCAAGAAACUGAGAAAACAAUGUAUUUAUAAUUUAAUAGAAUCAUAAGAAAACAAUGCAGUCAUUGCUCAAUAUAAGAUGAUGAUUUCGGAGAGGCACAUUGUUUUCAAGUUAAUUUGAUCCGUUUAUAAGAGAUGAAGUGGAAUGAAGUUGAAAGUUUAAAUAACAAAUCCUUGUUCUUGAGUUUUACGACGUCGUUACUCCUUCAAGUGGCAGAUUAUGCAAGUGAAUGCAGAAACACAAUGCAUCAUCCGCGGGGAUGAUACAUCAAAAGGCGGGAUUUGUUUAUGCCUGCAGAUUAGCAAUUUCACUCAUAUAGAAAAUUAAUUUUUUAUAUAUACUAAUCAACACUAAAUUGAUUAUGUGUUGUAUGUUUAUAUGCUAAUCAACACGAAAUUAUAUUGAAUUAUUAACAUUCAUAUUCCUAAUAAAAAUUAUUUUCCAUCAGUAUUCAAAAUUUUCACUUAUAGAAAAUGCGUUUUACGUGAAUACUAGUUAUUGUGUAAAUUUGAAUGAUAGCGAAAAAUAAACCUAUUUGAAAACUGUAAGGGUGUGUUGGGAUAUUUUACAACUGUCGGAAUCUGGUAGGAUAUUGCACCAUUUGCCCAAUAUUUUUAGACGUACUCCAACCGGUAUUCAAGAUAAGUAAAAUUUACAAGCGUGGCAAAAUAAAAAAAAAUUAAAUUCGUAACUUGUAAACGAAUUUUCCUGACAUGUAUAGUAAAUGAAGUUGUUGAUCCUUUCUUUGGAUUAUUUCAGCUCUGGUUGUUGGUCACCGAUGAGCCGAAGUCUUAUUUUAAUUUUAUUUAAACUCAUCAUAAGAUUCGUGGAGCACCUAACUAACUUAACUGACUGCGCAGAUCAUCUCAACAUGGCAUAUUUAACCAUCAUUCAAGUGAUGGGUUUAAUAAGACUGCUUUUGUUCUAUCAACUAUCAAGUUCCUCUGCCUCUAAGCAGAAUUACUAUUGAAGGGCCAAAAGGAAAAUGAAAACGUGUGAGCUCCAACAACCACCCCACAAAUUCAAUGACGAUGCUCGGAGAGGGUUAGGUUGGGCCUCUGAGAAAAAAAAAAAUUAUUUUGUUAAAAAGUUACCCUUAUUGAAACCUGUAUAAACAUUUUAUAUUAAUUAGUUAUGUCGCCUCUUCAACGAUGAUCAAAUUCUUAUCUGAGCUCAUCAUUUAAUGAGUAAACAUGUAUUUUAAUGAUCUCAAUUAAUAUUUAGAACAAAUAUUUUAAGAAGUAAAGCUCAUUAUAUCUUCCAUUAUUAUGUAUUUCUUUAAUUUCUUAUUUACAUAAUUAUAUUGUACAUUAAAAAUGUAUUGAAUUUGAAGAAAAAAAAAUUCAACUCAAAAAAAAAAAAUGCUGGUAGCUUCGUAAUAAUUACUGUAUUGACUGCACCAGAUAAAGUUUUGUAAAAUAAUAAGUUCUCAUAAGUGGUUUUUCAUUUUUAAUUUUCUUUUCCGGCACACCUGAUCAAGAAUUCUAUUUUGUUAACUAAUCAAUUGCAAAGCAUAAGUGUUGAACGGUACAAAAAAUUUAAAAAAAAUACACUUAAAACGUGGGGUGGGUAACGGCUCACUCAAAUCGUUAGGUAGAAUUGUGGAAAACUAAAGCGAAAUGAGAAAUAUAGAAAGAAAGGAAGAGGUGAUGUUUUUCUAUGAAUUUCUAUGGGUAACGGCUCACUCAUCCUUCUAUGAAUUUCUAGCUGUAUUGACCCCAACUGCUAAAGUUUUGUAAAAUAAAAAUAAAAAUAAAAAACUGGAAUUUCAACAAAAUUCAAAACGUUUGAAAUUUAAUUUUUGGCCAUGUGGAACAAAAUGUAAAUUAAGUAAAAAAUAUAAAUCUCAAUUGCUUAGUAUGGUUAGGAUUUUGUGAGCAUCACUAAAAAGUGAAAACUAUGAAUGAUAGAGGUGAUGUUUGCAACAUGAAUAAAUGAUGAACUGAAUCAAUUGAUGAUCGUAAUUACAUAAUGAACAAAAUUUACAAAAUCAACAAAAGUUAAUAAAAAAUUAUUUUAAUAAUAAAAAAUCAAUAAAACUUAUUAUUUAAGGGCGCUCUAACCAUGGAAUACCAUAAUCAUAAUCUUCUUUUAAGAAAAUUAUAACUUAUUAUUUUACAGGAUUGAUCCAUUUGGAAUGAAGUGGUCUCAAGUUGAAAGUAAUUAAUUUAUUGAAUAACUUUCGACUUAUUAAUAGUUAUAUCAAAGGGUGUUUUACCUCAUCAUGUCUUCAAGUGGAAGAUGAAGACUAUGCAAGUGAAUUCAGGAAUAUUGCAUGCCUGUUGUCUAAAGCAUUACCUCACAAGGUUUCAUGAGAAACGAAAGAUGUGUUUGCUUUGAACAAUUAAAGUUACUGCUACGAACCUCCCCAAAGGUCAAGAAGACAGAACAGGAAGCUAAUGCCAUCAAUGUCUUGUUCAUUAUAGCUGCUGGGUAGUUAGGUGUAGUUUCCUCAUUUGAAGCUGUCUAUACAUAGGCAUUUCCCCUGCUUAUGUACAAAUAAAUGAACAACCUUGAAGCUUUAUUAUUCGCAACAAAAAGGGAUUACUAAUUGGAGAAGACAAUACAGAGUUUUCUCUCACACUUUCUCUCUGUCAAUUUCAUCCAGAAGUCCCUCUGAAAGCUUCUCCCAAAACAGUUAGUCAUCUUUUAUGCUCUGUUUUCUGAAAACAGAGUCCUAACUAAAUUAAUUGACUGUACAGUGCAUUUCAACAUAGCAUAUUUAACCGUUUUAACAGUUAUUUGGACCGUCUUCAGAGGUAACAUCAACAAACUCAUUCAUAUGCUUAAUAAUGAACGAAUAGUCUUGGAUCGAUGUUUUGCAGCAAGAGCAACACGACACAAUCUGGAUUCAACCUCCUCCUUUCUAACAGGGGAUUUCGAUUUGAGUUACUUUGUGCUCAAGCAAAUUCACAUCAUAGUUUUGAUUCUUUAGAUAUGAAUUCAUCUCAUUACAUAUAUCAGAUUAAGUGUAACAAAAUUUGUAAUUUACUGCGAAAAGAAUAUGCACUAAAAAAUGAUUUCAAGACUAUUUGACUACAAAAAGCAGCUGUCAGAGUGCACUAAAAAUUUCUGUAGGAUAUUUUGUAGCUGUUUAAUAUGUUAUGAUGGGCAUAUAAUUCUCAAAUUUUGAUGCCUCUCAGCGAAAAAUAUAUCAAAGUUACGGAUGAUAUCACGUAAAACAUGCAUGGCUCAGGCUCAGGCUCAGGUAAGAAAGCCACAGAAAAGGAAAAUCUCACUGUCACGACUCACGUCACGCAUCAUUCAAGUGAUGGAUUUAACAAGACUGCUUAUGUUCUAUCAAAUUCCUCUGCCUCUCAGAAGAUAACUUUUCUGGGCCAAAUUUCUCAUCUAAAGCAUAUUAUGCCCCAAAGUCACAGAUAACAAAAUGGGGCACUACCGAUUAUGAAAGAGAACUAGUAGUUGUCAGAAGCCUAAGCCAAAUUCCGGUAGUAAGAAGAGGCCUUUCUUGAGUUUAGAUUAUGUGUUCGAGUUUUAAUAAAUGCCUAAGUUAAUAAUAAUAACAACAGUAAUAAUAAACUAAAAAGCAUAAUUACUAUUGAAUGGUAAAAAAAAAAAUGAAAAUGUGUGAACUCCAAUAACCACCCCAGUGGCGAAUUUUGGAGAGGGCUAGGCCGGGCUUCUUAGAAAUUAUUUUUAUUUAAUUACAAAAUCACCUUUACUGAAACCUAUAUAAAAUUUUUUAUAUUAAUUAAUUAUGUUGCCUCUUCAAUUAUCAUUAAAUUCUUGUCCGUUCAUAAUUUGAUGGACAAAUGUGUAUUUCAAUAAUUUCAAAUAAUGUCUAGAACAAAUAUUUUGAAUUAUAAAACUCAUUAUGUCCUGCAUUACUAGAUGUAUCUAUAAUUUAUUAUUUACAAAUUAUAUUGUAUGAUAAAAAUGUAUUGAAUUUUUUUUUAAAAAAAAAGUUCGGCUCACUCAGAAAAAAAUGUUAUUAGCUUCGCCACUGCACAAAUCUAGAAUAAUAAUUAUUCCUUAUUAUAUUGACUGCACCAAGCAAUAAACUAAUAAGUUCUCAUCAGUGGUUUUUAAUCUUUUUAAUUCUUUUUACCGCACACCUGAUCAAGAAUUUUAUUUUGUUAACUAAUCAAUUGCAAAGCAUAUAUAAGUGUUGAACGGUACACAAGAUUGGAAAAAAAAAUCUUAAAAAACGUGCGGAUUCGGGUGGCCACACCAGAAAUCUAUUACAAUAAUUAGCUUUGAUGCUGGGAAUCUUUUAAUUUCUGGCCGUAUUGAAGUUUUUAAAAUAACAAGUUCCCCUUCUCGUUUUUUUUUUUUUUAAAUAUAUAUGCUUAUAACAAUUUUAGAAUAAUGAUUCAUUUGUAGAAGAACUUAUGAUUUCCCAUUAAUAUUAAUAUUGAAGUGGGGUGGGUCAAAUCUCAAUUGCUUGAAGAAUUUAUGUAUUAUUAAAUAUUACCAUCCAAGGUAGAAUUGUGGAAAAUUAAAGCAAAAUGACAAGUAUGGAAAGGAAGGCUGAAAGUAAGGCAUGACGAAAGGCUUUGAGAAGGCUGAAGACUACCAAAGAAGUCAACUGAAAACUAGCUGGGGCCUGAGUGUAUAAAUUGUUAGAUGCGUUUGUUAUAAAUAACAUAGAGCCCUUUUGUUAUUUAUAGUUAUAGAGAAAGAGAGAAUGUGUGUUUUUUAAUAGUUAGAGAUAUAGCUAGAAUGGGUUGCUCAAAAUCCAAAAUAGUGACAAUGUUAGUUCUCGUAUUGAUAAUAUUGGGGGGGGGGGGGGGGGGGGGGGGGGGGGGGUGUUGGGAGGUCGAGUGAGGGAUGUUUGGAGCAUGAGCAAUUUGAUCUUUUGCGGCUUAAACAUUUCUUCAAUUAAUAUCGAUCUGGGAGAGUGGUAUCUGAAUGCUUCUCUAUUUACUUCCUUUCAACAACUUUGGUAACAAAAUAGCCGGCUGCAUGCGUUGAGAAUGAAGGUGCUUCAUUUAAUUUAAUUUACUUAAUUUCUCCCUCCUAAUUAAUGUCUAUAAUCAUUAGGAGGAACAAGGGAUUUUAUUAACUCAAAUAUAUCUAAUGGAGCUCAUUCUUUGGUUUUACUUGCAGGGCUAGAAGCAGGUGUCAUCUAACAGCUGCUUUGAUAAUUUCCCUCCCCUUCAUCUUUGAUGGAAAGAUGAAAUAAAAACAAAUUGGUGAAAAUGGUAUUGGUACCUGAGGCUAUGUAAUCUAAUUCAAAAACUGCACCAUCAAAACGAUUACAUAAGUCUCAGAAGAAUCAAAUAUCAGUUUGCAAAAUAUCAAUUGCUGGAGGUUUGAUUCUAACUUCCGCUCUUCAUUUUUAUGGGCAUAUUGUGUUGUACUUGGCAUCCGAAAAUCAUAUUUUAGUUUACUUGCACUCAAUGCUUGGAUUAAAGUUUUUUUUUGGGGGGGGGGGAUUGAAGAAGACUAAAAUUACACCAAAAAAGAGUUGAGCGAGAGCGGGUUUUGUCUUCAUUUAAGGAGCUCUUUAUAAAUUUUGGGAUUUUUUUCCUGAGAAAAUUUAUGCCAACUCAUUCUUUGCUUCUUUUCUGAAGGGACACAUGCAACCGAAAGUAUAUUCUUGAAUUCUCCAGGAUAAGAGACAUACGUUUAGAUUCUGGAGCAUUUAAAACAAUGUCAAAUUUUAGAUUGCUGAAAUUUUAUAUAUCCGAGUAUGAUGGUGUUCCAAUUAUAAGCUCCAGGGUGCAACUUCACUGAGGUUUAGAAUGCCUUCCUAUAGAAUUGAGAAAUCUCCAUUGGCAUAAAUAUCUUUUUGAAAAUACUGACAUCAGAUUUUGAAUUGGAGAACCUGAUUGGACUCAGCUUGCCCUGUAGUAAGGUUAAGCAAAUUUGGAAAAGAGAAAAGGUAUAAUGUAUUACUAUUACCAAAGUAUCUAUUUUUCUUUCUUUAAGUAUUUAUAAUGAAUAACUUUGAAAUUCAAUGAUGCUCAUUUAGUAUAGUUAUGUAUCUUUGGUUAUAGGAAGCUGUCAAGUUAAAAUCUAUAGACCUUCACCACCCCUUUAUCUCAAUAGGAUCCCAGAAAUACUAAAUCUUAAAAAAAUAAAUCUUUCAAAUUGUGAAAGCAUGCUUACGUUACCCCCGUAUAUCCACAAUUUCAACUAGCUGAGUAUGUUGUGUUUCAGGGAUGCAAAAUUCAUUUUGUUUCUCAUUGAAAGGAUUGACUUGUCCGGAUGUAUUAGGGUUAGUAAACCAACUAAUCCCAUAAUUUGUUGAUGUAGGGUCCUAACAAAUUAUUGCAGUAGAUUGUAGAUCAGUACACUAUUCGAAAACGUAUUUGAUCCACACAGUGAAGUGGAUAUUGGACCAAUUUGAUGAUAAUGAAUUUCUUUCAAUCUCAAUCUUUUUUCUUUUUAGCAACAUGACUAGUCAUUGUGCAAAUUCAAACUCUGACAAUAAUUUCUCAAUCGGUUUCUAAGAUGAUGACCAUGCAUGUAUAUGUAUAUUGCGUGUGUAUAUGUGUGUGUGUGUAGAGAGAGAGAGAGAGAUCACACGUGUGUGAUUUCCUUUUGCCAAUAGGAUAUGCAAGAGAGCUUGAUCUUACCCAAUAGCGAAACAAACUUCCUAAUAAGUGAAGGUAUAGUAUAAAUACUUAUACUUUCAUGUUAUUUUGUUCAUCAGUAGCUUGAUUAUUUUAUAUGCGUCUUCGAUUUUAAUUUUCUUUCCCUAUAAUCGCUAUUAUCUUUGAACUGGUCAUAAUUUGCCCAUAAGAUUUCUCAUGUUGUUUUGAGGUGCAACGGAUUUUGAAUUAGUGACAAGCAGUGGAAGCCAGAAGGCAAAUUAUGAAAAUGGAUAAAGAUCUAUAAUUAGCUGUUAUGGGAUGUCACAUAUCAUAUUGAUGGUAACGUUAUAUAUAUGUACAUAUAAUUAAUGGGGUUGGCUCACGAGCCCAUUAAUUAAUGGUUAUAUUAGCUUAUAUACUUCAAACAAUGUACUAUGAAGCAAUUUCACAAAUACUUGUUAGCUUAUGUUGAGCUUUAUUGAAUCAGUAGUUCACAGUUCAAUAAAAUGCAGGUUUGCUAUUUGAAGUACAUGGUUAUGGUGCGUACAUUCUUCAUAAGGCUAACUACUAAUUUAUCAUUGAAACUUGAAAAAUGUGAUAGAGAGAUGUAGAUAACAGCCGCAAAACACUGAAUUGAAAAUCAGGGCUACUAAAUUCUAUUAAAAGUCCUUAAAAUAGACAGCGAUCACCCUGAAAUGUAUAUACUGAAACUAAGAAAAUAUUAAUCGCAAAGUUAUGCAUUAAUAGAACUAUUGACUACUUAUCUUUAGCAUAAAGUAUAUUUUUAACUACAGCUUUCUGCUUUGUUCUAAGAACUAGGCAAAAGUGGUGUAUCUUCAAUCCAAUCAACAUAUAUACCACUUAUCUUCCUCUUCACUUCUGUCUAUUUUGAUUUGCACUUCAUAUCCUGCACUUGCUGCUUAGAAAUAGUCUUUAUUCUGGACAUUUGAAAGUAGAAAAAGUACUUGAAACAAUCAUUGGCACAGCCCGAGAUUCCAUUGAAUCGUGGACUCCAAGCUUUCAUAGUUCUAUAAAGAAGAUGACAAAACUUCAUACAACUGGCAUUCUGCUUUUAACAUUUGCACAACCUGAGCGAGUUAGCAAGCCCCUUGUUGCGUUCCCAUUGAAUAGACCUACUUCUGUUAUCCGCAGAAGAUCCACCACUCAAAAUGUUUAUCACCAGGCUAUUCCUUAAAACUGAGCCUAAACUGAGUAGAACUUCCGCACAUCUCUCAGCAUUUACAUGAAGAAAUCGGACAACUAUCCUCAUCUCUCAGCACAUCUCUUCAGCAUUCUACAAAGUUGCAUUUCACUAAGCAAUCUAUCCUCUCCAUUCCUAGCAAAGUGACAUUGAUUCCCGUAUUUGUAAUCGCCUAACUUGGGUUUUGGGCAUAGCGUGGUCUUAAAAUUACCACCCCAAUACUUUGUUCAGUGCCACUGGCAUCCACAAGCUCUAGCCCUGUUAGUUGAAUCAUAUUCAAUGGGACAGUGAGGCAGCAUUUCACUAACAUUAUUCAAUUUGACUACUUAUAUUGACGCAAAUAUUAGAAUUUGAAAUCACUUCUUUUAUUGGAAUAUUAUAUUAAUAUGACCCCAAAUGAAAGUUCUUGAAUGGAAAUGAUUUUUAUUUACUUUUCGAACAGAUUCAAGAAAAACCCAGGAGAACACAAAAUUUACACAGUAAUAUGAUUAAGAGCUGAGAACGUAUAUGUAGUAAAUGUCUAUCAAAAACACCCAAGGGUUUCUUUAAAAAUUAGUAACUAGUAAACAAAAAGAAAGAAUCAUUUUACAUUUUUAGCAACUUUGGGGUGAGUGAGUGAGUGAGAAAUUGAAACCCUCAAGUGAUGACAACAGUAAGAUUCCAGUAUGAAGUGAAACCCCAAUUUGAAAUGUAGGCAUGAGUUGCUGAGUCAGUAGAUGAAGCUAUAAAUAGGCAUUCGGUUUCCUUCUUUUCGGUUUGGAGGGCCAUGGAAUAGUGUAUUGGAGUGGGCUCCAAGUAAUAGCCUCUAUCACUGGAACGACACAUCUAUAAAAUGUGAUACAUGGGGAAGGAUUGGGCAUUUUAUUCUUAGAUUAGCCCCUUAUUUAGGGUGUAUAUUAAGCAGAUUAUAUAUUACAUGGAGAUGGAGUUUAUGAAAUAGAUUAAAAAGAAAAGGAAAUUUUUGGUGCCCUAAAGUUUGCCACUUGGAAUAUUUCGGUGUCUAAAAAUUCACUCACCACUUAUUUCAUGUUUGAUUAUAUGUUGAAAAGAUAUUAAAAUAGUAUAAUGCUAUUAAGGCUUAACGUAUAUUUUUUAUUAGUAGAGUGGUAGAAUUUUUAAGAAAUAAAUUAUUAAAUUAUUAUAACUAACAUAUUAUUUUAAAGUUGUGUUAUGAAAAAAAUGAAAUAAAAAUGUACAGUAAAUAAGAAUAUUUUAAAACUUUUAUCUUUUUAAAAUUAGUUUUUAACAUAAGGUGAACUAUUUUUUUUUUUUAAAAUCACAUAUUCUAGUUAAAAUCAAAUAUGUAUUUAUACGAAGCUUGUAAAUUUUUUUUUUUAGUACUGAUAUUUUGAAUAUUAUCAAUAAAAAAAAGGUAAUGUUCAUGCUGCAUUAUUUUUGUAGCACACAAAAGGACAACACCGUUUAUGUUAUAAUACUAUCGCUUCUGUUAUGAUAAUUUUUUUUGUGGCCAAAUAUCUUUUUUUUUUUUAAGUAAAAAAAGUGGACAAAAUGCAAAUCAGUUUUUAAUCCUCAAUCUCUCCCAAAAUAUAUAUUUCGGUGUCUAAAAAUUCACUCACAAAACUAUAGCUGACAAAAAGUUACUAACAAAAAGUUAGGUCCAUGGGUUGUUAAAACUAUAGCUGACAAAAAGUUACUAACAAAAACAGAAUGUCCAUUUUAUAACUUUCUUAAAAAACUUUCCUUAACUUUUUUAAACAAAAAGUUAUUUCCAAUUUUUAUUUUGUUAUAAUGUUUAUAACAAAAUUCGUAGUUAACUAAACUCUUCUUAUACCCUUUCUCAACUGCCAUACCCUAACCCACUAAACCACGCUCAAUUAAGGCCAUCAGAUUCUCCGGGCCCACAUUAAUCCAACUGCUCACAGAGACCGACAGCCUCUCUAUCUCCAUUUCAAGCUCCCUCUUCAACUGGCUUCUGCUACCGUCCUACUCUUUCUCGGCUUCGGAGUCCGUAUUUGCUCGGCCUGUCCCACGAAGCUCCCUCUCACUCCAAUUGUCGCCCCACAAGACCAAUUGCUUAAUCAAGACACCGAACAAGAAAAGGAUGAGAAGUUGAAACAAGAAUUUGAGAAUUGGAAAUAAAAACGUACGCAUUGACCGUGCCUUUGAGAGUCGUUUCUCUUCAGAACUCAGUGCCUCAAUCUUGGGUUAAGGAUUUUAUGCGAAGUCAGGGAAAGAGAUUGAAGUUUCAGAUGAAUUUGUGUGCUAGCAUUGAUGGGAUCUUUAACAAUUUAUCUGUGCCCUUUAACAAAGUUAAGGCUAAGUCAGCUUCUUAUAUGGCUGCUGAUUUGGUUAGUGUUGGUGAUUCAUGGCUUAGUUUUGCCAUUAAAAAGAGAUUGAUUGAGCCAAUGGCUGGAGCUGAAGACCAAGAUUGGUUCAAAUGCUUAAGUCACAAAUGGAAGGUAACAUCUUUGUCUUUGAUCCUCGAGGUAAAAUAUGGGCGGCACCGUACAGGUGGGGCACAACGGUGAUAGCCUACAAGAAAAGUAAAUUUCGAAAGCAUAAUUUGGCUCCGAUUGAGGUAAUAAUUUUCUUUAAACUCAUUUAGUUUUAUAUCAAACAAAAUCAAGACUGCCUUUCUCUUCAAUAUUUUUUAUGAUAAUAUCUUUAGAAGCAUCUCAUUGACGGGUAACAAUGGCAUCCCUGAAAGAGUCUAUAAACUCAAUGAUAUUAUCUUCUACAAAUGGUUCAUUAAACUUUGUCGUUGUACUCAAAUGUACACUCAGAUCAAUGAGAAGNNNNNNNNNNNNNNNNNNNNNNNNNNNNNNNNNNNNNNNNNNNNNNNNNNNNNNNNNNNNNNNNNNNNNNNNNNNNNNNNNNNNNNNNNNNNNNNNNNNNNNNNNNNNNNNNNNNNNNNNNNNNNNNNNNNNNNNNNNNNNNNNNNNNNNNNNNNNNNNNNNNNNNNNNNNNNNNNNNNNNNNNNNNNNNNNNNNNNNNNNNNNNNNNNNNNNNNNNNNNNNNNNNNNNNNNNNNNNNNNNNNNNNNNNNNNNNNNNNNNNNNNNNNNNNNNNNNNNNNNNNNNNNNNNNNNNNNNNNNNNNNNNNNNNNNNNNNNNNNNNNNNNNNNNNNNNNNNNNNNNNNNNNNNNNNNNNNNNNNNNNNNNNNNNNNNNNNNNNNNNNNNNNNNNNNNNNNNNNNNNNNNNNNNNNNNNNNNNNNNNNNNNNNNNNNNNNNNNNNNNNNNNNNNNNNNNNNNNNNNNNNNNNNNNNNNNNNNNNNNNNNNNNNNNNNNNNNNNNNNNNNNNNNNNNNNNNNNNNNNNNNNNNNNNNNNNNNNNNNNNNNNNNNNNNNNNNNNNNNNNNNNNNNNNNNNNNNNNNNNNNNNNNNNNNNNNNNNNNNNNNNNNNNNNNNNNNNNNNNNNNNNNNNNNNNNNNNNNNNNNNNNNNNNNNNNNNNNNNNNNNNNNNNNNNNNNNNNNNNNNNNNNNNNNNNNNNNNNNNNNNNNNNNNNNNNNNNNNNNNNNNNNNNNNNNNNNNNNNNNNNNNNNNNNNNNNNNNNNNNNNNNNNNNNNNNNNNNNNNNNNNNNNNNNNNNNNNNNNNNNNNNNNNNNNNNNNNNNNNNNNNNNNNNNNNNNNNNNNNNNNNNNNNNNNNNNNNNNNNNNNNNNNNNNNNNNNNNNNNNNNNNNNNNNNNNNNNNNNNNNNNNNNNNNNNNNNNNNNNNNNNNNNNNNNNNNNNNNNNNNNNNNNNNNNNNNNNNNNNNNNNNNNNNNNNNNNNNNNNNNNNNNNNNNNNNNNNNNNNNNNNNNNNNNNNNNNNNNNNNNNNNNNNNNNNNNNNNNNNNNNNNNNNNNNNNNNNNNNNNNNNNNNNNNNNNNNNNNNNNNNNNNNNNNNNNNNNNNNNNNNNNNNNNNNNNNNNNNNNNNNNNNNNNNNNNNNNNNNNNNNNNNNNNNNNNNNNNNNNNNNNNNNNNNNNNNNNNNNNNNNNNNNNNNNNNNNNNNNNNNNNNNNNNNNNNNNNNNNNNNNNNNNNNNNNNNNNNNNNNNNNNNNNNNNNNNNNNNNNNNNNNNNNNNNNNNNNNNNNNNNNNNNNNNNNNNNNNNNNNNNNNNNNNNNNNNNNNNNNNNNNNNNNNNNNNNNNNNNNNNNNNNNNNNNNNNNNNNNNNNNNNNNNNNNNNNNNNNNNNNNNNNNNNNNNNNNNNNNNNNNNNNNNNNNNNNNNNNNNNNNNNNNNNNNNNNNNNNNNNNNNNNNNNNNNNNNNNNNNNNNNNNNNNNNNNNNNNNNNNNNNNNNNNNNNNNNNNNNNNNNNNNNNNNNNNNNNNNNNNNNNNNNNNNNNNNNNNNNNNNNNNNNNNNNNNNNNNNNNNNNNNNNNNNNNNNNNNNNNNNNNNNNNNNNNNNNNNNNNNNNNNNNNNNNNNNNNNNNNNNNNNNNNNNNNNNNNNNNNNNNNNNNNNNNNNNNNNNNNNNNNNNNNNNNNNNNNNNNNNNNNNNNNNNNNNNNNNNNNNNNNNNNNNNNNNNNNNNNNNNNNNNNNNNNNNNNNNNNNNNNNNNNNNNNNNNNNNNNNNNNNNNNNNNNNNNNNNNNNNNNNNNNNNNNNNNNNNNNNNNNNNNNNNNNNNNNNNNNNNNNNNNNNNNNNNNNNNNNNNNNNNNNNNNNNNNNNNNNNNNNNNNNNNNNNNNNNNNNNNNNNNNNNNNNNNNNNNNNNNNNNNNNNNNNNNNNNNNNNNNNNNNNNNNNNNNNNNNNNNNNNNNNNNNNNNNNNNNNNNNNNNNNNNNNNNNNNNNNNNNNNNNNNNNNNNNNNNNNNNNNNNNNNNNNNNNNNNNNNNNNNNNNNNNNNNNNNNNNNNNNNNNNNNNNNNNNNNNNNNNNNNNAGAGAGAGAGAGAGAGAUCACACGUGUGUGAUUUCCUUUUGCCAAUAGGAUAUGCAGAGAGCUUGAUCUUACCCAAUAGCGAAACAAACUUCCUAAUAAGUGAAGGUAUAGUAUAAAUACUUAUACUUUCAUGUUAUUUUGUUCAUCAGUAGCUUGAUUAUUUUAUAUGCGUCUUCGAUUUUAAUUUUCUUUCCCUAUAAUCGCUAUUAUCUUUGAACUGGUCAUAAUUUGCCUAUAAGAUUUCUCAUGUUGUUUUGAGGUGCAACGGAUUUUGAAUUUAGUGACAAGCAGUGGAAGCCAGAAGGCAAAUUAUGAAAAUGGAUAAAGAUCUAUAAUUAGCUGUUAUGGGAUGUCACAUAUCAUAUUGAUGGUAACGUUAUAUAUAUGUACAUAUAAUUAAUGGGGUUGGCUCACGAGCCCAUUAAUAAUGGUAUAUUAGCUUAUAUACUUCAAACAAUGUACUAUGAAGCAAUUUCACAAAUACUUGUUAGCUUAUGUUGAGCUUUAUUGAAUCAGUAGUUCACAGUUCAAUAAAAUGCAGGUUUGCUAUUUGAAGUACAUGGUUAUGGUGCGUACAUUCUUCAUAAGGCUAACUACUAAUUUUCAUUGAAACUUGAAAAAUGUGAUAGAGAGUAGAUAACAGCCGCAAAACACUGAGAUUGAAAAUCAGGGCUACUAAAUUCUAUUAAAAGUCCUUAAAAAUAGACAGCGAUCACCCUGAAAUGUAUAUACUGAAACUAAGAAAUAUUAAUCGCAAAGUUAUGCAUUAAUAGAACUAUUGACUACUUAUCUUUAGCAUAAAGUAUAUUUUUAACUACAGCUUUCUGCUUUGUUCUAAGAACUAGGCAAAAGUGGUGUAUCUUCAAUCCAAUCAACAUAUAUACCACUUAUCUUCCUCUUCACUUCUGUCUAUUUUGAUUUGCACUUCAUAUCCUGCACUUGCUGCUUAGAAAUAGUCUUUAUUCUGGACAUUGAAAGUAGAAAAAGUACUUGAAACAAUCAUUGGCACAGCCCGAGAUUCCAUUGAAUCGUGGACUCCAAGCUUUCAUAGUUCUAUAAAGAAGAUGACAAAACUUCAUACAACUGGCAUUCUGCUUUUAACAUUUGCACAACCUGAGCGAGUUAGCAAGCCCCUUGUUGCGUUCCCAUUGAAUAGACCUACUUCUGUUAUCCGCAGAAGAUCCACCACUCAAAAUGUUUAUCCAGGCUAUUCUUAAACUGAGCCUAAACUGAGUAGAAACUUCCGCACAUCUCUCAGCAUUUACAUGAAGAAAUCGACAACUAUCCUCAUCUCUCAUCUCUCAGCAUUCUACAAAGUUGCAUUUCACUAAGCAAUCUAUCCUCUCCAUUCCUAGCAAAGUGACAUUGAUUCCCGUAUUUGUAAUCGCCUAACUUGGGUUUUGGGCAUAGCGUGGUCUUAAAAUUACCACCCAAUACUUUGUUCAGUGCCACUGGCAUCCACAAGCUCUAGCCCUGUUAGUUGAAUCAUAUUCAAUGGACAGUGAGGCAGCAUUUCACUAACAUAUUCAAUUUGACUACUUAUAUUGACGCAAAUAUUAGAAUUUGAAAUCACUUCUUUUAUUGGAAUAUUAUAUUAAUAUGACCCCAAAUGAAAGUUCUUGAAUGGAAAUGAUUUUUAUUUACUUUUCGACAGAUUCAAGAAAACCCAGAGAACACAAAAUUUACACAGUAAUAUGAUUAAGAGCUGAGAACGUAUAUGUAGUAAAUGUCUAUCAAAAAACACCAAGGGUUUCUUUAAAAUUAGUAACUAGUAAACAAAAAGAAAGAAUCAUUUUACAUUUUUAGCAACUUUGGGUGAGUGAGUGAGUGAGAAAUUGAAACCCUCAAGUGAUGACAACAGUAAGAUUCAGUAUGAAGUGAAACCCCCAAUUUGAAAUGUAGGCAUGAGUUGCUGAGUCAGUAGAUGAAGCUAUAAAUAGGCAUUCGGUUUCCUUCUUUUCGGUUUGGAGGGCCAUGGAAUAGUGUAUUGGAGUGGGCUCCAAGUAAUAGCCUCUAUCACUGGAACGACACAUCUAUAAAAUGUGAUACAUGGGGAAGGAUUGGGCAUUUUAUUCUUAGAUUAGCCCCUUAUUUAGGGUGUAUAUUAAGCAGAUUAUAUAUUACAUGGAGAUGGAGUUUAUGAAAUAGAUUAAAAAGAAAAGGAAAUUUUGGUGCCUAAAGUUUGCCACUUGGAAUAUUUCGUGUCUAAAAAUUCACUCACCACUUAUUUCAUGUUUGAUUAUAUGUUGAAAAGAUAUUAAAAUAGUAUAAUGCUAUUAAGGCUUAACGUAUAUUUUUUAUUAGUAGAGUGUAGAAUUUUUAAGAAAUAAAUUAUUAAAUUAUUAUAACUAACAUAUUAUUUUAAAGUUGUGUUAUGAAAAAAAUGAAAUAAAAAUGUACAGUAAAUAAGAAUAUUUUAAAACUUUUAUCUUUUUAAAAUUAGUUUUUAACAUAAGGUGAACUAUUUUUUUUUUUAAAAUCACAUAUUCUAGUUAAAAUCAAAUAUGUAUUUAUACGAAGCUUGUAAAUUUUUUUUUUAGUACUGAUAUUUGAAUAUUAUCAAUAAAAAAAAGGGUAAUGUUCAUGCUGCAUUAUUUUUGUAGCACACAAAAGGACAACACCGUUUAUGUUAUAAUACUAUCGCUUCUGUUAUGAUAAUUUUUUUUGUGGCCAAAUAUCUUUUUUUUUUUUAAGUAAAAAAAAGUGGACAAAAUGCAAAUCAGUUUUUAAUCCUCAAUCUCUCCCAAAAUAUAUAUUUCGGUGUCUAAAAAUUCACUCACAAAACUAUAGCUGACAAAAAGUUACUAACAAAAAGUUAGGUCCAUGGGUUGUUAAAACUAUAGCUGACAAAAAUUACUAACAAAAACAGAAUGUCCAUUUUAUAACUUUCUUAAAAAACUUUCCUUAACUUUUUUAAACAAAAAGUUAUUUUCCAAUUUUAUUUUGUUAUAAUUUUAUAACAAAAAUUCGUAGUUAACUAAACUCUUCUUAUACCCUUUCUCAACUGCCAUACCCUAACCCACUAAAACCACGCUCAAUAAGGCCAUCAGAUUCUCCCGGCCCACAUUAAUCCAACUGCUUCACAGAGACCGACAGCCUCUCUAUCUCCAUUUCAAGCUCCCUCUUCAACUGGCUUCUGCUACCGUCCUACUCUUUCUCGGCUUCGGAGUCCGUAUUUGCUCGGCCUGUCCCACGAAGCUCCCUCUCACUCCAAUUGUCGCCCCACAAGGACCAAUUGCUUAAUCAAGACACCGAACAAGAAAAGGAUGAGAAGUUGAAACAAAAGAAUUUGAGAAUUGGAAAUAAAAAACGUACGCAUUGACCGUGCCUUUGAGAGUCGUUUCUCUUCAGAACUCAGUGCCUCAAUCUUGGGUUAAGGAUUUUAUGCGAAGUCAGGGAAAGAGAUUGAAGUUUCAGAUGAAUUUGUGUGCUAGCAUUGAUGGGAUCUUUAACAAUUUAUCUGUGCCCUUUACAAAGUUAAGGCUAAGUCAGCUUCUUAUAUGGCUGCUGAUUUGGUUAGUGUUGGUGAUUCAUGGCUUAGUUUUGCCAUUAAAAAAGAGAUGAUUGAGCCAAUGGCUGGAGCUGAAGACCAAGAUUGGUUCAAAUGCUUAAGUCACAAAUGGAAGGUAACAUCUUUGUCUUUGAUCCUCGAGGUAAAAUAUGGGCGGCACCGUACAGGUGGGGCACAACGGUGAUAGCCUACAAGAAAAGUAAAUUUCGAAAGCAUAAUUUGGCUCCGAUUGAGGUAAUAAUUUUCUUUAAACUCAUUUAGUUUUAUAUCAAACAAAAUCAAGACUGCCUUUCUCUUCAAUAUUUUUAUGAUAAUAUCUUUAGAAGCAUCUCAUUGACGGGUAACAAUGGCAUCCCUGAAAGAGUCUAUAAACUCAAUGAUAUUAUCUUCUACAAAUGGUUCAUUAAACUUGUCGUUGUACUCAAAUGUACACUCAGAUCAAUGAGAAGCUAUGCUACGUUAGCAUGUAGUGAUGCACUUAAUAAGUGAGUUGCCUAGGAUGUGAACUAGAAAAAUUAAAUAUGUCUCCUUGGGUAUGCUAGCUGGUAAGUCAGGGUUAAUAUCAGAGCUUAAGAUAGUAUAACCGUGAGAACCUAUUGACUGCCAAUUAAAAUAUCCAUUGAAAUGUCUAGGGAGUUAUGAAGGUGGAGGUAACUUCCAAUUUCUAAGGCCACAGAGUAGACAUCAUCCAGGAUCCUAGGAAAGUCCAGUUAACCUCCUGCUCGAUGCAAUUAAUAAAUUUGGUCAAUGCCACUGAAACCUGCUAACUGACGUCACAAUGCGACAUGAGCACUUCAAAAUGGGACAGACGGUCAGUAGCACUAAAUUUUUCUUGCCAAAUGAGCAAUUGGUCUAACUACUAAUCCCUAUUGUAGGUUGAUCAUUAUUUUUUCAAUUAUGUUCAGUUUGACCCAAAAAGUUGCAGAAUCUUGAGCUAAAUAUUGUCACUGAACACUGUCAAUGUCAUUUAGCAUAGCCAACUAACUUGAUGUUAAAACAAACACACAGUGUGUCUCAUGUCUCACAAUUCAAAUUAUCAUCUGUAAUGUUGGAGAAUUUUUCCAAUGUAUGAAGUAUGCUUUGAUACGUGGGUUACCUUGGAGAAGAUAUCUCAAAAUAAAGAAUAUGGGGAGAAAACAGUUCAGUAGUUUAUUAUUCUGUAGUCAAGUUUUGUCUCGAAAAUGGUCAAAAUUUAAAUGAAUAAAGGACAGGGGAUCUUCAUUCUUUUUUCCCUUUUUUAUACCAAGAUAUCUCUCAACCUUUAUAUAAUCCCCACUGGAUAUCUGCUUCUAAUAAUUAAAAUAAAAAUUUCACCGCUCUAACAAUAAAAAGUAAACAUCUUUCCUCAAAUAAUUUACAGUUCCUCAUCAUCUUAGUGUGAGAAUAUCAGUACAUUCCAAAAACAUAAUAAAACUGGUUUGAUCCUGUUUAUUGAUGUUUAAAUGUUGUUCAUUGUGACAGGUAGAAAUGAUGAGGCGAAGUUUAUUUGGACAUCAAUUAGUAAGAUCUUGUUGAAGUUGUUUUCUGAAAUGAACUGCCAAAUGGUAGUUUUUUGGGGCAUUUGAUGGCUCUUUUUUUUUCCUCAUUUUCAACAUGUGCCUGCUUGGAACAUGAAGGAUUAGGCUGCCAGAGUUGUUAUAUAUUUUGAGAUGCUCUGGUCAUUGCACAAUUUGUCACACUGGAAAUUAGAAUGAGAAAUUUGUUGAUGCUGUUUUGAGAGAUCUGCAUUCUAUGCACAAUAACAUGAUUAAUGAAAUGCAUUGUAGGACUGGAAAGAUCUGUGGCAGCCUGAGCUCGCAGGAAGAAUUUCAAUGGUUAAUUCUCCCCGAGAGGUUAUUGGUUCAGUUUUGAAGUAUAGGGGAACAUCAUACAAUUCAAACUAUAUUGAUUCGCAAGUUGCUGGUGGGAAAGAUUGCUGUUCAGCAGAAUCUGGCAUUACUGGCAAACCAGGUACUCUUACAGAAAUCAUAUCUGGUCAUUGCAUGUUAUUGCCUGACAACUGAUUUGUUUGUAAAAGUCUGCUUCUUCAUACAUAUGAAUGCAUAUGUUAGUGUUUUCUUCUCCUUUUCAUACAUAUAAAUGCAUAUGUUAGUGUUGUCUUUUCCUUUUCACACAUAUUAAUACAUAUGUUGGUGUUCUCUCCUGAGAUGGAUGCAAUAAAGCUUUUGCUCCUAAAUUUAGCUGAAGAAAUGCAAGGGAUGUGAGAUUCUGUCUCAUUAAAUUAACAAAAACCCAAAACAAUGAAAAUCCAUAAUAAUGUGUGUGGGUAAAUGGCUCCAUUUGGUUCGUUUCCUUAAUGUGAAUGCGCGAGCAAUAGAGACUAACAAAAUGAAGUGACAACAAGAAGUCAGUGUCCUUUGAUGGAUGCAUUUUUAGGCAGAAAUAUGUUUGUAAUUGACCAAAUUUGUCUGGCAUGCCAAUUUCAAAAAAAUUAAAUUAUGUGGUUAUUAGCUGUAAUGAAGGGGAUAGUAGGUGCAAUCAGGUGUAUCCAGGAAAGUUCAACAAAGUUUUGGUAUGGCGUAGUGAAAUUGGUUUGUGCAACUCAGGAGUCUUUCAGGUGAACGAUGAUAGGUUUUGAUUUAUGAAUAUUAUAAAUCUACUGUGCAUAGUAUUCUAGUAGAAUCAUCUAUAAGUUCUAGUUAUUGUAUACUUUGCCUGGUUUGAGUUAAGGGCACAUGUAAUAUGAAAGAUAGUUGUCGCAUCUUUUAGGUUACCUAACAUUUGAUCAAUCCUAUUAUGGGGCUUCAAGAUGUCUAACAAUAUGUAGAAUGCCCAUGCUCCUCCCCAUUGUUUAUCUUCUACAAUAAUUUGUUUUAGAUGCUAAUAUCUUUGUCGAUACGUAACAAUAUUACAAUAUCUGCGUUUAUUGGGUUUUACAUAGGUUCGACUGUUUGACAGUACACACUAUCUGAAGGCAUUUGCAAUUGGAGAUGUAUGGGUUGCUGUUGGGUGGAUUAGUGAUGUUCUUCCUGCUGUCAAACAUAUGUCUAAUGUUGCUGUUGUUGUUCCCAAGUCUGGUGCUAGCUUAUGGGCUGAUCUUUGGGUAUACCCAUGCCUGCCAUUCUACUUCAAUAUUCACAUUGUUAUCUCCUUCAUAUUAGUGAUCAGUAAACACGAUAAUGUGACUAAUAAGUUCGUAUUCUCUUUAUAGGCAAUCCCUGCUGCCUCAAGACUUGAAACAAAACAAAUUGGAGGCGAGUCAGAGGUGCAUUUCCAUUAAUCCAUCAAUGGAUAGAAUUCUGCUUGCAAACAGCGAGAGCAUUGCCUUUCAAGCAAGAGGUUAUCCCGAGCGCAUCUCCCUCUGCCCUUGAGAGUACUCUGGUUAAGUUGCCUGAAGAACUUUUCAAGGGUAAACCAAGUCUGGAUACUAACUUAAUUGCUGGAGUACCCCCGACUGAAAUUCUGGCCAGAUGUGAGUUUUUGGAGCCUUUAUUUGAAGCUACAUUGUCGGAUUAUGAGUGGCUGGUUACUAAUCUGCAAAAAUCCACUCCUGUACUGAUCAACAAGAUGCAACAUUACAUGUCAUCAUUGAUCUUUAGCUAAAGGUACAUUGAAAAGUUAAUGGCACUGCAUACCAGUCAUUAUAAUUGGGUCAGGGCAAUUAGGUCAGAGCAUAACUUCAUUAGGAAAAGAUGCUUCAGCUACGUUAAAUAUUACAGGAUGUACUGAGAUGGCUGAAGCUGUUGAGGUUUUACGAGAAUCGAAAGAUAGUGUUUGUUUGAACAAAGUUGUUGCCAAUCUUGCAGAGUUCGAGAAGAAAGAUCACGAAGUGAAUGCCACCGAUUUCUUCAUCAUUGUAGCCUCCAUAGUUGAAGUUUCCUCAUUUGAAGCUGUUUAUGCAUACGAUUUUCCCCUGCUCAAGUACAGGAAAUUGAAGAAUUAACCAGAUGUGAUAUGCUGAAAGAGGGAAGUUUUCUUCCUUGAAUGUGGUCUUUGUGAUUUGUCUUGAAGGAAUAGGGUGAUCACUGGCAAGAACCCUAUCAAGGUAGAUUUUAUGAUGUUAACAUAUCAUUAAGCAUUUUGUUACAUCAGCAAUGAUGCUUUCAUAGCAGCAUGAAAGUGUUUAAAUUUAACUGAAUGAUCUUGAUUGAUCAAUUAUGAGUUUUAAUCGAGUAAAAACUAAAUACAAUAAUCGUUAACAAAUAUUGAAAUUGGGUAAAUAUGAUCUUGAUAUUGAAGAAUUUGAAAUCACAACCCACACAGGAAAUCACCCUUCGCGUGGGGAUGGAGAUGUUUACUGCAGCGAUAUUGAAUAUGUCCACCGCUCUUUGGGUUAUGGUGCGACUUGCCCUGAAACAAUGGAAAAGAAUAAUUAAUAAUUUAACGCCAAGACAUAAAAUUAAAACGUGUGGACUCCGGUAGCUGCCCUACAAGUCUACAACUCUACAAACAUUAACUCUACAAACAUUAAAACGUGUGGACUCCGGUAGCUGCCCUACAAGUCUACAACUCUACAAGAAUAAUUUCUAGCCCUGUUGACUCCACUAACUAAAGAAAUUUCAAAACGUACAUAGAAUUCCACAACAAGCAAAACGUAUGGAAUUUAAUUUUUUGCCGUGUGGAACAAAAUACAAUUUAACAAAAAAGGAUAAGAAAAAUGGUAAGAUUUCUAAAAUGAGUGGAAGGUGAUUCAUAUUUUACUGAAAUGACUUGUCCUGAACAUUAAGACGAUUGAUUUUUUUUUUUUAAUAACAUCAACUUCCAUAUCUUUCUAACCCCUAGAAUAUGCUCACGUUCAAGUCUAUCUUGGUAAUUUGAAAAAGAAAAUCAAAUCAAAUCAACACCAAAACAAUGAAAAGUAAAACUUUUGAAUUUCAACUUUAAACUUUUGUUAACCCCUAGAAUAUUCAGCGUUUUCAAAUUCUUCCGAUUGCAUAUCUUCUUCCUCCAUCAAUGCAAUAUUUGAACGAUUAUGAAAGAGUUUAAGAACAUAAAAAAUCUCCAAGGUUUAUACGGUAUAACAAAUUUAAAUUCUCAAUUACAAUAGAUAAUAAUUAAACUAAUAAUUUUUUAUGUACUUAUUUUAGUAAUUUCACCUAAGAAUAAUAUUGUAAUUAGAAAAAAAAAUCUAAUAAGUAGGGUGGUCUUAUACAAAAUCAACUGUACUGUGAUGAGUUUCCUUUUGUUAAUAAUUUUAGUCUAAUUUCAAUUGUACUGUGAUCGCUUCUCAAGGUAAGUGAAAGUUACAGAUGUGGCAAAAUAAAUAAUUAAGUUAACAAAAUGCUAACUAAUUUUCCUCAAUACCUAGGGUUGUACAAUUUCACCAACCUGGAAGAAUUGACAUUAAUGGACUGGUCUCCUCCCCAUAUAAUUAUAAUCCUUCUAGAAAGCUAUUUUUUAUUAAAUAUUUGCUUUUAAGUUAAUUUCAAUUAAAAAAUGUUUUAAGUUAUAUAUACUCUAAUGAGAUUCUGAAUUCCUUUAUUCCAAUAAUAAUGAAAACGUAUUAAAUUAGAAAUGAAAAAAUUGGUGUUGAUGAUUCAACCUAUUUGGAUAGAUUACGUGAAUAAAAUUAAAAUUUUGAUUUAAUUUUUGUUUAUUGUUAAUUCUCAGGCUAUCUUAAUUUCAAGAAUUUAGAAUGUUAAUUUGGUCAUGGAUUUCAACCCGUGAGUGUCAUAUUCUAGACUUAAUGGUACCAUUCUUUGAUUGAGGGCAAUGACUCUCACUCCUCUUGUAAAAAAAUAUUUUCAACUAUUUUGAUGACUUAAAAAUUGAUAGAUUUAUUGUUGUCAUGACCAAAUUAUUCAUUUUAAUGAAAUAUAAUUAAUGCAUCAAAGUUACCAGGUUUAUGUUCUAUCUUAAUGCGCUUUUUUUUUUUUUCAGUUAUAGCUUCUGCUUACGUCUGUUUCAUUUUUUUUUAAUAAAAAAACAAGGGAAGGUUUUUCCGAGUCAUCCAUUAUUUGAUUUCCGUCAAUCAAGAAAACGACCAAAUUAAUUUCUCUCCAAAAUUUCCAAAAGCUAGAAAAUUUUGUUAUUUGAAAAUAACAUGAUUAAUUAUAGAGUGGAUCAAACCGCGUUAUUGUCUUUCAUAAAAUUGAUGUCUUUUUAAGAGUCAAUACUUUUUAUUUACGCAAACCAGUCGACAUCAAUUUAAACUUCCAUAUUUUUAUUAUUAUUAUGUUAUUUAUUUUAAUCGCCGAUUAUUUGAUUAGCCACUAUAUAUAUCAAGAAAGCGACAAAAUUUAUUUCUCAUGACUUCCAAAAACUAGAAAAACAACAUCAUUUAUUAUUUUUUUGCAACCCUAAUUGACAUCAACUUUAACUUUAUUAUGUUAUUAUUUCAAUCCCCCAUUAUGACCUUUCUAAUCCUCCAUUAUGCAUCUUUUAUAGUGCAAAUUUAAUUGCACAUCUAAAUAAAUUGAUUAUUGUUACUCCACCACCAAUAUUUCAAAUAGUCACUAGACCAUUUCUGCCUUUAAUUUUCCCUUAACUAUUGACUGUUUUUAGCAUCUUAAAAUAUACAUUUAUUCCUUGAUUAUGUGAUAAAAUUAUGAAAAUAUCCAUUUUAGCUUAAAUUAAUUGGAAUAACCAUAAGCGUAACAUAAAUUAAUAGAACAAAAUUAUCAAGUGUAUGUUCUAUCUUACUUUUUGAAGAAUUUAACAUAUAUAAUGCUAUACUAUUAAUAAAUUUUUCAUUUACUAUAUAUGUUCACAUAUUUUAUAUAUUUAUUAAUUGUUAUAUAGUCACAGGAUGAAUGAUUUUUCAGGUCUACAUGAGUUGGUGCACAUGCAAGACUCAAUUUUGACAACAAUGAUCUAAGGGGUAAUUUACCUUGGUGUUUGACAAACAUAACCUCUCUUCAUGAUUUACUUCCAAUCUACUUACUGUAAAUAUCUCCUCAUCUCCUCUCAUUUAUAUGAUAAGUGAUAACCCUUGAAGAUCUCACAUUUUCAAACGAUCAUAUUAGGGUUUUUAUUAUUAGCAUCAUUGUGUCAACAAAAUAUAUGUUGCAGUAAGAUUUUUUCAGACCAAUUCCCUUCUUCAAAUAAUAAUGGAAAAGUAUUAAUUUAAAAAUAAAAUGAAUAUGCAUUGAUUAUAUCCUGAUUUCCAUCGAUUAUAGCGAGAGUUUCUCCGAAUCAACUCCCUUAUUCAAAUAAUACAGAAAAAAUAGUAAUUUAAUAGUAAAAUUAGCAAGUGUUGAUUAUAUAUCCUAAGUUUCAUCGAUUAUGUGAUCAAAGUGGCAUUGUUGAUUUAUUUCUUGUUCAAUGUUAAUUUUUAGGUUAUCUAAAUUUCAAGGAUUUAAAAUCUUUGUUCAUGGAUUACACGCUUAUUAAUUUUUCUGCCAUUGACUGUCAUAUUCUAGACUUAAUGGUACCUUCCUUGAUCAAGGAUAAUUACUCUAUGUUCUCCUCUUAUAAAUUCCUCUUCCAUUAACAUCACUAGGAGUAUGUUGAUCUCUCAGACGUUAACUUUAGUGGAGAGUUUCCAAAUUGAUUGUUACAAAACAACACAAAAACUAGACACACUUGAUCUGUCUAAUAAUUCUCUUUCGAUAAAAUUAAUUAAUUUUAGGGGAAUAUUCGACCAACCUCUAUAAUUUCAUAUUGAUCAUUAAUUAAUUAGACGAAAAAAGUACUUGUGCUUUUGUGGCGACAAUUGAACUAGAGAAGUGAAGCUGUAAAGAUUUGGCAGUAGUAAAUUGUUAGAAAGACAUAAAGACAAUUUCCCAUUUUAUAAUUUUUUCAAAAAACUUUUUUACAACACAUGCACCUGGCCAAAAAUUUUAUUUUGCUAACUAACAAUAAUUGAGUAGCUGACCGUAUUGACUCCGCCUACUUGCUAAAGUAAAAAAAUAGAAAUAGAAUUUCCACAAAAUGUCAAACAUGUAAAAUCUAAUAUUUGGCCAUGUGGAACAAAAUACAAAUGAAAAAAAAAAUAGAAAAAAGGCCUAAAGACUUUUAAAAUGUGUGGAAAUCUUUCGGCCCUUUUAUAAUGGUGUGUUUUUCAAAGGAACAACUAAUAAUAAUGACACUUCUACGGUUUGUUUUGAUAAUUACACAUAUACUCUUUAAUUUGAUAAAUGGUUACACAAAUUUUGUUUACAAAAAUAUAUUAUUCAUGUUCUGUAUUAUUUUUUAACAUCAUAUUUUUAUUUAUUAUAAUUGUUUAAAGUUAAUUGUUAGGUUGAUAUAUAAUAAAAACGUAUAAUCGUUCUCUUACUAAACACACAUACUCGUAGUUUCUAUCCAUUUGUCAUCUCAAUCUCUCUCAUUUAUCCUUUCUUGAUAGCUCAAAACGCGUCACUGUGGAAAAUAAUAGCAAAACGACAAAUAUGGAAAGAAUGGGAAGAAAAUUAAUGCAUGAAAGAGUUGCAGAAGACAACCAAAUAAGUCAACUAUACGCUAGUUGGGUGUAUAAAUUGUUAGAUGUGUUAUAAACAAAUAGCAUAGAGCCUUGGUUGGUUACAGAGAUAGAAAAACUGUGUGUGUUUUUUAGAACUUAAAGAUACAGUUAGAAUGGGUGGUUCAAAAUCAAAAAUGGUGAUAAUGUUUGUUCUGUUAUUAAUAAUAUUAGAAGGUGGGUGGAGUGAAGGAUGUUUGGAUCAUGAGAGAUUUGCUCUUUUGCGACUCAAACAUUUCUUCGAUGAUACUGGUAGUUAUUUUUACUACUGGGCAGAUGGUGAGGGAGCUACUGAUUGUUGUCAGUGGGAAAGGGUUGAGUGCAGCAACACCACAGGCCAAGUGAUAGUGCUAGACCUUUUUGAAACGUAUUUGGGAGAGUACAGCUGGUAUCUGAAUGCUUCUUUGUUUACUCCCUUUCAACAACUUGAGUCACUUGAUUUAUAUGGCAACAAAAUAGUCGGUUUUGUUGAGAAUGAAGGUACUUCGUCUAAUUCAAUUAAUUUACAUUUCGCUCUCCUAAUUUAAGUCGAAUAUCAAGACUGAGCAGCUAUAUGCAUAUUCAUUCAAUUGACAAUUUUUACAUAUUUUUUAAAAUGUUUAAUUUUGAAAUUACACCAAACAUCAUAUGUGGUUUUGAUUUUACUUGCAGGUCUAGAAAGAUUGAACAACUUGAAGAGGCUUGAUUUAAGUUAUAACUUGUUCAACAAUAGCAUCUUAUCAUCUGUGGCUCAUCUUUCUUCACUAACAUCAUUAGAUUUAUCUGGAAAUAGAUUGGAAGGAAGUAUUAAUGUUAAAGGUACGUAAUUAAAACGUCAUCGCUUCUCUCAACUCUUUCAUUAACAUGCUAAAAUAAGAUUCAAGGCUUUGAAUUCAUUUUUUUUUAUGAGUAAAUAUUAGAAAAAUAGUUUUAAGCAAUUCAUAAAUACAAUUUUCAAUGUUUCUCAUAAUUUCAUCUUGUACUUUCGUAUGUCUUGACUUUAAGAUUAAAAAAAAAAAAUUACUCUAACUGUGAAGCAAAUACCCCAUGACUAAUUUAUCAUUUCGUCCAGUUAAAAAUGAUAAAAUUUAUCAUUUGUUUAUAUUGAUUAAUUAACUCUAUUUUAAGUCUUAAGUCUUGGCGUCUUGGCAUAUUUGCAGAAUUUGAUUCCUUGAGCAACUUAGAGGAGUUGGACAUGAGCGACAAUGAAAUAGACAAUUUAGAGGUUCCUCAAGGUAAACAAUUAAAAUAUUAUUCAAUUACAUUAAUUUAAUUCGUUUGAUUAGGGAAGACCCAAAAGGUACAAAAUAUAAUAAUAAUAAUAAAAGAAACAGAGAAUCUAUAUUAUUUCAAAAAAUAAAACGUAAUACUAUUAUUUCAAAAAUAGAUUGUAAUAAAGAUUUGAUUCCGGUUCUUUAAUCUUUACAGCAAUUGAAAAACGAUGUUGCUCUUUUCCUGAAGCAUAAAAUAUGAAAUGACUCCAAUACAAUUAAUCAUUUAUUUCGUUUACUCUAAAAUUAGACAAUGAAUCUUUAUUUUCUUCAGUCUUAUCCUAAUUAUUAUUAAUAAACAGGUUACAAAGGUUUGAGGAAGUUGAAUUAUCUUGAUCUAUCGAAUGUUGGAGUUAGAGAUGGAAGCAAGUUGUUACAGUCAAUGGGAUCAUUCCCAUCCCUCAACACUCUUUACCUGAAGGAUAAUAAUUUUACCGAUAUAGCGACAACUACUACUCAAGGUAAGUAAAAGAUACAGAUGUGGCCAAAUUUACAAAUAAAUUGUUAAUUAAUUAAUUUUUCCGUAUUAUUAAUAAAGCUAAAUUCGUCGCUCCUUCCUUCUAAUUCUAAACAGAGUUGGCAAUUUCACCAACUUGGAGUAUUUGACAUUGGACUUGUCCUCGCUCCAUUUAAGCCUUCUACAAUUACUUGAAGAAUGAAUUUAUUUAUUAUUAUUAUUGUUGUUGUUGUUGUUGUUGAAGUGAGGUGGGCAAGCGUUCACUCAAUUAAUAUGUGAGGAAUUAAUAAUUACAAUCCAAGGUAGAAUUGUGGAAAAUUAAAGCAAAAUGAGAAAUAUGGAAAGAAAGGAAGAAAGUUAAGGGCAUGAAAGACUAGGAGAAGACUAAAGACCACCAAAUAAGUCAACUGAAAACUAGCUGGGGCCUGGGUGUACAAAUUGUUAGAUGUGUUUGUUAUAAAUAACAUAGAGCCAUCUUGUUGGUUGCAGAGGCAGAGAGACACAGAGUGUGCAUUUUGUUAAUUAAAAAUAUAUAUAAAAUGGGUGGUUCAAAAUCCAAAAUGGUGAUAAUGUUAGUUUUGUUAGUAUUAAUAAUAUUAGAAGGGAGGUGGCGUGAGGGAUGUUUGGUGCAUGAGAGAUUUGGUCUUUCGAGACUUAAAACAUUUCUUCAAUUCUCCUUAUAAUUUUUGUCACGACUGACCGUUGUCAAUGGGAUGGGGCUGGGUGCAGGGUUGAUUUACGUUAGAACAAUAUAGCCGGUAGUGUUGAGAAUGAAGGUGUUUCAUUUAAUUUAAUUAAUUUACUUUCUCCCUCCUAAUUUAAGUGGAAUAUCAAGACUGAACAAUUAUAUGCAUCUUCGUUCAGUUGACAAUUUUGACAUUUUUUUUAAGUGAUUAAUUUUGAAAUUACACCAAACAUUAUUUGUGAUCUCUGUUUUGACUUUACUUGCAGCGCUAGAGACGUUAUCAAGAUUGAGCAACUUGACGAUACUUGAUUUAAGUUAUAACUUGUUCAAUAAUAGCAUCUUGUCAUUUGUUGCCCGUCUUUCAUCAUUAACAUCAUUAGAUUUAUCUUACAAUGGAUUGGAAGGAAGUAUUAAUGUUAAAGGUACGUAAUUAAAACGUCAUCGCUUCUCCCAACUCUUCCAUUAACAUGCUAAAAUAAGAUUCAAGGCUUUGAAUUCAAUUUUUUUUAUGAGUAAUAUUAGAAAAAUAGUUUUAAGCAAUUCAUAAAUACAAUUUUCAAUGUUUCUCAUAAUUUCAUCUUGUACUUUUGUAUGUCUUGACUUUAAGAUUAAAAAAAAAUUACUCUAACUGUGAAGCAAAUACCCCAUGACUAAUUUACAAUUUUGUCCAGUUAAAAAUGAUAAAAUUUAGGGAAAUUAUCAUUUGUAUACCCUUAGUUUACUCUAUUAUCAAAAAUACUACAACACUUUGAGGGUGUAUCAAUCGUCCACCCUAAGUUGACAAAAUGUAUUAGCCAACCACCAAACCGUUAGUUGCCGUUUAAAUAUGAUAACAUCAUAAGGGUAAUCUGGUCUUUUCAUAUGAUACAAGUGAUAAUUUAAGGGUAUACAAGUGAUAAAAAGAGAGUUUAAGGGGAUACAAGUGAUAAUUUUCAAGGGUAAAAUCGUCAAUUUACUGUAAUUCCGUUAACUUUCAAACGGCAAUUAACAGUUUGGUGGUCGGUUGAUACAUUUCAUCAACUUAGGGUGGACGAUUGAUACACCCUUAAAGUGUUGUAGUAUUUUUGAUAAUAAAGCAAAUAUAGGGUAUACGAAUGAUAAUUUCCCUAAAAUUUAUCAUUUGUUUAUAUUGAUUUAUUAACUCUAUUUUAAGUCUUAAGUCUUAAGUCUUGGCAUGUUUGCAGAAUUUGAUUCCUUGAGCAACUUAGAGGAGUUGGACAUGAGCGGCAAUGAAAUAGACAAUUUCAAGGUUCCUCAAGGUACACAAUUAAAAUAUUAUUUAAUUACAUUAAUUUAAUUCGUUUGAUUAGGGAAGACCCAAAAUGUACAAAAACAUAAUUAAAAAAAAAUAAAGAAACAGAGAAUUCAUAUUAUUUCAAAAAACAAAAGGUAAUACUAUUAUUUCAAAAAAAGAAUGUAAUAAAGAUUUGAUUCCGGUUCUUUAAUCUUUAUAGCAAUUGAAAAACAAUGUUGCUCUUUUCCUAAAGCAUAAAAUAUGAAAUGAGUCAUAAUUGAAUUAGUCAUUUAUUUUGUUUAGAUCUAAAUUUAGACAAUAAAUUUUGAUUUUUUUUUCAAUUCUAUCCUUAUUAUUAUUGUUAAACAGGUUACAGAGGUUUGAGGAAGUUGAAAAGCCUCUAUCUAUCGAAUGUUGGAGUUAGAGAUGGAAGCAAGUUGUUACAGUCUAUGGGAUCAUUCCCAUCCCUCAACACUCUUUACCUGAAGGAUAAUAAUUUUACCGAUAUAGCGACAACUACUACUCAAGGUAAGUAAAAGGUACAGAUGUGGCCAAAUUUAUAAAUAAACUGUUAAUUAAUUAAUUUUCUGUAUUAUUAAUAAAGCUAAAUUUUUGCUCAUUCCCUCUAAUUCUAAACAGAGUUGCACAAUUUCACCAACUUGGAAUAUUUGACAUUGCACGGUUCCUCUCUCCAUAUAAGCCUUCUGCAAAGCAUUGCAUCAAUAUUCCCUUCGUUAAAAAAUCUGUCGAUAUCUUAUUGUGAAGUCAAUGGUGUCGUACAUGGUCAAGGUAAAAGAAAAGUGUUGGUUGUGCACUCACUGAGUGUUGUCCUACGUAUUCAAUAUUUUUAUUUAUUUAUUUUAUUGUUUAAUGUUUCUGCUAGGUUUUCCUCAUUUCAAGAGUUUGGAACAUUUGGGCAUGAUGUCCACGCGCAUUGCACUCAACACCAACUUUCUUCAAGUCAUCAGUGAAUCGAUGCCUUCUCUUAAGUACUUAUCACUGUCAUAUUCUACUCUUGGCACUAACAGCAGCAGGAUUCUUGAUCGAGGUUAAUCAGAUGCUCCCACCCUCCAUUCUUAAUCUAUAAUAUUAAUUUUCAGUUAAAUAUUUAAUUACACAAACCAAUCACUUAUUAUAAAAGAACAAUACGCAUUCAUUAAUUUUUAUAUUAUAUUAAUUGAUGAAUUUAAUAAAUUCCAGGCCUCUGUUCGCCGGUGCAUCUGCAAGAGUUAUACAUUGGUUCUAACGAUUUAAGAGGUAGCUUGCCUUGGUGCAUGACAAAUUUGACAUCCCUCCGAAUAUUAGAUGUUUCUUCCAAUCAACUUACUGGAAGCAUCUCCUCGUCUCCCCUCAUUCAUUUGACAUCCAUUGAAAAGCUGUAUCUUUCAAACAAUCACUUCCAGAUCCCAAUUUCACUUGAACCACUUUUCAAUCAUUCAAGACUCAAGACUUUUUAUGCUGACAACAACGAACUAAAUGCAGAAAUAACUCAGUCACAUUCUUUGACCGCCCCAAACUUCCAAUUAUCACGUCUCUCAUUGUCUUCCGGUUAUGAAGAUGGCGUCACAUUCCCCAAAUUCCUUUACCAUCAACAUGAUCUGGAGACUGUUGAGCUCUCACAUAUAAAGAUGAAUGGAGAAUUUCCAACUUGGUUGUUGGAAAACAACACAAAAUUGAGACAACUUUCUCUCGUCAAUGAUUCUCUUGGAGGACCUUUCCGGUUGCCAAUUCAUUCACACAAGCGGUUAGGAAUGUUGGAUAUAUCCAACAACAACUUCCGAGGCCACAUUCCAAUAGAAAUUGGAGAUGUUUUACCAAGUCUAUACCUUUUCAACAAUUCCAUGAAUGCUUUAGACGGUAGCAUUCCCUCUUCAUUUGGUAAUAUGAAAUUCCUCCAAAUUCUGGACUUAUCCAACAAUCACUUGACUGGUGAAAUCCCCGAGCACUUGGCCGUUGGUUGCGUCAACUUGCAGUCUCUUGCAUUAUCAAAUAACAACCUACAAGGUCACAUGUUCUCUAGAAAUUUUAACUUGAUAAACUUGAAAUGGUUACAAUUGGAGGGCAAUCGCUUCAUAGGUGAGAUCCCACAAAGUUUGUCUAAAUGCUCCUCACUAGAAGGAUUGUAUCUUAACAAUAAUAGUCUUUCGGGUAAGAUUCCACGAUGGUUGGGUAAUCUCACAUGGUUACAAUAUAUUAUAAUGCCCAAUAAUCAUCUUGAAGGCCCUAUUCCAGUGGAGUUUUGUCAGCUUGAUUUGCUUCAGAUUUUGGACAUUUCAGACAACAACAUAUCUGGAAGUUUACCAUCUUGUUUCCAUCCUCUCUCUAUCAAACAAGUUCAUCUUUCAAAAAUAUGUUACAUGGACAGCUAAAAAGAGGUACAUUCUUUAAUUGCUCUUCCCUUGUGACAUUAGAUCUUAGCUAUAAUCGCUUGAAUGGCAGCAUUCCGGAUUGGGUUGAUGGGCUUUCUCAGUUAAGCCACCUUAUCUUAGGUCAUAAUAAUCUUGAAGGUGAAGUGCUAGUUCAAUUGUGCGAAUUGAACCAACUACAAUUGUUAGAUCUUUCUAAUAAUAAUCUUCACGGUCCUAUUCCUCCUUGCUUUGAUAACACCACACUUUAUGAAAGUUACAGCAAUAGUUCUAGUCUUGAUGAGCAAUUUGAAAUAUUUUUUUCCAUCGAAAGCCCUCAGGGAAAUGUAGAAAAGCAAAUCCAUGAAAUUUUUGAGUUCACAACAAAGAACAUUGUGUACAUUUACCAAGGAAAAGUGCUUAGCCUCCUAUCAGGACUUGAUCUUUCUUGCAACAAGCUAAUUGGUCCUAUUCUCCUCAAAUUGGAAAUUUUGACAAGGAUUCAAACAUUGAAUCUAUCACACAACGACUUGAUAGGAUUGAUCCCAUCAACAUUUUCAAACUUGAAGCAUGUCGAAAGUUUGGAUCUUUCCAACAACAAAUUGAAUGGGAAAAUCCCUCAUCAACUAGUGAGUUAAAGACAUUGGAGGUUUUCAGUGUGGCAUACAAUAACUUAUCAGGCGAAAUUCCAGAAUGGACUGCACAAUUUGCAACCUUCAAUGAGAGUAGCUAUGAGGGAAAUACUUUCUUUGUGGAUUGCCAUUGCCCAUUUGCAGAUCACCAGCAACUAUGUCGGAGGCUUCAAUUGGCAAUGAACGAGAUGAUAAUUUAAUUGACAUGGACAGUUUCUUUAUCACAUUUACAACAUCGUACGUAAUUGUGAUAUUUGCAAUUGUUAUUAUUUUAUAUGUAAAUUCUUAUUGGCGACGUAGAUGGUUUUACUUUGUUGAAAUGUGGAUAACUUCAUCUUACUAUUUUGUUGUAGACAAUCUUAUUCCAACAAGAUUUAUCAUUGAAAUUAAUUAGUAGUUUAAUUACGAUUCUUUAAGUACUAAUCAAGUUUGUUUAGGAAAUAUUUUUUUAUUAAAAUUGUAGUAGUAUUUAGCAUUAUAUAGCUUCCAACUUCCAAGCACUUCACAUUUGUCUCUACACUUAAAAAACUGAGUGAUCAUGUUUUGCAGAUCUGGAUUUGGAGCAGGAUGGAUCCAAACCCAUAUCUGUCCACCGUAACUUAUAGCUUCCCUAUACUGUGCAGCAUACUUAAAAUAAGAGAACCAUCUCCAAUGUUAAAAGCAUUCACUCUAUAACAUUCAUUUAGAAAACUAUAUUCAGAAUAUUUUAUAAUUAAACACAAGAAAUGAAAACACACAGAUACACUUGAUCGCCUAUUUUACUCUAAAAAAGAACGAUUAUUGUGCUAUCAUCAUCUUCUUCACUAGCAACAUUAACACCAAAUCGAUGGACCCAUACAUUUCAUCAAGAAAGGUCUAUAUCCAAUAAAGUUGAAGCCUAACAAAAAAUUCAAGAAGAUUCAUGCCUCGCCACAACAAGGGCACAACAACAUCAAAGUAGAGAUUAAGCAGUAAUUCUCAAAGCUAAAACUCUCAAAUCCACCCACCAGAAUUUCAUAUCUCCUCAACAAUUUAAGAACUAAAGAUAAUUAGGAUUUAACAUUAGUUUUUUAUAUAUUAGUCAUAAUUUACAAAUCAAUGAAGAUGAAGAUUAUGCUAAUAAAAUUCAAAUUAUACCAUACAUUCUCUAGAUGUUACCAAAAAUUUCUAAGUCAAUCCCACAUAUUUCAUAAUUUUAAGACUAGAAAAUUUCACUAGUUAGAAGUUUCAUUACCUUCAAGUGGAAGAUGAAGAACAUUAUACAAGUGAUUCAGAUUAUAUCAUACAUACUCCAAAUGCAACUAGAAAUUAACAAGUUCAUGCACACAUAUUUCAUAACAUUAUGAUUGAAAAGUUUCACAGAGAAAAUUCUAAAUUCAAUCUCUUGCAUGAAGGCAAUUUGAUUGAUUGAGUUACUUCUUAUCAAGCUACUAAUAUAACAUUCAAGUCAGGAGAAAAUAAAUUAAAACUGGGAAGAAAUAACAGUAAAAAAUUUGUUGCUCAACAUGAUGUGUAUUUUUUUUCAAGGCAAUUUGGAAACACAAUUGUUACCACAGAUAUUCUUCUCAAACUUGGAGAUAAAUACAAAUAUUAAAAUGCAUAUGAUCGCACAUAUUACUUCGAGUUUAGUAAGAUUUCAUUAAAAGAAGCAAUCAAACCACUUAUCAAUUGUCGCAGUCGUUCUAUAAACUAAAAUAGCAAUAUAAUACAAGAAAAAGAACAUAUAGAUACUUGGCAAGAGUUCAUUAAGAAGUCACAUCACAUUCAGGUGAGGAGUUUGCUUCUGAUAUCUUGCUAGCUGGGGCUUUUUCUUGUCUUUCUACGUAUGCCGAGGGAAACCAACCAGCUUGGCCCUUGCAUUCACCUUCCGACCAUCCAAUAGGAGCCACCUUGAGAAGUUAUAACUAAAAUGGUGAAUUAAACAAAAGUUGACCGUUCAAAGACCUAAGGGGAAAACUAAUUCUUUUACGUAGGAGGAGUGAAUUAGUUGUGAUCACUGAAAUAACAGCAUAACUAUGGAAGCAUAACAAGAUAUAAAUUCACACGUCUAUAAGGGUAAACUGGGUGGUUGAGAACUGAGCUAGCAACCCUACUAUAUUCUGAUUUGCACUUCAAUGUAAAAGGGAAUAUAUGGUAGGAAGAAAGAAAACCAACCAUCAUUUGUUAACUCAUUGCUUUUCAAUCAAAAUUUUAAGAACAAAAUGCCAUGUGCUUUGAACAUCAAAUAAGUAUAAGCAUUAGUUCUAAAUUCCACAUAUCAUAAGUUGUUAGAAGGAUAAGUUAAUAGCAGAGUAGAAAAAUCUAUGUGUUGGUAUUUAGAGGGGAAAGUACCUGGCGAACCACAACAUAAUCAUCAAUUGAAAGACUUAGCUCUCCAUUUGCUUGAGCAUCAAAUGGAUGUAUAACCUGCAAGAUAAUGGGAUAAAUAGAACUUAAAAAAAGCAUAACAAAAGCGGCAACAGUAGCAGCAACGUUCAUUGUAACCACUAUGAUCAUGGCCAACAAGAUAUAUUAGAAACAAAAUUCCAUUUUUACUACGACAUUAAUAUGUACUAUACGAUAUCAUGACGAUUGGGUUACUAAGAGCUAUCAAAGUCUAAUAAGUUCUGUAUAACUUUAUGUAGUUAUUUAAAUUAUGGAUCAGAUUUUAAAUUUGAAAUUUUGACUGCUCUCCACAAAACAUGGCCUAUGCACAAGAAAGUCAUAGAUAAUGAGGAUUACAAGUGUCCGACAUCUUUUGAGUGAUGGAUUUAACAUGAGAGCUUAUGGUCAGUCAAUUUCCUCUGCCUAGCAAUAUAAGCUUUCUCGGCCAGAUUUAUCAUCAAAUACAUAGAUUGCCCCCAAGUCACAUCCAUAUAAACAUAGUUUUUCUAGGUAAACCAAGUAAGGAGUAUCAUAAUUCAGACAUAAUCAUAAAAAGGCCCAUCUAACUUAAGAGAAAAUCUCAAAAAGAGGGAUGCUGAGCUAUCAGUCUUGUAUCUAUAAGCAAUAUCAAGACUUUACGUCACCUGCUACAUCGUGAGUGGCUACACAACUUUCAGUGGUUUGUCUUUCUUUGGCACGCCUAACUCAGCUUUCAUGUUGCUGAGAUAUUGAUAGUAGAGACACAUGAUACUUCUAGCUCAUGCAUUCUAUCUAACUCAUCCAACAACUAUCUCUUUUUUAAUUCAUUAGUGUUUGCUAAACCUCAUGCUUAAAAGUCCUGUUCUCCUAAACAAAGUUUCCUAAGAAUGACUUCCUUAGCACCACAGUUGGACACUUUAGAGCAAUUUUAUUUGGGGGAAAAGAAUUUUCAAGGUGUUAACUAAUAAAUUUUAAAAAAUAAUUACAAUUUGUCCUACGAUCAUAUGACAAUUUAUCUGGGAUGAAAGGAUACAGAUAGACAUCUUCCACUUUCAAGACUAAUCACUACUUCCGUAGAUGUUGUGCAAUAAUACAAAUACUUGACCAGAUGGUAGUGAUGGUAGAAAAAAAUUUUAUUGCUCCAAAAUUAAAAUAAGAAUGCAAUAUGUUAAGCAAAAGGCUGUGCAACAUCAAAUUAAUUGAUAAGUUUGUAAUUCAGUAAAUUAACAACUUUCAUGGUAAAAUACAACAAAUUUCUUUUGAAAAAAAAUAAAUAAAUCUUAAAAGACAACAUUCAAUUUUGUGCACAUCUUAUUUCUUAAGAUUUUUCAGGAGGAGGGCAAUAGAGGGACUUUCACCUAUGCAAGAGAGCAGAAGCCUUACUUUCCCUAUAAAGUAGACGUCAUUCUGAUUAAUAUGCGUUUGCAAAUCAGCUCCGUUUGAAUCAGUAUUCUGAUAGACACACGAGGAAUUUACAUCCAUUUCCAAAGUCACAUGUUGCGAGGAGGACUCAUUUGAUUGCUCCUAUACGAUCAUCUAAUUCAAGUAGCAAGGGUUGGAAGAGAAUAAAAAGUCACAAUUAUUCUUUUGCAUAAGUGAGACGAAAAUGAUAAAUGCAAUAUUAUCAGCAGUAAACAAGAAGAGAACGCUCCAAGAAAUAGAUAGAUGCAGACAAGCAAGUUAAAAUGCAUAGUCCCAAACCUCCGCAUACAACUUCUCUAAAAUAGCAAUAACGUGUUGAUGCUAUGUUUUCUCAGCAUCUACCUGCAAAGGCCCGAGACCAGGAAAACAACAAUAAAACCACUAGCUGAAGGAGAAAGCAAAGAAAGAAAUACACUUGACAUAAAUCUUGACAAGAAGCACAAAUUAAGACAUAACAAACCCCAAUCAUAUUGUUUAGAACUACCAUUCGUUAUUUCGUUAUUGUAACAUUUCGAACAAGUGUUGACUUAAUUCAACAUUGUUGGAAAGAUAGGCUUUUAGAAGCAGAAGAAAGCCUCUCAAACCAAAGUGCUGGUCCUUGUAUUGAUCAAGGGAUGUAAACAUAUUACAUUUGCAGGAUGAGAUUUAAUCACUCCCCUGAUUUAUUCGGGUUGCAGUAAAACUAAGCGAGCAACUGUUUGACUUUCAAGCAACAGCUAAAUCAGCUAUUAAAAUUCAAAUAAAAUCAUAAUAGAAUAAUAACAGGCCAUCUUGCAUCAAAAAUUAAGUUUAAUUUGUGAAUUGUUUUCUAUAGACAUGUCAGUUUCUGCUAUUGAAAUGUUAAAAGCAUUGAAAAAUUAUUCAAUAAAUUAUGCAAGCAUUAAAAUAGAGGACAUAUUAAAAAGUUUCUAAUUACAAUGUUAAUAUUUCCUAUAUUUUAGCAUUUGCAUAUUUUAAUUUAUUUAAAAGCUACGUUGAUCAACUUUGGGCAUGAAGAUUUUAGCUUAUACGAGACUUGAUUGGAAUAUGCAUAAGAGUGUUAAAAUAUGAUGCAUCCAAUGAAAGACAAACCACGUGUAGUCUUUUAAUUAAGCCAAAGUAGCAGCUCAAACAAAUGACACUUGGACCAACAUGCAAUCAUGAAGUGGCCGGAAAAAGGACAAAUGCAACUUUGGCUUAAAUAAAAAAUAACAUGUGACUCGACUUUUGCUGGACAUGCAUCAUGUUAUCACAAGACAACAGAAAUCAGUAUGAUAGUACUAAAAGUUGACAAUAACAUGAAGAUAAGAGGCAGAAUGUCAACACAUGCAUAGGCACACACAAGAAAGUAUUAACUUAUAUACCAUAGCAAAAAGUCUUUGAUAUGUCAUCUGUUGCUGCUGUGAUUCAACUGACAGCAUGGCAGCUGUUGCUUCUCUACCAAGAGCCAUUAUUGUAGAUUUAAGCUCGGUCAAUCUUGCUUCUGCAUUUCGAAGCUUCACAGCACUCUCUGCUGAUAUAUCAGAUUCCUAAUCUUUGAUCGGCGCCUAAAUACUUCAGCUGCCUGGUGAAAAUAUUCAAUAUAAAUCUAACAUAAUUCUNNNNNNNNNNNNNNNNNNNNNNNNNNNNNNNNNNNNNNNNNNNNNNNNNNNNNNNNNNNNNNNNNNNNNNNNNNNNNNNNNNNNNNNNNNNNNNNNNNNNNNNNNNNNNNNNNNNNNNNNNNNNNNNNNNNNNNNNNNNNNNNNNNNNNNNNNNNNNNNNNNNNNNNNNNNNNNNNNNNNNNNNNNNNNNNNNNNNNNNNNNNNNNNNNNNNNNNNNNNNNNNNNNNNNNNNNNNNNNNNNNNNNNNNNNNNNNNNNNNNNNNNNNNNNNNNNNNNNNNNNNNNNNNNNNNNNNNNNNNNNNNNNNNNNNNNNNNNNNNNNNNNNNNNNNNNNNNNNNNNNNNNNNNNNNNNNNNNNNNNNNNNNNNNNNNNNNNNNNNNNNNNNNNNNNNNNNNNNNNNNNNNNNNNNNNNNNNNNNNNNNNNNNNNNNNNNNNNNNNNNNNNNNNNNNNNNNNNNNNNNNNNNNNNNNNNNNNNNNNNNNNNNNNNNNNNNNNNNNNNNNNNNNNNNNNNNNNNNNNNNNNNNNNNNNNNNNNNNNNNNNNNNNNNNNNNNNNNNNNNNNNNNNNNNNNNNNNNNNNNNNNNNNNNNNNNNNNNNNNNNNNNNNNNNNNNNNNNNNNNNNNNNNNNNNNNNNNNNNNNNNNNNNNNNNNNNNNNNNNNNNNNNNNNNNNNNNNNNNNNNNNNNNNNNNNNNNNNNNNNNNNNNNNNNNNNNNNNNNNNUAACCCUCUCUCCCUCUUCAAUCUCUCUCUAUUUUGUUCCCAUUGAUGACCCCAAUCUGCUUAGUUAUCCAGCUUUAUAGCUGCAUCAGUAACAAACCAGCAAACCCAGAUUGAGCAGAUUGACGACACGUGGAUAACGGCUUUAACGAACCUGGUUAAGAACUGCUCACAUGUUCGUCACGCGUGCUGCUUAAAUGAUGGCCAAAACGACUUCAAACAAAUGUCGUUUUGAGGCUUAUGAAUUACAAGUGAUAACACGAGCUUGUCUCAUGACUUUUAAAUGCAACAACGUGCCCACAACGCCGUCGUUUUACUCUGUUGAGUUUGAUUCAUUACUAAGCUUUUACGACUGGCAAUGGAGAAGAUGAUAAUUUAAUUGACACGGACAGUUUUUAUAUCACUUUUACAACAUCCUAUGCAAUUGUAAUAUUGGGAAUUAUUGAUGUUUUAUUCUGUGAAUCCUCAUUGGCAAAAACUAGUGUUUUAUCUUUGUUGAAAUAUAGAUGACCUCUCGUUACUGUUUUAUUAUAAACAUAUAGUUUCGUAAGUGAAUAUUUUAUUAUAAAAUUAACAUAUAGUUUUGUUACAUUUCUGCCUCAUUAAGAUUCUCAAAUACCAGUCAGGUUUGCUUAAGAAAUAAAUUUUUUCCAUUAAAAUUGCAGUAGUAUUUCCAAGCAUAUCGCAUUUUCUAUGAGUUUUCAUAAAUUAAUUAAUCUGCGGUGCCAAUAUCAGAUUUAGUUUUUCAAACUAAAUAAUCAAGAAAGCAAACAUACAAAUAUACAGUUUAGAGGGUAAACUAGGUAGGUGGUUUAGAUUUUAGAACUAAGCCAGCUACCUCGCUAAAUUCCGAUUCGUACAGUGAACUGCAAGAAACUGAGAAAACAAUGUAUUUAUAAUUUAAUAGAAUCAUAAGAAAACAAUGCAGUCAUUGCUCAAUAUAAGAUGAUGAUUUCGGAGAGGCACAUUGUUUUCAAGUUAAUUUGAUCCGUUUAUAAGAGAUGAAGUGGAAUGAAGUUGAAAGUUUAAAUAACAAAUCCUUGUUCUUGAGUUUUACGACGUCGUUACUCCUUCAAGUGGCAGAUUAUGCAAGUGAAUGCAGAAACACAAUGCAUCAUCCGCGGGGAUGAUACAUCAAAAGGCGGGAUUUGUUUAUGCCUGCAGAUUAGCAAUUUCACUCAUAUAGAAAAUUAAUUUUUUAUAUAUACUAAUCAACACUAAAUUGAUUAUGUGUUGUAUGUUUAUAUAUGCUAAUCAACACGAAAUUAUAUUGAAUUAUUAACAUUCAUAUUCCUAAUAAAAAUUAUUUUCCAUCAGUAUUCAAAAUUUUCACUUAUAGAAAAUGCGUUUUACGUGAAUACUAGUUAUUGUGUAAAUUUGAAUGAUAGCGAAAAAUAAACCUAUUUGAAAACUGUAAGGGUGUGUUGGGAUAUUUUACAACUGUCGGAAUCUGGUAGGAUAUUUGCACCAUUUGCCCAAUAUUUUUAGACGUACUCCAACCGGUAUUCAAGAUAAGUAAAAUUUACAAGCGUGGCAAAAAAAAAAAAUUAAAUUCGUAACUUGUAAACGAAUUUUCCUGACAUGUAUAGUAAAUGAAGUUGUUGAUCCUUUCUUUGGAUUAUUUCAGCUCUGGUUGUUGGUCACCGAUGAGCCGAAGUCUUAUUUUAAUUUUAUUUAAACUCAUCAUAAGAUUCGUGGAGCACCUAACUAACUUAACUGACUGCGCAGAUCAUCUCAACAUGGCAUAUUUAACCAUCAUUCAAGUGAUGGGUUUAAUAAGACUGCUUUUGUUCUAUCAACUAUCAAGUUCCUCUGCCUCUAAGCAGAAUUACUAUUGAAGGGCCAAAAGGAAAAUGAAAACGUGUGAGCUCCAACAACCACCCCACAAUGAAUGACGAUGCUCGGAGAGGGUUAGGUUGGGCCUCUGAGAAAAAAAAAUUAUUUUGUUAAAAAGUUACCCUUAUUGAAACCUGUAUAAAAAUUUUAUAUUAAUUAGUUAUGUCGCCUCUUCAACGAUGAUCAAAUUCUUAUCUGAGCUCAUCAUUUAAUGAGUAAACAUGUAUUUUAAUGAUCUCAAUUAAUAUUUAGAACAAAUAUUUUAAGAAGUAAAGCUCAUUAUAUCUUCCAUUAUUAUGUAUUUCUUUAAUUUCUUAUUUACAUAAUUAUAUUGUACAUUAAAAAUGUAUUGAAUUUGAAGAAAAAAAAAUUCAACUCAAAAAAAAAAAAAUGCUGGUAGCUUCGUAAUAAUUACUGUAUUGACUGCACCAGAUAAAGUUUUGUAAAAUAAUAAGUUCUCAUAAGUGGUUUUUCAUUUUUAAUUUUCUUUUCCGGCACACCUGAUCAAGAAUUCUAUUUUGUUAACUAAUCAAUUGCAAAGCAUAAGUGUUUGAACGGUACAAAAAUUUAAAAAAAAUACACUUAAAAACGUGGGGUGGGUAACGGCUCACUCAAAUCGUUAGGUAGAAUUGUGGAAAACUAAAGCGAAAUGAGAAAUAUAGAAAGAAAGGAAGAGGUGAUGUUUUUCUAUGAAUUUCUAUGGGUAACGGCUCACUCAUCCUUCUAUGAAUUUCUAGCUGUAUUGACCCCAACUGCUAAAGUUUUGUAAAAUAAAAAUAAAAUAAAAACUGGAAUUUCAACAAAAAUUCAAAAACGUUUGAAAUUUAAUUUUUGGCCAUGUGGAACAAAAUGUAAAUUAAGUAAAAAAUAUAAAUCUCAAUUGCUUAGUAUGGUUAGGAUUUUGUGAGCAUCACUAAAAAGUGAAAACUAUGAAUGAUAGAGGUGAUGUUUGCAACAUGAAUAAAUGAUGAACUGAAUCAAUUGAUGAUCGUAAUUACAUAAUGAACAAAAUUUACAAAAUCAACAAAAGUUAAUAAAAAAUUAUUUUAAUAAUAAAAAAUCAAUAAAACUUAUUAUUUAAGGGCGCUCUAACCAUGGAAUACCAUAAUCAUAAUCUUCUUUUAAGAAAAUUAUAAACUUAUUAUUUUACAGGAUUGAUCCAUUUGGAAUGAAGUGGUCUCAAGUUGAAAGUAAUUAAUUUAUUGAAUAACUUUCGACUUAUUAAUAGUUAUAUCAAAGGGUGUUUUACCUCAUCAUGUCUUCAAGUGGAAGAUGAAGACUAUGCAAGUGAAUUCAGGAAUAUUGCAUGCCUGUUGUCUAAAGCAUUACCUCACAAGGUUUCAUGAGAAACGAAAGAUGUGUUUGCUUUGAACAAUUAAAGUUACUGCUACGAACCUCCCCAAAGGUCAAGAAGACAGAACAGGAAGCUAAUGCCAUCAAUGUCUUGUUCAUUAUAGCUGCUGGGUAGUUAGGUGUAGUUUCCUCAUUUGAAGCUGUCUAUACAUAGGCAUUUCCCCUGCUUAUGUACAAAUAAAUGAACAACCUUGAAGCUUUAUUAUUCGCAACAAAAAGGGAUUACUAAUUGGAGAAGACAAUACAGAGUUUUCUCUCACACUUUCUCUCUGUCAAUUUCAUCCAGAAGUCCCUCUGAAAGCUUCUCCCAAAACAGUUAGUCAUCUUUUAUGCUCUGUUUUCUGAAAACAGAGUCCUAACUAAAUUAAUUGACUGUACAGUGCAUUUCAACAUAGCAUAUUUAACCGUUUUAACAGUUAUUUGGACCGUCUUCAGAGGUAACAUCAACAAACUCAUUCAUAUGCUUAAUAAUGAACGAAUAGUCUUGGAUCGAUGUUUUGCAGCAAGAGCAACACGACACAAUCUGGAUUCAACCUCCUCCUUUCUAACAGGGGAUUUCGAUUUGAGUUACUUUGUGCUCAAGCAAAUUCACAUCAUAGUUUUGAUUCUUUAGAUAUGAAUUCAUCUCAUUACAUAUAUCAGAUUAAGUGUAACAAAAUUUGUAAUUUACUGCGAAAAGAAUAUGCACUAAAAAAUGAUUUCAAGACUAUUUGACUACAAAAAGCAGCUGUCAGAGUGCACUAAAAAUUUCUGUAGGAUAUUUUGUAGCUGUUUAAUAUGUUAUGAUGGGCAUAUAAUUCUCAAAUUUUGAUGCCUCUCAGCGAAAAAUAUAUCAAAGUUACGGAUGAUAUCACGUAAAACAUGCAUGGCUCAGGCUCAGGCUCAGGUAAGAAAGCCACAGAAAAGGAAAAUCUCACUGUCACGACUCACGUCACGCAUCAUUCAAGUGAUGGAUUUAACAAGACUGCUUAUGUUCUAUCAAAUUCCUCUGCCUCUCAGAAGAUAACUUUUCUGGGCCAAAUUUCUCAUCUAAAGCAUAUUAUGCCCCAAAGUCACAGAUAACAAAAUGGGGCACUACCGAUUAUGAAAGAGAACUAGUAGUUGUCAGAAGCCUAAGCCAAAUUCCGGUAGUAAGAAGAGGCCUUUCUUGAGUUUAGAUUAUGUGUUCGAGUUUUAAUAAAUGCCUAAGUUAAUAAUAAUAACAACAGUAAUAAUAAACUAAAAAGCAUAAUUACUAUUGAAUGGUAAAAAAAAAAAAUGAAAAUGUGUGAACUCCAAUAACCACCCCAGUGGCGAAUUUUGGAGAGGGCUAGGCCGGGCUUCUUAGAAAUUAUUUUUAUUUAAUUACAAAAUCACCUUUACUGAAACCUAUAUAAAAUUUUUUAUAUUAAUUAAUUAUGUUGCCUCUUCAAUUAUCAUUAAAUUCUUGUCCGUUCAUAAUUUGAUGGACAAAUGUGUAUUUCAAUAAUUUCAAAUAAUGUCUAGAACAAAUAUUUUGAAUUAUAAAACUCAUUAUGUCCUGCAUUACUAGAUGUAUCUAUAAUUUAUUAUUUACAAAUUAUAUUGUAUGAUAAAAAUGUAUUGAAUUUUUUUUAAAAAAAAAGUUCGGCUCACUCAGAAAAAAAUGUUAUUAGCUUCGCCACUGCACAAAUCUAGAAUAAUAAUUAUUCCUUAUUAUAUUGACUGCACCAAGCAAUAAACUAAUAAGUUCUCAUCAGUGGUUUUUAAUCUUUUUAAUUCUUUUUACCGCACACCUGAUCAAGAAUUUUAUUUUGUUAACUAAUCAAUUGCAAAGCAUAUAUAAGUGUUGAACGGUACACAAGAUUGGAAAAAAAAAUCUUAAAAAACGUGCGGAUUCGGGUGGCCACACCAGAAAUCUAUUACAAUAAUUAGCUUUGAUGCUGGGAAUCUUUUAAUUUCUGGCCGUAUUGAAGUUUUUAAAAUAACAAGUUCCCCUUCUCGUUUUUUUUUUUUUUUAAAAUAUAUAUGCUUAUAACAAUUUUAGAAUAAUGAUUCAUUUGUAGAAGAACUUAUGAUUUCCCAUUAAUAUUAAUAUUGAAGUGGGGUGGGUCAAAUCUCAAUUGCUUGAAGAAUUUAUGUAUUAUUAAAUAUUACCAUCCAAGGUAGAAUUGUGGAAAAUUAAAGCAAAAUGACAAGUAUGGAAAGGAAGGCUGAAAGUAAGGCAUGACGAAAGGCUUUGAGAAGGCUGAAGACUACCAAAGAAGUCAACUGAAAACUAGCUGGGGCCUGAGUGUAUAAAUUGUUAGAUGCGUUUGUUAUAAAUAACAUAGAGCCCUUUUGUUAUUUAUAGUUAUAGAGAAAGAGAGAAUGUGUGUUUUUUAAUAGUUAGAGAUAUAGCUAGAAUGGGUUGCUCAAAAUCCAAAAUAGUGACAAUGUUAGUUCUCGUAUUGAUAAUAUUGGGGGGGGGGGGGGGGGGGGGGGGGGGGGGGGGGGGGGGGGGGGGGGGGGGGGUGUUGGGAGGUCGAGUGAGGGAUGUUUGGAGCAUGAGCAAUUUGAUCUUUUGCGGCUUAAACAUUUCUUCAAUUAAUAUCGAUCUGGAGAGUGGUAUCUGAAUGCUUCUCUAUUUACUUCCUUUCAACAACUUGGUAACAAAAUAGCCGGCUGCAUGCGUUGAGAAUGAAGGUGCUUCAUUUAAUUUAAUUUACUUAAUUUCUCCCUCCUAAUUAAUGUCUAUAAUCAUUAGGAGGAACAAGGGAUUUUAUUAACUCAAAUAUAUCUAAUGGAGCUCAUUCUUUGGUUUUACUUGCAGGGCUAGAAGCAGGUGUCAUCUAACAGCUGCUUUGAUAAUUUCCCUCCCCUUCAUCUUUGAUGGAAAGAUGAAAUAAAAACAAAUUGGUGAAAAUGGUAUUGGUACCUGAGGCUAUGUAAUCUAAUUCAAAAACUGCACCAUCAAAACGAUUACAUAAGUCUCAGAAGAAUCAAAUAUCAGUUUGCAAAAUAUCAAUUGCUGGAGGUUUGAUUCUAACUUCCGCUCUUCAUUUUUAUGGGCAUAUUGUGUUGUACUUGCAUCCGAAAAUCAUAUUUUAGUUUACUUGCACUCAAUGCUUGGAUUAAAGUUUUUUUUUGGGGGGGGGGGAUUGAAGAAGACUAAAAUUACACCAAAAAAGAGUUGAGCGAGAGCGGGUUUUGUCUUCAUUUAAGGAGCUCUUUAUAAAUUUUGGGAUUUUUUUCCUGAGAAAAUUUAUGCCAACUCAUUCUUUGCUUCUUUUCUGAAGGGACACAUGCAACCGAAAGUAUAUUCUUGAAUUCUCCAGGAUAAGAGACAUACGUUUAGAUUCUGGAGCAUUUAAAAACAAUGUCAAAUUUUAGAUUGCUGAAAUUUUAUAUAUCCGAGUAUGAUGGUGUUCCAAUUAUAAGCUCCAGGGUGCAACUUCACUGAGGUUUAGAAUGCCUUCCUAUAGAAUUGAGAAAUCUCCAUUGGCAUAAAUAUCUUUUGAAAAUACUGACAUCAGAUUUUGAAUUGGAGAACCUGAUUGGACUCAGCUUGCCCUGUAGUAAGGUUAAGCAAAUUUGGAAAAGAGAAAAGGUAUAAUGUAUUACUAUUACCAAAGUAUCUAUUUUUCUUUCUUUAAGUAUUUAUAAUGAAUAACUUUGAAAUUCAAUGAUGCUCAUUUAGUAUAGUUAUGUAUCUUUGGUUAUAGGAAGCUGUCAAGUUAAAAUCUAUAGACCUUCACCACCCCUUUAUCUCAAUAGGAUCCCAGAAAUACUAAAUCUUAAAAAAAUAAAUCUUUCAAAUUGUGAAAGCAUGCUUACGUUACCCCCGUAUAUCCACAAUUUCAACUAGCUGAGUAUGUUGUGUUUCAGGGAUGCAAAAUUCAUUUUGUUUCUCAUGAAAGGAUUGACUUGUCCGGAUGUAUUAGGGUUAGUAAACCAACUAAUCCCAUAAUUUGUUGAUGUAGGGUCCUAACAAAUUAUUGCAGUAGAUUGUAGAUCAGUACACUAUUCGAAAACGUAUUUGAUCCACACAGUGAAGUGGAUAUUGGACCAAUUUGAUGAUAAUGAAUUUCUUUCAAUCUCAAUCUUUUUUCUUUUUAGCAACAUGACUAGUCAUUGUGCAAAUUCAAACUCUGACAAUAAUUUCUCAAUCGGUUUCUAAGAUGAUGACCAUGCAUGUAUAUGUAUAUGCGUGUGUAUAUGUGUGUGUGUGUAGAGAGAGAGAGAGAGAUCACACGUGUGUGAUUUCCUUUUGCCAAUAGGAUAUGCAGAGAGCUUGAUCUUACCCAAUAGCGAAACAAACUUCCUAAUAAGUGAAGGUAUAGUAUAAAUACUUAUACUUUCAUGUUAUUUUGUUCAUCAGUAGCUUGAUUAUUUUAUAUGCGUCUUCGAUUUUAAUUUUCUUUCCCUAUAAUCGCUAUUAUCUUUGAACUGGUCAUAAUUUGCCCAUAAGAUUUCUCAUGUUGUUUUGAGGUGCAACGGAUUUUGAAUUUAGUGACAAGCAGUGGAAGCCAGAAGGCAAAUUAUGAAAAUGGAUAAAGAUCUAUAAUUAGCUGUUAUGGGAUGUCACAUAUCAUAUUGAUGGUAACGUUAUAUAUAUGUACAUAUAAUUAAUGGGGUUGGCUCACGAGCCCAUUAAUAAUGGUAUAUUAGCUUAUAUACUUCAAACAAUGUACUAUGAAGCAAUUUCACAAAUACUUGUUAGCUUAUGUUGAGCUUUAUUGAAUCAGUAGUUCACAGUUCAAUAAAAUGCAGGUUUGCUAUUUGAAGUACAUGGUUAUGGUGCGUACAUUCUUCAUAAGGCUAACUACUAAUUUAUCAUUGAAACUUGAAAAAUGUGAUAGAGAGAUGUAGAUAACAGCCGCAAAACACUGAGAUUGAAAAUCAGGGCUACUAAAUUCUAUUAAAAGUCCUUAAAAUAGACAGCGAUCACCCUGAAAUGUAUAUACUGAAACUAAGAAAUAUUAAUCGCAAAGUUAUGCAUUAAUAGAACUAUUGACUACUUAUCUUUAGCAUAAAGUAUAUUUUUAACUACAGCUUUCUGCUUUGUUCUAAGAACUAGGCAAAAGUGGUGUAUCUUCAAUCCAAUCAACAUAUAUACCACUUAUCUUCCUCUUCACUUCUGUCUAUUUUGAUUUGCACUUCAUAUCCUGCACUUGCUGCUUAGAAAUAGUCUUUAUUCUGGACAUUGAAAGUAGAAAAAGUACUUGAAACAAUCAUUGGCACAGCCCGAGAUUCCAUUGAAUCGUGGACUCCAAGCUUUCAUAGUUCUAUAAAGAAGAUGACAAAACUUCAUACAACUGGCAUUCUGCUUUUAACAUUUGCACAACCUGAGCGAGUUAGCAAGCCCCUUGUUGCGUUCCCAUUGAAUAGACCUACUUCUGUUAUCCGCAGAAGAUCCACCACUCAAAAUGUUUAUCACCAGGCUAUUCUUAAACUGAGCCUAAACUGAGUAGAAACUUCCGCACAUCUCUCAGCAUUUACAUGAAGAAAUCGACAACUAUCCUCAUCUCUCAGCACAUCUCUCAGCAUUCUACAAAGUUGCAUUUCACUAAGCAAUCUAUCCUCUCCAUUCCUAGCAAAGUGACAUUGAUUCCCGUAUUUGUAAUCGCCUAACUUGGGUUUUGGGCAUAGCGUGGUCUUAAAAUUACCACCCAAUACUUUGUUCAGUGCCACUGGCAUCCACAAGCUCUAGCCCUGUUAGUUGAAUCAUAUUCAAUGGGACAGUGAGGCAGCAUUUCACUAACAUAUUCAAUUUGACUACUUAUAUUGACGCAAAUAUUAGAAUUUGAAAUCACUUCUUUUAUUGGAAUAUUAUAUUAAUAUGACCCCAAAUGAAAGUUCUUGAAUGGAAAUGAUUUUUAUUUACUUUUCGAACAGAUUCAAGAAAACCCAGAGAACACAAAAUUUACACAGUAAUAUGAUUAAGAGCUGAGAACGUAUAUGUAGUAAAUGUCUAUCAAAAAACACCCAAGGGUUUCUUUAAAAUUAGUAACUAGUAAACAAAAAGAAAGAAUCAUUUUACAUUUUUAGCAACUUUGGGGUGAGUGAGUGAGUGAGAAAUUGAAACCCUCAAGUGAUGACAACAGUAAGAUUCAGUAUGAAGUGAAACCCCAAUUUGAAAUGUAGGCAUGAGUUGCUGAGUCAGUAGAUGAAGCUAUAAAUAGGCAUUCGGUUUCCUUCUUUUCGGUUUGGAGGGCCAUGGAAUAGUGUAUUGGAGUGGGCUCCAAGUAAUAGCCUCUAUCACUGGAACGACACAUCUAUAAAAUGUGAUACAUGGGGAAGGAUUGGGCAUUUUAUUCUUAGAUUAGCCCCUUAUUUAGGGUGUAUAUUAAGCAGAUUAUAUAUUACAUGGAGAUGGAGUUUAUGAAAUAGAUUAAAAAGAAAAGGAAAUUUUGGUGCCUAAAGUUUGCCACUUGGAAUAUUUCGGUGUCUAAAAAUUCACUCACCACUUAUUUCAUGUUUGAUUAUAUGUUGAAAAGAUAUUAAAAUAGUAUAAUGCUAUUAAGGCUUAACGUAUAUUUUUUAUUAGUAGAGUGUAGAAUUUUUAAGAAAUAAAUUAUUAAAUUAUUAUAACUAACAUAUUAUUUUAAAGUUGUGUUAUGAAAAAAAUGAAAUAAAAAUGUACAGUAAAUAAGAAUAUUUUAAAACUUUUAUCUUUUUAAAAUUAGUUUUUAACAUAAGGUGAACUAUUUUUUUUUUUAAAAUCACAUAUUCUAGUUAAAAUCAAAUAUGUAUUUAUACGAAGCUUGUAAAUUUUUUUUUUAGUACUGAUAUUUGAAUAUUAUCAAUAAAAAAAAGGGUAAUGUUCAUGCUGCAUUAUUUUUGUAGCACACAAAAGGACAACACCGUUUAUGUUAUAAUACUAUCGCUUCUGUUAUGAUAAUUUUUUUUGUGGCCAAAUAUCUUUUUUUUUUUUAAGUAAAAAAAAGUGGACAAAAUGCAAAUCAGUUUUUAAUCCUCAAUCUCUCCCAAAAUAUAUAUUUCGGUGUCUAAAAAUUCACUCACAAAACUAUAGCUGACAAAAAGUUACUAACAAAAAGUUAGGUCCAUGGGUUGUUAAAACUAUAGCUGACAAAAAGUUACUAACAAAAACAGAAUGUCCAUUUUAUAACUUUCUUAAAAAACUUUCCUUAACUUUUUUAAACAAAAAGUUAUUUCCAAUUUUUAUUUUGUUAUAAUGUUUAUAACAAAAUUCGUAGUUAACUAAACUCUUCUUAUACCCUUUCUCAACUGCCAUACCCUAACCCACUAAACCACGCUCAAUUAAGGCCAUCAGAUUCUCCCGGGCCCACAUUAAUCCAACUGCUCACAGAGACCGACAGCCUCUCUAUCUCCAUUUCAAGCUCCCUCUUCAACUGGCUUCUGCUACCGUCCUACUCUUUCUCGGCUUCGGAGUCCGUAUUUGCUCGGCCUGUCCCACGAAGCUCCCUCUCACUCCAAUUGUCGCCCCACAAGACCAAUUGCUUAAUCAAGACACCGAACAAGAAAAGGAUGAGAAGUUGAAACAAGAAUUUGAGAAUUGGAAAUAAAAAACGUACGCAUUGACCGUGCCUUUGAGAGUCGUUUCUCUUCAGAACUCAGUGCCUCAAUCUUGGGUUAAGGAUUUUAUGCGAAGUCAGGGAAAGAGAUUGAAGUUUCAGAUGAAUUUGUGUGCUAGCAUUGAUGGGAUCUUUAACAAUUUAUCUGUGCCCUUUAACAAAGUUAAGGCUAAGUCAGCUUCUUAUAUGGCUGCUGAUUUGGUUAGUGUUGGUGAUUCAUGGCUUAGUUUUGCCAUUAAAAAGAGAUUGAUUGAGCCAAUGGCUGGAGCUGAAGACCAAGAUUGGUUCAAAUGCUUAAGUCACAAAUGGAAGGUAACAUCUUUGUCUUUGAUCCUCGAGGUAAAAUAUGGGCGGCACCGUACAGGUGGGGCACAACGGUGAUAGCCUACAAGAAAAGUAAAUUUCGAAAGCAUAAUUUGGCUCCGAUUGAGGUAAUAAUUUUCUUUAAACUCAUUUAGUUUUAUAUCAAACAAAAUCAAGACUGCCUUUCUCUUCAAUAUUUUUUAUGAUAAUAUCUUUAGAAGCAUCUCAUUGACGGGUAACAAUGGCAUCCCUGAAAGAGUCUAUAAACUCAAUGAUAUUAUCUUCUACAAAUGGUUCAUUAAACUUUGUCGUUGUACUCAAAUGUACACUCAGAUCAAUGAGAAGCUAUGCUACGUUAGCAUGUAGUGAUGGCACUUAAUAAGUGAGUUGCUAGGAUGUGAACUAGAAAAAUUAAAUAUUGUCUCCUUGGGUAUGCUAGCUGGUAAGUCAGGGUUAAUAUCAGAGCUUAAGAUAGUAUAACCGUGAGAACCUAUUGACUGCCAAUUAAAAUAUCCAUUGAAAUGUCUAGGGAGUUAUGAAGGUGGAGGUAACUUCCAAUUUCUAAGGCCACAGAGUAGACAUCAUCCAGGAUCCUAGGAAAGUCCAGUUAACCUCCUGCUCGAUGCAAUUAAUAAAUUUGGUCAAUGCCACUGAAACCUGCUAACUGACGUCACAAUGCGACAUGAGCACUUCAAAAUGGGACAGACGGUCAGUAGCACUAAAUUUUUCUUGCCCAAGAUUGAGCAAUUGGUCUAACUACUAAUCCCUAUUGUAGGUUGAUCAUUAUUUUUUCAAUUAUGUUCAGUUUGACCCAAAAAGUUGCAGAAUCUUGAGCUAAAUAUUGUCACUGAACACUGUCAAUGUCAUUUAGCAUAGCCAACUAACUUGAUGUUAAAACAAACACACAGUGUGUCUCAUGUCUCACAAUUCAAAUUAUCAUCUGUAAUGUUGGAGAAUUUUUCCAAUGUAUGAAGUAUGCUUUGAUACGUGGGUUACCUUGGAGAAGAUAUCUCAAAAUAAAGAAUAUGGGGAGAAAACAGUUCAGUAGUUUAUUAUUCUGUAGUCAAGUUUUGUCUCGAAAAUGGUCAAAAUUUAAAUGAAUAAGGACAGGGGAUCUUCAUUCUUUUUUCCCUUUUUUAUACCAAGAUAUCUCUCAACCUUUAUAUAAUCCCCACUGGAUAUCUGCUUCUAAUAAUUAAAAUAAAAAUUUCACCGCUCUAACAAUAAAAAGUAACAUCUUUCCUCAAAUAAUUUACAGUUCCUCAUCAUCUUAGUGUGAGAAUAUCAGUACAUUCCAAAAACAUAAUAAAACUGGUUUGAUCCUGUUUAUUGAUGUUUAAAUGUUGUUCAUUGUGACAGGUAGAAAUGAUGAGGCGAAGUUUAUUUGGACAUCAAUUAGUAAGAUCUUGUUUGAAGUUGUUUUCUGAAAUGAACUGCCAAAUGGUAGUUUUUUGGGGGCAUUUGAUGGCUCUUUUUUUUUCCUCAUUUUCAACAUGUGCCUGCUUGGAACAUGAAGGAUUAGGCUGCAGAGUUGUUAUAUAUUUUGAGAUGCUCUGGUCAUUGCACAAUUUGUUCACACUGGAAAUUAGAAUGAGAAAUUUGUUGAUGCUGUUUUGAGAGAUCUGCAUUCUAUGCACAAUAACAUGAUUAAUGAAAAUGCAUUGUAGGACUGGAAAGAUCUGUGGCAGCCUGAGCUCGCAGGAAGAAUUUCAAUGGUUAAUUCUCCCCGAGAGGUUAUUGGUUCAGUUUUGAAGUAUAGGGGAACAUCAUACAAUUCAAACUAUAUUGAUUCGCAAGUUGCUGGUGGGAAGAUUGCUGUUCAGCAGAAUCUGGCAUUACUGGCAAACCAGGUACUCUUACAGAAAUCAUAUCUGGUCAUUGCAUGUUAUUGCCUGACAACUGAUUUUGUUUGUAAAAGUCUGCUUCUUCAUACAUAUGAAUGCAUAUGUUAGUGUUUUCUUCUCCUUUUCAUACAUAUAAAUGCAUAUGUUAGUGUUGUCUUUUCCUUUUCACACAUAUUAAUACAUAUGUUGGUGUUCUCUCCUGAGAUGGAUGCAAUAAAGGCUUUUGCUCCUAAAUUUAGCUGAAGAAAUGGCAAGGGAUGUGAGAUUCUGUCUCAUUAAAUUAACAAAAACCCAAAACAAUGAAAAUCCAUAAUAAUGUGGUGUGGGUAAAUUGGCUCCAUUUGGUUCGUUUCCUUAAUGUGAAUGCGCGAGCAAUAGAGACUAACAAAAUGAAGUGACAACAAGAAGUCAGUGUCCUUUGAUGGAUGCAUUUUUAGGCAGAAAUAUGUUUGUAAUUGACCAAAUUUGUCUGGCAUGCCAAUUUCAAAAAAAUUAAAUUAUGUGGUUAUUAGCUGUAAUGAAGGGGGAUAGUAGGUGCAAUCAGGUGUAUCCAGGAAAGUUCAACAAAGUUUUGGUAUGGCGUAGUGAAAUUGGUUUGUGCAACUCAGGAGUCUUUCAGGUGAACGAUGAUAGGUUUUGAUUUAUGAAUAUUAUAAAUCUACUGUGCAUAGUAUUCUAGUAGAAUCAUCUAUAAGUUCUAGUUAUUGUAUACUUUGCCUGGUUUGAGUUAAGGGCACAUGUAAUAUGAAAGAUAGUUGUCGCAUCUUUUAGGUUACCUAACAUUUGAUCAAUCCUAUUAUGGGGGCUUCAAGAUGUCUAACAAUAUGUAGAAUGCCCAUGCUCCUCCCCAUUGUUUAUCUUCUACAAUAAUUUGUUUUAGAUGCUAAUAUCUUUGUCGAUACCGGUAACAAUAUUACAAUAUCUGCGUUUAUUGGGUUUUACAUAGGUUCGACUGUUUGACAGUACACACUAUCUGAAGGCAUUUGCAAUUGGAGAUGUAUGGGUUGCUGUUGGGUGGAUUAGUGAUGUUCUUCCUGCUGUCAAACAUAUGUCUAAUGUUGCUGUUGUUGUUCCCAAGUCUGGUGCUAGCUUAUGGGCUGAUCUUUGGGUAUACCCAUGCCUGCCAUUCUACUUCAAUAUUCACAUUGUUAUCUCCUUCAUAUUAGUGAUCAGUAAACACGAUAAUGUGACUAAUAAGUUCGUAUUCUCUUUAUAGGCAAUCCCUGCUGCCUCAAGACUUGAAACAAAACAAAUUGGAGGGCGAGUCAGAGGUGCAUUUCCAUUAAUCCAUCAAUGGAUAGAAUUCUGCUUGCAAACAGCGAGAGCAUUGCCUUUCAAGCAAGAGGUUAUCCCGAGCGCAUCUCCCUCUGCCCUUGAGAGUACUCUGGUUAAGUUGCCUGAAGAACUUUUCAAGGGUAAACCAAGUCUGGAUACUAACUUAAUUGCUGGAGUACCCCCGACUGAAAUUCUGGCCAGAUGUGAGUUUUUGGAGCCUUUAUUUGAAGCUACAUUGUCGGAUUAUGAGUGGCUGGUUACUAAUCUGCAAAAAUCCACUCCUGUACUGAUCAACAAGAUGCAACAUUACAUGUCAUCAUUGAUCUUUAGCUAAAGGUACAUUGAAAAGUUAAUGGCACUGCAUACCAGUCAUUAUAAUUGGGUCAGGGCAAUUAGGUCAGAGCAUAACUUCAUUAGGAAAAGAUGCUUCAGCUACGUUAAAUAUUACAGGAUGUACUGAGAUGGCUGAAGCUGUUGAGGUUUUACGAGAAUCGAAAGAUAGUGUUUGUUUGAACAAAGUUGUUGCCAAUCUUGCAGAGUUCGAGAAGAAAGAUCACGAAGUGAAUGCCACCGAUUUCUUCAUCAUUGUAGCCUCCAUAGUUGAAGUUUCCUCAUUUGAAGCUGUUUAUGCAUACGAUUUUCCCCUGCUCAAGUACAGGAAAUUGAAGAAUUAACCAGAUGUGAUAUGCUGAAAGAGGGAAGUUUUCUUCCUUGAAUGUGGUCUUUGUGAUUUGUCUUGAAGGAAUAGGGUGAUCACUGGCAAGAACCCUAUCAAGGUAGAUUUUAUGAUGUUAACAUAUCAUUAAGCAUUUUGUUACAUCAGCAAUGAUGCUUUCAUAGCAGCAUGAAAGUGUUUAAAUUUAACUGAAUGAUCUUGAUUGAUCAAUUAUGAGUUUUAAUCGAGUAAAAACUAAAUACAAUAAUCGUUAACAAAUAUUGAAAUUGGGUAAAUAUGAUCUUGAUAUUGAAGAAUUUGAAAUCACAACCCACACAGGAAAUCACCCUUCGCGUGGGGAUGGAGAUGUUUACUGCAGCGAUAUUGAAUAUGUCCACCGCUCUUUGGGUUAUGGUGCGACUUGCCCUGAAACAAUGGAAAAGAAUAAUUAAUAAUUUAACGCCAAGACAUAAAAUUAAAACGUGUGGACUCCGGUAGCUGCCCUACAAGUCUACAACUCUACAAACAUUAACUCUACAAACAUUAAAACGUGUGGACUCCGGUAGCUGCCCUACAAGUCUACAACUCUACAAGAAUAAUUUCUAGCCCUGUUGACUCCACUAACUAAAGAAAUUUCAAAACGUACAUAGAAUUCCACAACAAGCAAAACGUAUGGAAUUUAAUUUUUUGCCGUGUGGAACAAAAUACAAUUUAACAAAAAAGGAUAAGAAAAAUGGUAAGAUUUCUAAAAUGAGUGGAAGGUGAUUCAUAUUUUACUGAAAUGACUUGUCCUGAACAUUAAGACGAUUGAUUUUUUUUUUUUUUUAAUAACAUCAACUUCCAUAUCUUUCUAACCCCUAGAAUAUGCUCACGUUCAAGUCUAUCUUGGUAAUUUGAAAAAGAAAAUCAAAUCAAAUCAACACCAAAACAAUGAAAAGUAAAACUUUUGAAUUUCAACUUUAAACUUUUGUUAACCCCUAGAAUAUUCAGCGUUUUCAAAUUCUUCCGAUUGCAUAUCUUCUUCCUCCAUCAAUGCAAUAUUUGAACGAUUAUGAAAGAGUUUAAGAACAUAAAAAAUCUCCAAGGUUUAUACGGUAUAACAAAUUUAAAUUCUCAAUUACAAUAGAUAAUAAUUAAACUAAUAAUUUUUUAUGUACUUAUUUUAGUAAUUUCACCUAAGAAUAAUAUUGUAAUUAGAAAAAAAAAUCUAAUAAGUAGGGUGGUCUUAUACAAAAUCAACUGUACUGUGAUGAGUUUCCUUUUGUUAAUAAUUUUAGUCUAAUUUCAAUUGUACUGUGAUCGCUUCUCAAGGUAAGUGAAAGUUACAGAUGUGGCAAAAUAAAUAAUUAAGUUAACAAAAUGCUAACUAAUUUUCCUCAAUACCUAGGGUUGUACAAUUUCACCAACCUGGAAGAAUUGACAUUAAUGGACUGGUCUCCUCCCCAUAUAAUUAUAAUCCUUCUAGAAAGCUAUUUUUUAUUAAAUAUUUGCUUUUAAGUUAAUUUCAAUUAAAAAAUGUUUUAAGUUAUAUAUACUCUAAUGAGAUUCUGAAUUCCUUUAUUCCAAUAAUAAUGAAAACGUAUUAAAUUAGAAAUGAAAAAAUUGGUGUUGAUGAUUCAACCUAUUUGGAUAGAUUACGUGAAUAAAAUUAAAAUUUUGAUUUAAUUUUUGUUUAUUGUUAAUUCUCAGGCUAUCUUAAUUUCAAGAAUUUAGAAUGUUAAUUUGGUCAUGGAUUUCAACCCGUGAGUGUCAUAUUCUAGACUUAAUGGUACCAUUCUUUGAUUGAGGGCAAUGACUCUCACUCCUCUUGUAAAAAAAUAUUUUCAACUAUUUUGAUGACUUAAAAAUUGAUAGAUUUAUUGUUGUCAUGACCAAAUUAUUCAUUUUAAUGAAAUAUAAUUAAUGCAUCAAAGUUACCAGGUUUAUGUUCUAUCUUAAUGCGCUUUUUUUUUUUUCAGUUAUAGCUUCUGCUUACGUCUGUUUCAUUUUUUUUAAUAAAAAAACAAGGGAAGGUUUUUCCGAGUCAUCCAUUAUUUGAUUUCCGUCAAUCAAGAAAACGACCAAAUUAAUUUCUCUCCAAAAUUUCCAAAAGCUAGAAAAUUUUGUUAUUUGAAAAUAACAUGAUUAAUUAUAGAGUGGAUCAAACCGCGUUAUUGUCUUUCAUAAAAUUGAUGUCUUUUUAAGAGUCAAUACUUUUUAUUUACGCAAACCAGUCGACAUCAAUUUAAACUUCCAUAUUUUUAUUAUUAUUAUGUUAUUUAUUUUAAUCGCCGAUUAUUUGAUUAGCCACUAUAUAUAUCAAGAAAGCGACAAAAUUUAUUUCUCAUGACUUCCAAAAACUAGAAAAACAACAUCAUUUAUUAUUUUUUUGCAACCCUAAUUGACAUCAACUUUAACUUUAUUAUGUUAUUAUUUCAAUCCCCAUUAUGACCUUUCUAAUCCUCCAUUAUGCAUCUUUUAUAGUGCAAAUUUAAUUGCACAUCUAAAUAAAUUGAUUAUUGUUACUCCACCACCAAUAUUUCAAAUAGUCACUAGACCAUUUCUGCCUUUAAUUUUCCCUUAACUAUUGACUGUUUUUAGCAUCUUAAAAUAUACAUUUAUUCCUUGAUUAUGUGAUAAAAUUAUGAAAAUAUCCAUUUUAGCUUAAAUUAAUUGGAAUAACCAUAAGCGUAACAUAAAUUAAUAGAACAAAAUUAUCAAGUGUAUGUUCUAUCUUACUUUUUGAAGAAUUUAACAUAUAUAAUGCUAUACUAUUAAUAAAUUUUUCAUUUACUAUAUAUGUUCACAUAUUUUAUAUAUUUAUUAAUUGUUAUAUAGUCACAGGAUGAAUGAUUUUUCAGGUCUACAUGAGUUGGUGCACAUGCAAGACUCAAUUUUGACAACAAUGAUCUAAGGGGUAAUUUACCUUGGUGUUUGACAAACAUAACCUCUCUUCAUGAUUUACUUCCAAUCUACUUACUGUAAAUAUCUCCUCAUCUCCUCUCAUUUAUAUGAUAAGUGAUAACCCUUGAAGAUCUCACAUUUUCAAACGAUCAUAUUAGGGUUUUUAUUAUUAGCAUCAUUGUGUCAACAAAAUAUAUGUUGCAGUAAGAUUUUUUCAGACCAAUUCCCUUCUUCAAAUAAUAAUGGAAAAGUAUUAAUUUAAAAAUAAAAUGAAUAUGCAUUGAUUAUAUCCUGAUUUCCAUCGAUUAUAGCGAGAGUUUCUCCGAAUCAACUCCCUUAUUCAAAUAAUACAGAAAAAAUAGUAAUUUAAUAGUAAAAUUAGCAAGUGUUGAUUAUAUAUCCUAAGUUUCAUCGAUUAUGUGAUCAAAGUGGCAUUGUUGAUUUAUUUCUUGUUCAAUGUUAAUUUUUAGGUUAUCUAAAUUUCAAGGAUUUAAAAUCUUUGUUCAUGGAUUACACGCUUAUUAAUUUUUCUGCCAUUGACUGUCAUAUUCUAGACUUAAUGGUACCUUCCUUGAUCAAGGAUAAUUACUCUAUGUUCUCCUCUUAUAAAUUCCUCUUCCAUUAACAUCACUAGGAGUAUGUUGAUCUCUCAGACGUUAACUUUAGUGGAGAGUUUCCAAAUUGAUUGUUACAAAACAACACAAAAACUAGACACACUUGAUCUGUCUAAUAAUUCUCUUUCGAUAAAAUUAAUUAAUUUUAGGGGAAUAUUCGACCAACCUCUAUAAUUUCAUAUUGAUCAUUAAUUAAUUAGACGAAAAAAGUACUUGUGCUUUUGUGGCGACAAUUGAACUAGAGAAGUGAAGCUGUAAAGAUUUGGCAGUAGUAAAUUGUUAGAAAGACAUAAAGACAAUUUCCCAUUUUAUAAUUUUUUCAAAAAACUUUUUUACAACACAUGCACCUGGCCAAAAAUUUUAUUUUGCUAACUAACAAUAAUUGAGUAGCUGACCGUAUUGACUCCGCCUACUUGCUAAAGUAAAAAAAUAGAAAUAGAAUUUCCACAAAAUGUCAAACAUGUAAAAUCUAAUAUUUGCAUGUGGAACAAAAUACAAAUGAAAAAAAAAAUAGAAAAAAGGCCUAAGACUUUUAAAAUGUGUGGAAAUCUUUCGGCCCUUUUAUAAUGGUGUGUUUUUCAAAGGAACAACUAAUAAUAAUGACACUUCUACGGUUUGUUUUGAUAAUUACACAUAUACUCUUUAAUUUGAUAAAUGGUUACACAAAUUUUGUUUACAAAAAUAUAUUAUUCAUGUUCUGUAUAUUUUUUAACAUCAUAUUUUUAUUUAUUAUAAUUGUUUAAAGUUAAUUGUUAGGUUGAUAUAUAAUAAAAACGUAUAAUCGUUCUCUUACUAAACACACAUACUCGUAGUUUCUAUCCAUUUGUCAUCUCAAUCUCUCUCAUUUAUCCUUUCUUGAUAGCUCAAAACGCGUCACUGUGGAAAAUAAUAGCAAAACGACAAUAUGGAAAGAAUGGGAAGAAAAUUAAUGCAUGAAAGAGUUGCAGAAGACAACCAAAUAAGUCAACUAUACGCUAGUUGGGUGUAUAAAUUGUUAGAUGUGUUAUAAACAAAUAGCAUAGAGCCUUGGUUGGUUACAGAGAUAGAAAAACUGUGUGUGUUUUUUAGAACUUAAAGAUACAGUUAGAAUGGGUGGUUCAAAAUCAAAAAUGGUGAUAAUGUUUGUUCUGUUAUUAAUAAUAUUAGAAGGUGGGUGGAGUGAAGGAUGUUUGGAUCAUGAGAGAUUUGCUCUUUUGCGACUCAAACAUUUCUUCGAUGAUACUGGUAGUUAUUUUUACUACUGGGCAGAUGGUGAGGGAGCUACUGAUUGUUGUCAGUGGGAAAGGGUUGAGUGCAGCAACACCACAGGCCAAGUGAUAGUGCUAGACCUUUUUGAAACGUAUUUGGGAGAGUACAGCUGGUAUCUGAAUGCUUCUUUGUUUACUCCCUUUCAACAACUUGAGUCACUUGAUUUAUAUGGCAACAAAAUAGUCGGUUUUGUUGAGAAUGAAGGUACUUCGUCUAAUUCAAUUAAUUUACAUUUCGCUCUCCUAAUUUAAGUCGAAUAUCAAGACUGAGCAGCUAUAUGCAUAUUCAUUCAAUUGACAAUUUUUACAUAUUUUUUAAAAUGUUUAAUUUUGAAAUUACACCAAACAUCAUAUGUGGUUUUGAUUUUACUUGCAGGUCUAGAAAGAUUGAACAACUUGAAGAGGCUUGAUUUAAGUUAUAACUUGUUCAACAAUAGCAUCUUAUCAUCUGUGGCUCAUCUUUCUUCACUAACAUCAUUAGAUUUAUCUGGAAAUAGAUUGGAAGGAAGUAUUAAUGUUAAAGGUACGUAAUUAAAACGUCAUCGCUUCUCUCAACUCUUUCAUUAACAUGCUAAAAUAAGAUUCAAGGCUUUGAAUUCAUUUUUUUUUAUGAGUAAAUAUUAGAAAAAUAGUUUUAAGCAAUUCAUAAAUACAAUUUUCAAUGUUUCUCAUAAUUUCAUCUUGUACUUUCGUAUGUCUUGACUUUAAGAUUAAAAAAAAAAAUUACUCUAACUGUGAAGCAAAUACCCCAUGACUAAUUUAUCAUUUCGUCCAGUUAAAAAUGAUAAAAUUUAUCAUUUGUUUAUAUUGAUUAAUUAACUCUAUUUUAAGUCUUAAGUCUUGGCGUCUUGGCAUAUUUGCAGAAUUUGAUUCCUUGAGCAACUUAGAGGAGUUGGACAUGAGCGACAAUGAAAUAGACAAUUUAGAGGUUCCUCAAGGUAAACAAUUAAAAUAUUAUUCAAUUACAUUAAUUUAAUUCGUUUGAUUAGGGAAGACCCAAAAGGUACAAAAUAUAAUAAUAAUAAUAAAGAAACAGAGAAUCUAUAUUAUUUCAAAAAAUAAAACGUAAUACUAUUAUUUCAAAAAUAGAUUGUAAUAAAGAUUUGAUUCCGGUUCUUUAAUCUUUACAGCAAUUGAAAAACGAUGUUGCUCUUUUCCUGAAGCAUAAAAUAUGAAAUGACUCCCAAUACAAUUAAUCAUUUAUUUCGUUUACUCUAAAAUUAGACAAUGAAUCUUUAUUUUCUUCAGUCUUAUCCUAAUUAUUAUUAAUAACAGGUUACAAAGGUUUGAGGAAGUUGAAUUAUCUUGAUCUAUCGAAUGUUGGAGUUAGAGAUGGAAGCAAGUUGUUACAGUCAAUGGGAUCAUUCCCAUCCCUCAACACUCUUUACCUGAAGGAUAAUAAUUUUACCGAUAUAGCGACAACUACUACUCAAGGUAAGUAAAAGAUACAGAUGUGGCCAAAUUUACAAAUAAAUUGUUAAUUAAUUAAUUUUUCCGUAUUAUUAAUAAAGCUAAAUUCGUCGCUCCUUCCUUCUAAUUCUAAACAGAGUUGGCAAUUUCACCAACUUGGAGUAUUUGACAUUGGACUUGUCCUCGCUCCAUUUAAGCCUUCUACAAUUACUUGAAGAAUGAAUUUAUUUAUUAUUAUUAUUGUUGUUGUUGUUGUUGUUGAAGUGAGGUGGGCAAGCGUUCACUCAAUUAAUAUGUGAGGAAUUAAUAAUUACAAUCCAAGGUAGAAUUGUGGAAAAUUAAAGCAAAAUGAGAAAUAUGGAAAGAAAGGAAGAAAGUUAAGGGCAUGAAAGACUAGGAGAAGACUAAAGACCACCAAAUAAGUCAACUGAAAACUAGCUGGGGCCUGGGUGUACAAAUUGUUAGAUGUGUUUGUUAUAAAUAACAUAGAGCCAUCUUGUUGGUUGCAGAGGCAGAGAGACACAGAGUGUGCAUUUUGUUAAUUAAAAAUAUAUAUAAAAUGGGUGGUUCAAAAUCCAAAAUGGUGAUAAUGUUAGUUUUGUUAGUAUUAAUAAUAUUAGAAGGGAGGUGGCGUGAGGGAUGUUUGGUGCAUGAGAGAUUUGGUCUUUCGAGACUUAAAACAUUUCUUCAAUUCUCCUUAUAAUUUUUGUCACGACUGACCGUUGUCAAUGGGAUGGGGCUGGGUGCAGGGUUGAUUUACGUUAGAACAAUAUAGCCGGUAGUGUUGAGAAUGAAGGUGUUUCAUUUAAUUUAAUUAAUUUACUUUCUCCCUCCUAAUUUAAGUGGAAUAUCAAGACUGAACAAUUAUAUGCAUCUUCGUUCAGUUGACAAUUUUGACAUUUUUUUUAAGUGAUUAAUUUUGAAAUUACACCAAACAUUAUUUGUGAUCUCUGUUUUGACUUUACUUGCAGCGCUAGAGACGUUAUCAAGAUUGAGCAACUUGACGAUACUUGAUUUAAGUUAUAACUUGUUCAAUAAUAGCAUCUUGUCAUUUGUUGCCCGUCUUUCAUCAUUAACAUCAUUAGAUUUAUCUUACAAUGGAUUGGAAGGAAGUAUUAAUGUUAAAGGUACGUAAUUAAAACGUCAUCGCUUCUCCCAACUCUUCCAUUAACAUGCUAAAAUAAGAUUCAAGGCUUUGAAUUCAAUUUUUUUUUAUGAGUAAUAUUAGAAAAAUAGUUUUAAGCAAUUCAUAAAUACAAUUUUCAAUGUUUCUCAUAAUUUCAUCUUGUACUUUUGUAUGUCUUGACUUUAAGAUUAAAAAAAAAUUACUCUAACUGUGAAGCAAAUACCCCAUGACUAAUUUACAAUUUUGUCCAGUUAAAAUGAUAAAAUUUAGGGAAAUUAUCAUUUGUAUACCCUUAGUUUACUCUAUUAUCAAAAAUACUACAACACUUUGAGGGUGUAUCAAUCGUCCACCCUAAGUUGACAAAAUGUAUUAGCCAACCACCAAACCGUUAGUUGCCGUUUAAAUAUGAUAACAUCAUAAGGGUAAUCUGGUCUUUUCAUAUGAUACAAGUGAUAAUUUAAGGGUAUACAAGUGAUAAAAAGAGAGUUUAAGGGGAUACAAGUGAUAAUUUUCAAGGGUAAAAUCGUCAAUUUACUGUAAUUCCGUUAACUUUCAAACGGCAAUUAACAGUUUGGUGGUCGGUUGAUACAUUUCAUCAACUUAGGGUGGACGAUUGAUACACCCUUAAAGUGUUGUAGUAUUUUUGAUAAUAAAGCAAAUAUAGGGUAUACGAAUGAUAAUUUCCCUAAAAUUUAUCAUUUGUUUAUAUUGAUUUAUUAACUCUAUUUUAAGUCUUAAGUCUUAAGUCUUGGCAUGUUUGCAGAAUUUGAUUCCUUGAGCAACUUAGAGGAGUUGGACAUGAGCGGCAAUGAAAUAGACAAUUUCAAGGUUCCUCAAGGUACACAAUUAAAAUAUUAUUUAAUUACAUUAAUUUAAUUCGUUUGAUUAGGGAAGACCCAAAAUGUACAAAAACAUAAUUAAAAAAAAUAAAGAAACAGAGAAUUCAUAUUAUUUCAAAAAACAAAAGGUAAUACUAUUAUUUCAAAAAAGAAUGUAAUAAAGAUUUGAUUCCGGUUCUUUAAUCUUUAUAGCAAUUGAAAAACAAUGUUGCUCUUUUCCUAAAGCAUAAAAUAUGAAAUGAGUCAUAAUUGAAUUAGUCAUUUAUUUUGUUUAGAUCUAAAUUUAGACAAUAAAUUUUGAUUUUUUUUUCAAUUCUAUCCUUAUUAUUAUUGUUAAACAGGUUACAGAGGUUUGAGGAAGUUGAAAAGCCUCUAUCUAUCGAAUGUUGGAGUUAGAGAUGGAAGCAAGUUGUUACAGUCUAUGGGAUCAUUCCCAUCCCUCAACACUCUUUACCUGAAGGAUAAUAAUUUACCGAUAUAGCGACAACUACUACUCAAGGUAAGUAAAAGGUACAGAUGUGGCCAAAUUUAUAAAUAAACUGUUAAUUAAUUAAUUUUCUGUAUUAUUAAUAAAGCUAAAUUUUUGCUCAUUCCCUCUAAUUCUAAACAGAGUUGCACAAUUUCACCAACUUGGAAUAUUUGACAUUGCACGGUUCCUCUCUCCAUAUAAGCCUUCUGCAAAGCAUUGCAUCAAUAUUCCCUUCGUUAAAAAAUCUGUCGAUAUCUUUGUGAAGUCAAUGGUGUCGUACAUGGUCAAGGUAAAAGAAAAGUGUUGGUUGUGCACUCACUGAGUGUUGUCCUACGUAUUCAAUAUUUUUAUUUAUUUAUUUUAUUGUUUAAUGUUUCUGCUAGGUUUUCCUCAUUUCAAGAGUUUGGAACAUUUGGGCAUGAUGUCCACGCGCAUUGCACUCAACACCAACUUUCUUCAAGUCAUCAGAAUCGAUGCCUUCUCUUAAGUACUUAUCACUGUCAUAUUCUACUCUUGCACUAACAGCAGCAGGAUUCUUGAUCGAGGUUAAUCAGAUGCUCCCACCCUCCAUUCUUAAUCUAUAAUAUUAAUUUUCAGUUAAAUAUUUAAUUACACAAACCAAUCACUUAUUAUAAAAGAACAAUACGCAUUCAUUAAUUUUUAUAUUAUAUUAAUUGAUGAAUUUAAUAAAUUCCAGGCCUCUGUUCGCCGGUGCAUCUGCAAGAGUUAUACAUUGGUUCUAACGAUUUAAGAGGUAGCUUGCCUUGGUGCAUGACAAAUUUGACAUCCCUCCGAAUAUUAGAUGUUUCUUCCAAUCAACUUACUGGAAGCAUCUCCUCGUCUCCCCUCAUUCAUUUGACAUCCAUUGAAAAGCUGUAUCUUUCAAACAAUCACUUCCAGAUCCCAAUUUCACUUGAACCACUUUUCAAUCAUUCAAGACUCAAGACUUUUUAUGCUGACAACAACGAACUAAAUGCAGAAAUAACUCAGUCACAUUCUUUGACCGCCCCAAACUUCCAAUUAUCACGUCUCUCAUUGUGCAUCCAACGAAAGACAAACCACGUGUAGUCUUUUAAUUAAGCCAAAGUAGCAGCUCAAACAAAUGACACUUGGACCAACAUGCAAUCAUGAAGUGGCCGGAAAAAGGACAAAUGCAACUUUGGCUUAAAUAAAAAAUAACAUGUGACUCGACUUUUGCUGGACAUGCAUCAUGUUAUUACAGACAACAAAAAUCAGUAUGAUAGUACUAAAAGUUGACAAUAACAUGAAGAUAAGAGGCAGAAUGUCAACACAUGCAUAGGCACACAAAGAAAGUAUUAACGUAUAUACCAUAGCAAAAAAGUAUUUGAUAUGUCAUCUGUUGCUGCUGUGAUUCAACUGACAGCAUGGCAGCUGUUGCUUCUCUACCAAGAGCCAUUAUUGUAGAUUAAGCUCGGUCAAUCUUGCUUCUGCAUUUCGAAGCUUCACAGCACUCUCUGCUGAUAUAUCAGAUUCCCUAAUCUUUGAUCGGUGCCUAAAUACUUCAGCUGCCUGGUGAAAAUAUUCAAUAUAAAUCUAAUAUAAAUUCUCAUCUUGCCUUAUGCAUGCAUAUGUUACCUCAAAGCUUACCUGGGCUUCAACUUCAUGUCGAAGUUUGUCAUAACGAUGAGUCAGGUGUCGAGCAUCUUCCAAAGGUGCUCCGUUGAUUAACGCCCGUAGUGGCUCAGAUACCUACAUGUCCAAAAACCUGUAACAUAGUUAGAAAAAUGAAAAGAAAGAGCGAAACCUCAAUUAAAAAGUCCUCCAACAUAAUCAUGGAAUUUGGCCUACUUCAAGGAUAUAUAUAUAGGAUAAUUUAUGCAAUUUUGGGUCUUAGGAUGAUUCAUAUUAGGUUAGUGUUCUUCUCUUCUGUAUUUAAGGUUAAAAUAGAAAUAAACCUAUGCAAAUAUAUAAAUUAGGGCUGUAAGAACACAUGCAACAUGGAUUUGAUUUUACUAUAGAUGCAAGUGUCUUUAUCGAAAAUGCUUGGAGUCAAUUGAGAGAACUCACGGCCAAUAACUUGUCACACGCUAGUCUUUGCUAGUGAUGUAAGAAGUCACAAGGUCUCUUCAGCAUUUGAACCAAUAAAAUUAUUAAGUCAUGGAUGUCACUAGCAAUGAUUUUAAUAUAAAAUAUUAAAUAUUUCAAGUUGUAACUUUAAAAUGGAUUCUUUUAUUCAAUAUCUUAGAACUAAGUUUCCUUAUGAGAAGAUAAUAGUUUCAGUAGUAAUGUACAUAUAAUUUUCUAUAUUGAAUUAUUUUCUAGUAGGGAUGAACUAACCUGAUCACGAAGAAUCCCAAGCAAAGUUUCCCUCUCAUUUUCCAUCAAAUCAUGUGAAGUGCCAAAUUGAAGAGCAGCUCUUGCAACGCAAGAAUUGUCACUUUGAUUCUCCACUCCAUACUUGCAACAAUCUUCGGCCAACUUUCUCGCUACAAUAUUUGAAUACAAAAAUAUUGUACACAAGAACUAGUCAAGAAAAUUAAAAAAAAAAUCAAAUAUUUAACGAGAGCAAGAGCAAACGAACAACCUAUUUCCAUUUGUUUCAAGCUUACUGCAACAAACACUUCAACGCCACGGACAACAUUCCUCUGACAAUAUUCCAAAUUAUUGUUCAGAUAAAACCAUAGAAACCAUCAUAAUUGUUCAACAUACAUUAAGCUAAAGGAGGAUGGUGCCUUAGCUGCCCUGGUGGAAUUGUAUAGAUUUUGAAGUUGUUGGUGACACUCAAUUUCAGAUUCAUCAACCGCAACAUUUUCAAUACCAAGAUGGAGCAGAUGCUUCAAUACUGCCUGUACAAAUCAUAAAAAAAUGAAAAAUAAAAUAAAAUCGAGAAAUUUCACUAACUAAAAGUCUAAAUUAAUUUUUUAAAAAGAAAAGAAACGGACUUGCUGCUGCUUGGCGACUUGUUCUCGGGCUUGAUUGCUGUUCUUGAUAGCUUCCAUACUGUUUCUUUCAAAAGCGACGACGGCUCGCUCAUGGGAGUGGAAAAAAAAGUGUGAUCGGGAAAAUAAAAAGGCAUGAAUAAUUUUUGAAAAAAAGCGAAAAUCAAGGAAGCCAGCUCUUUCCAGAAAUAAAAAAGAAAAAAAAAAGAAAUUAUAGUUUGAAGGAGAAGAUGAUGUGGAAGUGCGGUGUGGCUGACAGCUACUUGGAUUGUAUUGUCGGGUAGGUAAUAGUAGAGAAUUUUUUUUUAAGAAAAUAGUAGAGAAUUUUUUAGAAGCUAGAACAGAGCAUGACAUUAGACUUUUGUUGACCAAGGAUGUUGUUUUAUUCUUCUAUACUUUACGUUUGGUUUGGUUUUUCAAACUAAAUAAUCAGUAGCAAAAUACAAUUUAGAGAUUAGGGGGUGAACUAGCUAGGUGGUUUACAAAUAUUCUAUUUGUAAGGUGAAUUAAUUGAAUCAUGAGAAAACAAUGUGACCAUAGCUCAAUAUGAGAUGAUUUCGGAGAGGCAUAUUGUUUUCAAGUGAAUUUGAUCCAUUAAGAGAUGAAGUGGAUUGAAGUGGAAAGUUUAAAUAACAAAUCCUUGUUCUUGAGUUUUACGACGUUGUUACUCCUUCAGGUGGCAGAUUAUGCAAGUGAAUUCAAAAACACAAUGCAUCAAUCACGGGGAUGCUACAUCAAAGACGGGAUCAUAGUCUAUGCAUUGAACAGUUACAGUUGCUGCUACCAAUUGCCUCGGCAAAGAUCAAGAAGACUGAACGGGAAGUUAAUGCCAUCAAGGAGUUGUCUAGUGUUCUUUUCCUUAUGCUAUGAUCGGUGCUCUUGAGGCUGCCCUGAAACACAGGAAAAUACUUCGAUAUCCUCCAUUCGAUGAUGCAAAGAACGGUUAAUGUAUGAUUACCUAAUUGACUCAGGAUCAGGUAACAACAACAACAAUUUUUAAUAGUAAUAUCACAAACGAAGAAGAUUUCGGAGAGGAGAUGUAAGCGUAUACUGUUUACAGGUUUGAUCCACUGGGGAUGAAGUGGUCUCAAGUGGAAAGUGAUUUAUUAAACAACAAAUCAUUGUUCUUGGUUAUACCUCAUGAUGUCAUCAAGUGGAAGAUGAAGAUCGUUUGAUAUUGAAGAAUUUGAACAGAAAGCCCAUAGAAAGUACUUAAAUAAGCAUAUUUUGUUGGGGUAGAAUAUUAAGAAAGGAGUUGUCUACUGUGUGUUGCGUAAUUAUGCUAUGAUCGGUGCUUUCAACAUUGCCCUGAAAACAGUGGGAAAUACUUCAUACCCUCGACAUGAUGAUGAAAAAUUGGUUACCGAUUACCUAAUUGACUCAGGUGACAACAAUCCAUUAAUAGCACAAUUUGACGUGAUGCCGUUUAGGUAUAUGGUUUUCAAGUUUGAUUCAUCAGUGAUGAAGCGGACUAAAAUUAAAAGUUUAAAUGAUAAGUCAUUGUUCUUGGGCAUAUCGUCAUUACUACUUCCAGUGAUCAACGAUGAAGAUGAAGAUGAAAAUUGUGCGAGUUCAAGAUUACCAUUUAUCAUUACUUGGGAUAUUACUUCAACAUAGAUGGGGUUAUAAUUUACUCCCACGAACAUCAACUCAACUUUAUGAUUGGAGUGUCUCACCGUGACUCAGACAAAUUCUGAUUCAACCUCCUUCACCAAUGGAUUUUGAUUAGUUAUUUUGUGAUCAAGCAACUUAAUUAAACUCACAGUUUGUUAGUCUAAUUUUAGUUUUACUGUGACCACUAUUCAAGGUAAGCGAAAGUUACAGAUGUGGCAAAAUCAAUAAUUAAAUUCAUAAAAUGUUAAAAAUAAAACUUAUAAAUGUUGCAUGACUACUUACUAAUAAAUAAAUAAGUUAGAAUGUAGUUAGUUAAUUUUACACCAUAUUAUAUAUUAUUCGAUAAUAAUAUAAAAUAAAAAUAAUUAAAAAAUAAAUAAUUGAAUAAAUAAAUAUGGCUUUCUAAACAGUAAAAAUUCUAGAGUUAAAAUUUAUAUUAUUAUUUUAUUUUUUAAAAUUGACAUUUUUCUAUUGUCUUACAUGUACAAAGAUUUUGAGAGUUGAGAAGAAUAUAUUUAAUGAAGCUUGAUAACAUUUGAUGGGAUAGCAAGUAAGGGUAAAUAAGAUAUUUUUAUUUGUUAUUUAUUUGAAUUAUAUCUAUUUGUUCAAGUUAAAAUACUAAAUAUAAAUUGGAGGUAGACAUUUUAACAGAUCAUCUAAGCUCUCAAAUCUGAAAUUUUGUGUAGAUUUAAAUUCAUAAUCCCCAAUUAUUUGAUCAGCAACUAUCAAGAACUAACCAAAUUUAUUUCUUCAUGACUUCCAAACACUAGAAAAUUUUGUUAUUUGAUAAUAAUAUCAUUAAUUAGAGUUUAUCAAACCGCAUUAUUUUCUUUCAUAAAAUUGAUGCCUAUUAGUGUCACACUUUAUUUGUAUUACCUAGCGGACAUCAACUUUUUUUUUAAUUUUUUAAAUUAAAAAGACCAUUUGAUUUUAACCCAUGUUCUUGGCCUUAGGGAAGCUGACUUCUUUUAUAGUCAGGCGAUGAGUUAAGAAGUGACAUAGCAUUCAGGCGAUGAGUUUAUUUUUGUUAUCUUGCUAACAGUUUUAGUCUAAUUUUAGUUUUACUGUGACCACUAUUCAAGGUAAGCGAAAGUUACAGAUGUGGCAAAAUCAAUAAUUAAAUUCACAAAAUGUUAACUAAUUAAAUUCAUAGAGUUGCACAAUUUCAUCAACUUGGAAGAAUUGACUUUAAUGGACUGGCCUUCUCCCCUAUAAUUCUAAUGCUUCUAGGAAGCAAAUUUUUAUAAAUUAUUUAUUUUUGAGUUAAUUUCAAUUUCAAAAAACAAAUUUUUUAAGUUAUUGAUACUCUAAUGAGAGUAUCUUCAUAACAAUUCCCUUGCUCCAAUAAUAACAAAAAGGUGGUUACUUAGAAAUAAUUAAAAUAAAUAAGUGUUGAUUAUAUAUCCUAAUUUGCAUCGAUUUUUUUUUACCUUAAUUUCAGGAAUUUGGAAUAUAAGUUUGUGAAUGGAGGAUGAUCACGCGUGUGUUAAUUUUUCAGUCAUUGACUGUCGUAUUCUCGACUUAACGAUAGUGUUCUUGAUCAAGGGCAAUGACUCCCACCCCUCUUUUAAAAAUAUUGUCAAGUAUAUUGAUGACAAAAUCUCUUAUAGUUAAUAGUCUUUAAAAAUUUAUAGAUUUACUAUUGUCAUGACCAAAUUAUUCAUGUUUAAUGAAAUAUUAAUGCAUCAAAAUAGAUAUCUUCGGAAUCUAAUCCGAUCGGCUCAAUCCGUUUCAUUCGCAAAAGUGCAAUCCGCAAAAAUUUGAUCUGUGGAUUAGUGGAUUGGAUUGGAUUGAAAGUUUAAAAAUCCAUAGUCGAUAAAUUGGAUAUCGAUUUACUUCUCUAAAUAUGCAAAAAUUCAUGAAUUCGCAAAAAAAAAAUGUAUUUACUAAUAAAUAAAUAAGUUAAAAUGUAGUUAGUUAAUUUAACACCAUAUUAUAUCUUAUUCGAUAAUAAUAUAAAAUAAAAAUAAUUAAAAAAUGAAUAAUUGGAUAAAUAAAUAUGACUUUCUAAACAGUAAAACUUCUAGAGUUAAAAUUUAUAUUGUUAUUCUAUUUUUUUAAAUUGACAUUUUUCUAUUGUCUUACAUGUACAGAGAUUUUGAGAGUUGAAAAGAAUAUAUUUAAAUAAAAUAUUUUUAUUUGUUAUUUAUUUCAAUUAUAUCUAUUUUGUUCAAGUUAAAAUACUAAAUAUAAAUUGGAGGUAGGCAUUUUAACAGAUCAUCUAAGCUCUCAAAUCUGAAAUUUGUGUAGAUUUAAAUUCAUAAUUUUAGUUAAUUUUCAUAUAUUCAUAUAAACAAAUUUAUGAGAUUUUUUUCUUUUCAACAUGUUAUAUUUUUAAACUUUCAAUGUAUUAUUUUAGCUAUAUUUAAACAAUUAAUUUAUUUAAUUUUAAAUUUGAUCAGUAUAAAAUGUUUUUAUAUCAAAUUUUUUUAUUUAAAUAGUUCGUGGAUUGGACAAAAUUAAACAUUUUUAAUUCUUAAAUGAUGGAUUGGAUAUGAAUUGGAUCAAAUCCACAUUCGAUCCGCAGUUAUAUGGAUUGAAUUUGAAUUGAAUUUCAUCAAUCUAUGGAUUAUAUUGGAUUAAAAAUUUAUAAUCCACAAAAUCGUUGAUUAGAUAUGGAUUGAUGUCCAAUUCGCAAAAUCUAAUUGCCGAACACUCCACUAUCAAAAUUUUCAAAAUAUGUUUUAUCCUAUAAUUUUUUUUUAAAGUCAUAGUCUAAUGGCAGCUCAAUUUCUACUGCAUUCAUAUAAGCGGAGUUCAAAUCUCAUACCUCUUAUCUCCACACGAGAUUUAACCAGUUGAAAUAGCUAGCACCCACAAAUAUACUAGUACAGCAUCUCUUAACGUUUAACAUACGUAUAAUUAACGCCAUAGCUAUUGAUAAACACAUUGUUCAAUAUAUAUGAUCAAGAAUCUGAUCCUGCGAGCAACAGCAGUAAGAAGAACCAUUAUAAUGCCUAGCUCUUAUCCCGGUUAAUCCUCUGGCCCGAUGCUUCAUCAUAGUGAUUUAAAAAACAAACAACAGCUCUCUAAAAGAGAUGAAGAUAUCAUCUACGUAAAGAACAUGAAACGGAGAUUCACAACCCAUAAGAACUGAGAUAAAUUGGACCAGACCGGUAAUCUUGAGAUAAGUUAAACUGUGACCUAAGUUGAAAUCAGAGGACCAGAAUUUUAAAAUCUUUCGGCUAAGCCCCUGAGCAAUUUUCUAGAGUACGGCUUCUGCUUACCUCUGUUUAAUUUCUCUUUAUAUUUUUCUUUCAUUUCAUUAAUAAAGUCAAAUAAUAAAUCAAAGAACGAGGGAAGAUUUUUCCAAGUCAUGCAUUAUUUGAUUACCAUCAAUCAAGAAACCGACCAAAUUAAUUUCUCUCCGUGAUUUUUAAAAAUUAAAAAAAAAAUUAUUUGAACAUAACAUCAUUAAUUAUAGAGUGGAUCAAACUGCGUUAAUCAUGAAACUGAUACCUAUUAAGAGUCAAACUUUUUACUUAUGCAUACUAAAAGACAUCAAAUUGUUCCGAUCCCCAAUUAUUUGAUCAGCAACUAUCAAGAACUGACCAAAUUUAUUUCUUCAUGACUUCCAAACACUAGAAAAUUUUGUUAUUUGAUAAUAAUAUCAUUAAUUAGAGUUUAUCAAACCGCAUUAUUUUCUUUCAUAAAAUUGAUGCCUAUUAGUGUCACACUUUAUUUGUAUUACCUAGCGGACAUCAACUUUUUUUUUAAUUUUUUUAAAUUAAAAAGACCAUUUGAUUUUAACCCAUGUUCUUGGCCUUAGGGAAGCUGACUUCUUUUAUAGGUGAUAUCUGCUUGAACUUUGGUGUGUUAAUUAUUUCAAUCCCCAAUUAUGUAAUUUUUAAAUUAUAGCCUAACGGCGGUCUCAUCACCACGUGUGUGAUUUUCUUUUGCCAAUAGGAUCUGCAGAGAGCUUGAUCUCAUCCAAUAGCAAAAUAAACUUCCUAAUAAGUGAAGGUAUAGUAUAAAUAUUUCACCCCCAUAUUAUUUAUUAGCAGCUUGAUUAUUUUAUAUGCAUCUUUGAUUUUAAUUUUUUUUCCCAUAAUUGCUACUAUGUUCGAACUGGUCAUGAAUUAUCUAUAAGAUUUUUCAUGUUGCUUUUAGGUGCAUUGGAUUUUUUGAGUUUAGUGCAAGAGUAGAGGAAGGCAAAUUAAGAAAAAGGAUAAAGAUCUAUGAUUAGCUAUUUUGGGAUGUCUCAUAACAUAUUGAUGCUAACAUUAUACAUAUGUAUAUCUAAAUAAUGGGCUUGGAUCAAGAGCCCAUUAAUAAUCAUAGAUUAGCUUAUAUAGUUCAAAAAAUGUACCAUAAAGCAAUUUUACAAGCACUUGUUAGCCUAUGUUGAGCUUUAUUAUCAAUAGUUCAUAGUUCAUCAGUGCACUGCAAGUUUACUAUUUGAAGUAAAUGUUGUGGUGCGUGCAUUCUUCAUAAGGCCAACUAUUGAAUUUAGCAUUGAAACUUACAAAAUGUAAUAGAAAGAGGUAGAUAACAGCCAUAAAACACUAAGAUUGGAAAUCAGGGCAACUAAAUACUAUUACAAGCCCUUAGAAAAGACAGCGAUCAUCCUGAAAUAUAUAUACUGAAAGUAAGAAAUGUUAAUCGCAAAGUUAUGUGCCAACAGAACUAUUGACUACUUGUCUCUAGUAGAAAGUAAAUAUUUUUAACUUCAGCCCUCUACUUUGUUCUAAGAACAAGGCAAUAUAAGGAAACAUCGGUGUCUAAAAUUUGCCGCUUGGAAUAUUUCACUGUCUAAACAUUCACUCACCACUUAUUUCAUUAAUGAAUUUUGUCUAAUUAUAUGUUGAUAAAGAUAUUAGAGUAAUAUAAUACAUUUAAGGCUUAACUUAUAUUUUUUAUUAGUAGAGUGUAGAACUUUUAAGAAAUAAAUUAUUAAAUUACUAUAACUAACAUAUUAUUUUAAAGUUAUGUUAAGGAAAAGAAUGAAACAAAAAUAAAUAAAUAAAUAAGGGUAUUCUAAAACUUUGAUCUUUUUAAAAGUAGAUUUUGACAUAGAUAAAAUAAUUUUUAUAUUUUUUAAAUCACAUACUCUAGUUAAAAUCAAAUUUGUAUUUAUAAAGUUUGUAAAUUUUUUUUUUUUUUUAGCACUGAUAUUUGAACACUAUCAAGAUAAGAAAUAGGGCACUGGUCAUGCUACAACAUUAUUAUAGCACAUAAAAAGACAAUACCAUUUAUUUUAUUGUACUAUCAUUGUUGUUAUAAUAGUAUUUUGUUAGUGGUCAAAUAUUAUUUUUUUAAGUAAAAAAAGUGAACAAUGUAAAUUAACUUUUAAUCUCUCCUAAAAUUCUAAUUCCUAGUUACGAAACAAAAUUGUUUAAAACCAUAGGUGAUAGGUGAUAGAAGUUACUAACACAAGCAAAUUUGACGGUCCAUUUUAUAAAAUUUGUUAUUUACCAUUUUACCACCUAUAUAAGGAGUGCCGCAUCGACAUAUCAACUCAUUUGCAGAUUAUUUUAAUUUUGUAAAAUUCAUUUAACCUGCACUUGGUCGCCCCUAUUCUCUGAAUGGUUAUGGCGAUAUCAUCAUUAUCGUUACUUGUACCAACGCUAAACCCUUCUUAUUCCCUUUCUCGCCUGUCAUACCCUAACAUUAUAUCCCGUGUCCACACUAAAGACAAGUAGUCAAUUCAAGCCAUCAGAUUAUAGUGGACCCACAUCAAUCCAACUACUUACAAUGACCGACAGCCUCUCCAUCUCCAUUUCAGGUUUCCUCUUCAACUGGCUUCUGCUUCCGCUGUAUUUGCUCCAUUUCUUGGAUUCGGAGUCCGUAUUUGGUCGGUCGGUCCCGCACAGCUCCCUCUCACUCCAAUUGUCACCCAACAAGACCAAUUGCUUAAUCAAGGCACAGAACAAGAAGAGGAUGAGAAAUUGAAACAAGAAUUUGAGAAUUGGAAAUCGAAAACGUACGCAUUGACCGUGCCUUUGAGGGCAAUUACUUUUCUUGAGAAUUGAAGUUUGGUAAUGUAAUUUGUUCUCCAUCUGUGUUCCCUUUGUAGUCAUUUCAUUUAUUUGUUUGUUUGCUUUUAUUUGCACUUACGAAGUCUCAGGUAUACCUACGCAGGAAUGAUGCAGGAGAAAUUGAUCCUCGAGGUAACAUAUGGGCGGCGCCAUAUCGGUGGGGCACAGUGGUGAUAGCUUACAAGAAAAGUAAAUUUCGAAAGCAUAAUUUGGUUCCGAUUGAGGUAAUAAUUGUCUUUAAGCUCAUUUAGUUUUAUAUCAAACAAAAUCAAGACUGCCUUUCUCUUCAAUAGUUUUGAUGAUAAUAUCUUUAGAAGCAUCUCAUUGACAGGUAAUCGUGGUACCCCUUAAAGAGUCUAUAAACUCAAGGAUAUUAUCUUCUGCAAAUGGUUCAUUAAACUUCUUAGAUGUAGUUAAAUGUACACUGAGAACAACGAGAAGCUAUGCCACUGUAGCAUGUAGUGAUGGCACUUAAUGAGUGAGUUGCUAGGAUAUGAACUAGAAAAAUUAAAUAUUGUCUCCCUCUCCCUGGGUAUGCUAGCUCAUAAGUCAGGGUUAAUAUUAGAGCUUGAGAUACUAUAACCAUGAGAAGCUAUUGACCACCAGUUAAAAUAUCCAUUAAAAUGUCUAGGGAGUUAUGAAGGUGGAGGUAUCUCCCAAUUUCUAAGGCCAUAUAAUAGACAUCAUCCAGGAUCCUAUAGAGUGCAGUUAGCCUCCUGCUUGAUGCUAAUGUCAAACAAUUAAUAAAUUUGGUCAAUGUAACUGAAACUUGCUAAUUGACGUCAGAUUGCGACUUGAGCACCUUAAAAUGGGAUAGACGAUUAGUGGCACUGAAUUCUUCUUGCCUAAGAUUGAGCAAUUGUUUUAACUACUAUCUCCUAUUGUAGGUUGAUUAUUAUGUUUUAAUUAUGUCCAUUUUGACCCAAAAAAUUACACAAUCUUGAUCUGCAUUUUGUCACUGAGCAGUGUCAAUAUCGUCUAACAACUAACUUGAUUUUGAUAUGACAAACACACGGUGUGUCUCUCAUGUCUCACCCAUGUCUCACCAUGAUGGAGAAUUUUUCUAAUGCAUGAAGUAAGCUUUGAUAUGUGGGUUAGCUUGGAGAACAUAUCUCAAAAUGAAGAAGAUGGGGAGUUAAUGGGAAGAAACAGUCCAGUAGUUUAUAAUUCUGUCGACGAGCUGUAUCUCUAACAUGGUCAAAAUUUAUGUGAAUAAGGACAGGGAAUCGUCAUUCCUCUUUUCCUUUUUAUACCGGGAUAUCUCUCAACCUUUAUAUGUUGCCCGCUGGAGAUCUCCUUCUAAUAACUAAAAUAAAAAUUUCAUCCACUCAAAUAAAUGUUGACCAAGCUUUCACAAGAAAAAGUAACGUCUUUAGUGAAGUAAUUUACAGUUCCUUAUCAUCUUCGUGUGAGUCUAUCAGUAUGAUCCAAAAACAUAAUAAAUCUUGUUAGAUCCUGUUUAUUGAUGUUUAAAUGUUGUUCAUUGUGCAAUGUAGAAAUGAUGACGUGAAGUUUCUUUGGUCAUCAAUUAGUGAGAUCUUGUUUGAAGUUGUUUUCUGAAAUGAACUGCAAAAUGGUAGUUUUUUUUUUUUUCUUGGGUGCAUUUGAUGGCUCUUUUCUCCUCAUUUUAAGCAUGUGUCUGCUUGAAAUGGGAAGGAAUAGGCUUCAGAGUUGUUAUAUAUGUUGAUAUGCUCUGGUCAUUACACAAUAUGUUCAAAUUGGAAAUUAGAAUGAGAUAUUUGUUGAUGCUUUUUGAGAGAUCUGCAUUCUAUGCACCAUAACAUGAUUAAUGAAAACGGGUUUAAGGACUGGAAAGAUCUGUGGCAGCCCAAGCUUGCAGGAAGGAUUUCAAUGGUUAAUUCUCCUAGAGAGGUUAUUGGUACAGUUUUGAAGUAUAUGGGAGUAUCAUACAAUUCAAACGACAUUGGGAGGAUUGCUGUUCAGCAGAAUCUGGCAUUACUGGGAAACCAGGUACUCUUAAAGAAACGAUAUCUGGUCAAUGCAUAUUAUUGGGUGACGGCUGAUUUUGUUUGUAAAGUGUGCCUUUUCAUACCUAUGAAUGCAUAUGUUAGUGUUGUGUUCUCCUUUCCAUAAAUAUGAAUGCAUAUGUUGGUGUUCUUUUCUGAGAUGGAUGCAAUAAAGGCUUUUUCUUCUAAAUUUAGUUGAAGAAAUGGCAAGGAAUGUGAGAUUCUAUCUCAUUAAAUUAACAAAAACCCAAAACAGUGAAAACCCAUAUUAUGUGGAUGAAUUGGCGACAUUUGGCUUGUUUCCUGAACGUGAAUUAGCAAGCAAUAGAGACUAAAAAAAUGGAGUGAUAAUAACAAGUCAUUGUCAUUUGAUGAAUGCAUUUUUAAGCAAAAAUAGGUUUGUAACUGAAUAAAUUUGUCUGGCAUGCCAAUAUCAAAAAAUUAAAUUAUGUGGUUAUGAGCUGUAAUGAAGGGGGAUUGUAGGUGCAAUCAGAUCGAUCCAAGAAAGUUCAACAAAGUUCUGGUUUGGUGUAGUGAAAUUGGUUUGUGCAACUUGAGUCUUUCAGAUGAACAAUGACGAGUUUUCAUUUAAAAAUGUUAUAAAUCUGCCAUGCAUAGUAUUCUAGUAGAAUCAUCUAUAAAUUCAAGUUAUUGAAAUUGUCUAUUUGUCCAGUUUGAGUUAAGGACGCAUGUAAUAUGAAAAAUUGUUGUCGAAUAUUGUAGGUUAGCUAAUAUUUGAUCAAUCCUAUAGGGAGGGCUUUAAGAUGUCUAACAACAUGUAGAAUGCCCCUGCUUCCCCCACAAUUUUUAUCUUAUACAAUUUUUAUCUAUAAACAGUAUUUGCCAGACCUUAACCGUUCAGAUUCCCCUUCUCGACUAUCAUACCCUACGCCCCAUCUCCGUGUCUCCGAUAAACAGUGCUCAAUUAAGGCCAUCAGAUUAUCCCGGUCCCGCAUUGAUCAACGGCUCACAAUGGCCGACAACCUCUCUGUCUCCAUUACAAGCUCCCUCUUCAACUCGCUUCUGCUUCCACCUACUCUUUCUCGGAUUCGGAGCCCGUAUAUGCUCAGCUGGUCCCACAAAGCUCCCUCUCACUCCAGCUGUCAACCGACAAGACCAAUUGCCUUAUCAAGACACAGAACAAAAAGAGGAUGAGAAAUUGAAACAAGAAUUUGAGAAUUGGAAAUCGAAAACGUACGCAUUGACUGUACCUUUGAGAGUUGUUUCUCUUCAGAAUUCAGUGCCUCAAUCUUGGGUUAAGGAUUUUAUGCGAAGUCAAGGAAAGUGAUUGAAGUUUCAGAUGAAUUUGUGUGCUAGCAUUGGUGGGAUCUUUAACAAUUUAUCUCUGCCCUUUAACAAAGUCAAGGCUAAUUCAGCUACUUAUAUGGCUGCUGAUUUGGUUAGUGUUGGUGAUUCAUGGCUUAGUUUUGCCAUUAAAGAGAGAUUGAUUGAGCCAACGGCUGGAGCUGAAGACCAAGAUUGGUUCAAAUGCUUAAGUCACAAAUGGAAGGUAACAUCUUUAUCUUUGACCCGAUAAUUUUUAUUGUCUUACAUUGAAAUUUGGUAAUGUAAUUUGUUCUCUAUCUGUAUUACCCUUUUUAGUCGUUUUAUUUAUUUGUUUAUUUGCUUUUAUUUGCACUAACGAAGUCUCAGGUAUAUCUACGCAGGAAUGAUGCAGGAGAAAUUGAUCCUCGAUGUGAAAUAUGGGCGGCACCAUACAGGUGGGGCACAAUGGUGAUAGCCUACCAGAAAAGUAAAUUUCGAAAGCAUAAUUUGGCUCUGAUUGAGGUAAUAAUUGUCUUUAAAAUCAUUUAGUUUUAGAUCAAACAAAAUCAAGACUGCCUUUCUCUUCAAUAUUUUUAUGAUAAUAUCUUUAGAAGCAUCUUAUUGAUGGGUAAUAAUUGUAUCCCUGAGACAGUCUAUAAACUCAAUGAUAUUAUCUUCUACAAAUGGCUCAUUAAACUUUGUCGUUGUAGUCAAAUGUACACUCAGAGCAAUGACAAGCUAUGCCACUGUAGCAUGUAGUGAUGGCACUUAAUAAGUGAGUUGCUAGGAUGUGAACUAGAAAAAUUAAAUAUUGUCUCCCUGGGUAUGCUAGCUCAUAAGUCAGGGUUAAUAUUAGAACUCAAGAUACUAUAACCAUGAGAAGCUACUGACUGCCAAUUAAAAUAUUCUUUAAAAUGUCUAGGAAGUUAUGAAGGUGGAAGUAUCUUCCGAUUUCUAAGGCCACAUGGUAGAUAUCAUCCAGGAUCCUAGUACAGUGCAGUUAACCUCCUGCUUGAUGCAAUUAAUAAGUUUGGUCAAUGCCACUGAAACAUGCUAACUGACGUCACAAUGCGACAUGAGCACUUCAAAAUGGGACAGACGGUCGGUAGCACUAAAUUUUUCUUGCCUAAGAUUGAGCAAUUGGUCUAACUACUAACCCCUUUUGUAGGUUGAUCAUUAUUUUUUCAUAUUUUCAGUUUGACGGAAAACGUUACAGAAUCUUGAUCUGAAUAUUGUCACUGAACAUUGUCAAUGUCGUUUAGCGUAGCCAAUUAACUUGAGUUUGGUAAAACAAAUACACAGUGUGUCUCAUGUCUCACAAUUCAAAUUAUCAUUUGUAAUGAUGGAGAAUUUUUCCAAUGUAUGAAGUAUGCUUUGAUACGUGGGUUACCUUGGAGAAGGUAUCUCAAAAUAAAGAAUAUGGGGAGAAAACAGUUCAGUAGUUUAUUAUUAUGUAGUCAAGUUUUGUCUCAAAAAUGGUCCAAAUUUAAAUGAAUAAGGACAGGGGAUCUUCAUUCUUUUUUCCCUUUUUUAUACCGAGAUAUCUCUCAACCUUUAUUUAAUCCCCACUGGAUAUCUGCUUCUAAUAAUUAAAAUAAAAAUUUCACCCACACAAAUAAAUACUGACCAAGCUCUAACAAUAAAAAGUAACAUCUUUAGUCAAGUGAUUUACAGUUCCUCAUCAUCUUAGUGAGACUAUCAGUAUGUUCCAAAAACAUAAUAAAACUGGUUUGUUCCUGUUUAUUGAUGUUUAAAUGUUGUUCAUUGUGACAUGUAGAAAUGAUGAGGCGAAGUUUAUUUGGUCAUCAAUUUGUAAGAUCUUGUUUGAAGUUGUUUUCUGAAAUGAACUGCCAAAUGGUGGUUUUUUUGGGGCAUUUGAUGGCUCUUUUUUCCUCAUUUUAAACAUGUGCCUGCUUGGAACAGGAAGGAUUAGGCUGCAGAGUUGUUAUAUAUUUUGACAUGCUCUGGUCAUUGCACAAUUUGUUCACACUGGAAAAUAUAAUGAGAAAUUUGUUUCAUUCUAUGCACAAUAACAUGAUUAAUGAAAAUGGAUUGUAGGACUGGAAAGAUCUGUGGCAGCCUGAGCUCGCAGGACGAAUUUCAAUGGUUAAUUCUCCCUGAGAGGUUAUUGGUUUAGUUUUGAAGUAUAUGGGAGCAUCAUUCAAUUCAAACGAUAUUGAUUCGCAAGUUGCUGGUGGGAAGAUAGCUGUUCAGCAGAAUCUGGCAUUACUGGCAAACCAGGUACUCUCAAAGAAAUGAUAUCUGGUCAUCGCAUGUUAUUGCCUGACAACUGAUUUUGUUUGUAAAAGUCUGCUACUUCAUACAUAUGAAUGCAUAUGUUAUUGUUUUCUUCUCCUUUUCAUACAUAUGAAUGCAUAUGUUGCUUCUUUUCCUUUCCAUACAUAUUAAUACAUAUGUUGGUGUUCUCUCCUGAGAUGGAUGCAAUAAAGGCUUUUCUGAAGAAAUGGCAAGGGAUGUGAGAUUCUGUCUCAUAAAAUUAACAAAAACCCAAAAACAAUGAAAACCCAUAAUAAUGUGGUGUGGGUAAAUUGACGCCAUUUGGUUCGUUUCCUUGAUGUGAAUACGCGGGCAAUAGAGACUAACAAAAUGAAGUGACAACAAGAAGUCAGUGUCCUUUGAUGGAUGCAUUUUUAGGCAGAAAUAGGUUUGUAAUUGACCAAAUUUGUCUAGCAUGCCAAUUUCAAAAAAAUUAAAUUAUGUGGUUAUUAGCUGUAAUGAAGGGGGAUAGUAGGUCCAAUCAGGUGGAUCCAGGAAAGUUCAACAAAGUUCUGGUAUGGCGUAGAAAUUGGUUUGUGCAACUCAAGAGUCUUUCUGGUGAACGAUGAUGGGUUUUGAUUUAUAAAUGUUAUAAAUCUACUGUGCAUAGUAUUCUAGUAGAAUCAUCUAUAAGUUCUAGUUAUUGAAAUUGUCUACCUUGUUCAGUUUUAGUUAAGGGCACAUGUAAUAUGAAAAAUAGUUGUUGCAUCUUUUAGGUUUACCUAACAUUUGAUCAAUCCUAUUAUGAGGGCUUCAAGAUGUCUAACAAUAUGUGGAAUGCCCAUGCUCCUCCCCAUUGUUUAUCUUUAUAUAAUAAUUUGUUUUAGAUGCUAAUAUCUUUGUCGAUACCGGUAACAAUAUUAGAAUAUCUGCGUUUAUUGGGUUUUACAUAGGUUCGACUGUUUGACAGUACACACUAUCUGAAGGCAUUUGGAAUUGGAGAUGUAUGGAUUGCUGUUGGGUGGAGUAGUGAUGUUCUUCCUGCUGUCAAACGUAUGUCUAAUGUUGCAGUUGUUGUUCCCAAGUCUGGUGCUAGCUUAUGGGCUGAUCUUUGGGUAUACCCAUGCCUGCCAUUCUACUUCAAUAUUCACAUUGUUAUCUCCUUCAUAUUAGUGAUCAGUAAACAUGAUAAUGUGACUAAUAAGUUCGUAUUCUCUUUAUAGGCAAUCCCUGCUGCCUCAAGACUUGAAACAAAACAAAUUGGACGGUGAGUCAGAGGUGCAUUUCCAUUAAUCCAUCAAUGGAUAGAAUUCUGCUUGCAAACAGCGAGAGCAUUGCCUUUCAAGCAAGAGGUUAUCCCGAGCGCAUCUCCCUCUGCCCUUGAGAGUACUCUGGUUAAGUUGCCUGAAGAACUUUUUAAGGGUAAACCAAGUCUGGAUACUAACUUAAUUGCUGGAGUACCCGACUGAAAUUAUGGCCAGAUGUGAGUUUUUGGAGCCAUUAUCUGAAGCUACAUUGUCGGAUUAUGAGUGGCUGGUUGCUAAUCUGCAAAAAUCCACUCCUGUACUGAUCAACAAGAUGCAACAUUACAUGUCAUCAUUGAUCUUUAGCUAAAGGUACAUUGAAUAUUGAAGUAGGUCAGAGCAUAACUUCAUUAGGAAAAGAGGCUUCAGCUACGUUAAAUAUUACAGGAUGUACUGAGAUGGCUGAAGUUGUUGAGGUUUUACGAGAAACGAAAGAUAGUGUUUGUUUGAACAAAGUUGUUGCCAAUCUUGCAGAGUUCGAGAAGAAAGAUCACGAAGCGAAUGCCACCGAUUUAUUCAUCAUUGUAGCCUCCAUAGUUGAAGUUUCCUCAUUUGAAGCUGUUUAUGCAUAUGCUUUUUCCCUUCUCAAGUACAGGAAAUUGAAGAAUUAACCAGAUGUGAUGUGCUGAAAGAGGGAAGUUUUCUUCCUUGAAUGUGGCGAAGAACCCUAUCAAGGUAGAUGGCGAAGAACCCUAUCAAGGUAGAUUUUAUGAUGUUAACAUAUUAUUAAGCAUUUUGUUACAUCAGCAAUGAUGCUUUCAUAGCAGCAUGAAAGUGUUUAAAUUUAACUGAAUGAUCUUGACUGAUCAAUUAUGAGUUUUAAUCGAGUAAAAACUAAAUACAAUAAUCGUUAACAAAUAUUGAAAUUGGGUAAAUAAGAUCUUGAUAGUGAAGAAUUUGAAAUCACAACCCACACAGGAAAUCACCCUUCGCGUGGGGAUGGAGAUGUUUACUGCAGCGAUAUUGAAUAUGUCCACUGCUCUUUGGGUUAUGAUGCGACUUGCCCUGAAACAAUGGAAAAGAUUAACAUACCCUCCAAUGAAUGAAAACGGGUGGACUAAUUCUGAUUACCUAAUUGACUCAGGAUCGGCUGGUAAUAAUAACAGUUUAUUAACAAUGCACAGUCCGAGUACUUUUCCAGGAUCAGAUACGACGUGGUCUAAUGUUGAUAAUAAUAGAUUAUCAAAUGACAAAUCGUUGUUCUACUAUUGCAAGCCCCCAAAUUUAAGAAUCUUUUUCAGAAAUUAAAUACGUUCUGAGAGAUGCUGGUCUACUAUUGCAACUUGCCAGCCCCCAGAUUUAAGAAUCUUUUGAUGGUAAUUUAUCACCUGUAACUGUGCCGGAAGAUUCAACUAGCACUGAAAAAGAUGAUAAAUUAAUUGAUAUGGAGAGUUUCCAUAUCACUUUUAAAUCAUCUUAUGUAAUUGUGAUGUUAGGAAGCAUUAUUGAUCUGUAUGUGAAUUAUUAUUGGCGCCAUUGGUGGUUUUAUCUUGUUAAAAUAUGGAUGAAUUCCAGUUACUAUUUUGUUGCAGACAAUCUUCUUCAAUUAACAUAUAGUUUAAAAUCAUUAUGUAAAUCAAUCUAUUAAUUUUUAUGAUAUUUAACUGAGUUAAAACUAAGUGCACUCAAUAAAUCUCUUUUCCUUUAAAAAACGGUUACGCUUUGAUUUUAGUGCUUAAUAUUUAUUGAACUCCAAUACAGGGAAUUUGAAAUCAAACUCGUAACUACAUAUUAUCUAAUUGCAAGUUUCUGUCCAUAGCUGCUGAUUUGUAGUGAUUAUCUAAUUGACUGAGGUGACGACAAUUUUUUUUUUUAAUUUUCAAUAGCACAUUGUGGAAUUCAAUAAUUAAAUUCUCCUUUUUAAUUUGUUUCCAGUUAAAUUAUUAAUUACUUAAACUCUGUUUUAAGUCUUUAUGUUUAUGUGUUUAUGCAGAAUUGGAUUCUUGAGCGUGUUGGACACGACCAACAAUGAAAUUGACAGUAAAGAAACAUUACAACGUGUGGACUCCGGUAGAUGCCAUACAAGUCUACAACUUUACAAAUAAUAAUUGAGUAAGCAACUUUGAUUCUCGGGGCCCUUCAAUGAAUUUCUAGCCCCGUUGACUCCGCCAACUAAAGUUUUGUAAAAUAAAAAAAUACAUAGAAUUCCACCAAAUGCAAAACGCGUGGAAUUUAAUUUUCGGCCAUGUGGACCAAAACAUAAUUUAAUGAAAAAGGAAAAAAAUGAUAAGAUUUCUAAAAUAUGUGAAAGAUGAUCCAUAUGUUACUGAAACGACUUAUUAAAUUUUUCAAAAAUUUAGAAUAUUUAGUCAUAAAUUACGUGCAUGUUAAUUUUUCCGCCAUUGACUAUCAUAUUCUAAACUUAAUAGUACCUUUCUUGUUGAAGGGUACUUAGUCUCUCUUCUCCUCUUAUAAAAAUUAUAUUGAUGAAUUUCUUAUUAUAGUUAAUAGUCUUUAAGAACGGAUAACUUUAUUGUUUUCGUGACCAAAUUAUGUCUGCCUAAGGUUGUGACUAUUAAUAAAAUUAAUAUUUAAUGUUUAUGUUAAAAGAUAUAAGAUUUUAUGCGUUCAUUAAUUGUUAUUAGCUAAAGGAUGAAUUAUUUUUUCAACCCAAUCAGUUGAUGCAUCUGCAAGAAUUUUUUCUUUUAUUGACCCUAAUUAUGUUCCGGGUACAAUAAAUUGUCUUUGGUGCUUGGAAAAUAUGACUUCUUACUUCAAGUUUGAUAUGUCUCUCUCCAUAAACUUACUGGAAAUAUAUCCUCAUCUAUUAUCAUUUAUCUAAUAUCAAUUGAAGAUCGCACUUUUUCAAACUAUCACUUCCAAGUCUCAUUGUCACUUGGCCAUUCUUGGACCAUUCAGAACCAAUCAAGUGUUGAAAUAAUCAAAUAUAUGCAAAAUUAGAGUCACAAUUUUUGGUCCCCCAAAUUCUAAUUAUAUAACUUCUAUAUAUUUCAUUGCCAGGUCACGAACUUGUUGGCACAUUUUCCAAAUUCCUCUUCCAUCAGCUCUCACACGUUAACUUAAGUGGAAAGUUUCCAAGUUGAUUGCUAGAAAGCAACGCAAAAUCAGACACACUUGAUCUGUCCCCUAAUUCUCUUUUCUACGUUGAAAAAGAAAAAAAAAAAAUAUAUAUAUAUAUAUAUAUGUAAAAAUAAAUAAUAAACUGAGUAAAAAUACAUUUAUUUAAUUAACAUCUGAUCGGGGCAUUUUUGGUGUAAGCCACAACUAAAAUCAAACAGCCCCUUAGCAUACUUCUUCCAUUUUAUCUGCUACUUUUGUGGAUCUUAUAGGGUGGGCAUGUGGACAGAAUUUAAAAGUUUUAAUAGUCUCAAAGAAUAAGAUGUGUUAAAUCUAAAGUUGUUGCACCUUCUGAUUACCUUCUGAUUAAAUAAAGUUGCACAAUUUUACCAACUUGAAAGAAUUGACAUUAAUGAACUGGUCGCCUCUCCAUAUAUGAAGCCUUCUUAAAAGUUCAUUUUUAUUUCAGAAAAAAAAAGUUUAAGUUACAUAUAUUAUAGUAAGAUUUUUUUUCUUGAAAUAAUAAUGGAAAAGUAUUAAUUUAAAAAUAAAUUGAAUAUGUAUUGAUUAUAUCUUGAUUUUCAUCGAUUAUAGUGAGAGUUUCUCCAAAUCAAUUCCCUUAUUCAAAUAAUACCGAAAAAAUAGUAUUUUAAUAGUAAAAUAAACAGGUGUUGAUUAUAUAUUCUAAGGUUCAUCGAUUAUGUGAUCAAAGUGGCAUUGUUGAUUUAUUUCUUGUUCAAUGUUAAUUUUUAGGUUAUCUAAAUUUCAAGAAUUUAAAAUCUUUGAUCAUGGAUUACACGCUUAUUAAUUUUUCUGCCAUUGACUAUCAUAUUCUAGACUUAAUGAUACUUUUCUUGAUCAAGGGUAAUUACUCUCUCUUCUCCUCUUAUAAAUUCCUCUUCCAUUAACAUCACUAAGAGUAUGUUGAUCUCUCAUACGUUAACUUGAGUGGAGAGUUUCCAAAUUGAUUGUUACAAAACAACAAAAGAACUAGCCACACUUGAUCUGUCUAAUAAUUCUCUUUCGGUAAAAUUAAUUAAUUUUAGGAAAAUAUUCUGCCAACCUCUGUAAAUUCAGAGUGAUCAUUAAUUAAUUAAACGAUACAAAUAUCUAAAGUGAUUAGAUGUUUGCCGACAAUACAACCUUUGUGGCGAUAAUCGAACAAGUUCCCAUGAUUAUUAUUUUUCCAAAAACUUUUUUACAACAAAUUCAUCUCGCCAAAAAUUCUAUGUUGCUAACUAACAAUAAUUGAGCACUUGGCCGCAUUGACUCCACGUCUCCACCUCUUUCUAAAAACAUGGAAAUGUAAUUUCCACAAAAUGUCAAACGUGUGGAAUUUAAUUUUUUGCCUUGUGGAUCAAAAUACAAAUGAAAGAAACAGGAGAAAAAAAAGGCCCAAAGACUUCUAAAAGAUGAAGAAGUCUUUGGGCCUUCUUAUAAUGGUGAAUUUUUUAAAAGAAAAAAAUAACAACAUUUUUAUGGUUUGUUUUGAUAAUCAUAUUUACAAAUACUCUAAUUCUCAAAAUGGACACAUAAAUCUUUUUUUUUUUACAAAUAUAUAUUAUUCAUAUUUUUAUUUUUUAUUAUCAUAUUUUUAUUUAUUAUAAAUGUUUAGAGUAAAUUUUUAGGUUGAAAUAUAAUAAAAAGGUAUAAUCGUUCUCUUAUUAAACACACAUACUUUUAUUAGUUUCUAUCCAUUUGUCAUCUCAAUCUCUCUCAAUUAUUCUUUAUUGCGAGCUCAAAACGCGUUGUUGUUGCAAAUUAUAGCAAAAUGACAAAUAUGGAAAAAAAUGGAAGAAAAUUAAUGCAUGAAAGACUUGGAGAAAACAACAAAAUAAGCCAACUAUGAGCUAGUUGGGUGUAUAAAUUGUUAGAUGUGUUAUAUACAAAUAGCGUAGAGCCCUCUAGUUGGUUCCAGAGACAGAAAGAGCGUGUGUGUUUUUUCACAGUUAGAGAUAUAGUUAGAAUGGGUGGUUCAAAAUCAAAAAUGAUGAUAAUGUUUAUUAUGUUAUUAAUAAUAUUUAAAAGUAGGUGGAGUGAGGGAUGUUUGGAUCACGAGAGAUUUGCUCUUUUGCGAUUCAAACAUUUCUUCAAUGAUCGUCUUAAUUAUCUUUACGACUGGGUAGAUGGUGAGGGAGCUACUGAUUGUUGUCAGUGGGAAAGGGUUGAGUGCAGCAACACCACAGGCCGAGUGAUAGCGCUAGACCUUAUUGAUACGUAUGGGGGAGAGCACAGCUGGUAUCUGAAUGCUUCUUUGUUUACUCCUUUCCAACAACUUGAGUCACUUGAUUUACAUGGCAACAACAUAGCCGGUUUUGUUGAGAAUGAAGGUGCUUCAUUUAAUUUAAUUAAUUUACUUUCUCCCCCCUAAUUUAAGUUGAAUAUCAAGACCGAGCAAUGAUACGCAUAUUCAUUUAGUCGACAAUUUUGACUUUUUUUAAAUGAUUAAUUUUGAAAUUACACCAGUAUCUAUGAUUAUUUUUUUUAUUUUAUUUGCAGGCAUAGAGAGGCUAUCAAGAUUAAACAACUUGAAGGUGCUUGAUUUAAGUGAAAACUCGUUCAACAAUAGCAUCUUAUCAUCUCUAACUCGUCUUUCAUCAUUAAGAUCAUUAAAUUUAUAUGGGAAUAGAUUGGAAGGAAGUAUUGACGUUAAAGGUACAUAAUUAAAACUUCAUCCCUUCUCCAAGCUCUUUCAUUAACUUGCUAAAAUAAGAUUCAAGGCUUUGAAUUCAAUUUUUUUUAUGAUUAGUAUUAAAAAAAAAAACAGUUUUAAGCAAUUUAUAAAUACAAGUUUUAAUGUUUCUCAUAAUUUCAUCUUGUACUUUCAUGUGUCUUGAAUUUAAGAUUAAAAAAAAAUCUAAUAGCAAACCAAACACCUCCACAACUUAUUGUUAUUAUUAUUAUUAUUUGUGGUGAGGUUUGAAACAUUCAACUCAAUUUGUACUUAUUACAGAAUUUGAUUCUUUGAGAGAUUUAGAGGAGCUAGACAUUGGCAGGAACAAGAUUGACAAAUUUGUGGUCUCAAAAGGUACUACAAAUACCAUAAAAAAAAUGCUAACUUUUACAAAUUAGCUGGAUUCUUUGCCAUUUGGUUUAUUAUUUUACAGAUUUGAGUAAGUUGAAGUCUCUUGGUUUAAGUGGUGUCAAACUCAACCGUAGCAUCUUAUCUUCUCUGACUGUCUUUUAUUCGUUAAGAGAAUUAGAUAUAAGUGAAACCGGAUUCAAAGGAACAUUCGAUGUUCGAGGUAAGCCUAAACCCUGCUUUCUCAUUUUAUAUAUGCCAACUAGAUUUGUGUAUCAUCGACAUAAUUUAAUAUUUAAUUUGAUUAGUCUGAAGGAAUUACAUGCUAAUUUAAACAUACUUUUAUUUACUCUGUCAAUCAAUUAAUUAAUUAAUUACUAUUUGGCUUGGUUUGGACGAAAUUCUCAUGAUGUUUUAAUUUCUUUAAAUUGAUUAAUUAAUUAACUCUGUUUUUAAGUCUUAAGUCUGGGCAUGUUUACAGAUUUUGAUUCCUUCAAUAACUUAGAAGUGUUGGACAUGAGUGGCAAUGAAAUCGACAAUCUUGUGGUUCCUCAAGGUAAACAAUUAAAAUAUUAUUCAAUUACAUUAUUUUAAUUCAUUUGAUUAGGGAAGGCCAAACAGGUCCCAAAAAAUAAUAAUAAUAAAGAAACAGAUAAUUUGUAUUAAUUAAAAAACAAAAUGUAAUAAAGAUUUGAUUCCAGUUCUUUAAUCUUUAAAGCGAUUGAAAAACAAUGUUGCUCUUUUCCCAAAGCAUAAAAUACAAAUUGAAUGGCAAUUAACUUAAUCAUUCAUUUCGUUUAGCUCUAAAUUUAGACAAUGAAUUUUUAUAUUAUUUCAAAAACAGGACGUAAUAGAAUUUUUUAAAAAACAGAAUGUAAUAAAGAUUUGAUUCCAAUUCUUUAAUCUUUACAGUGAUUGAAAAACGAUACCAAUUAAAUUAAUCAUUUAUUUCGUUUAGGUCUAAAUUUAGAAAAAUGAAUUUUGAUUAUCUUCAAUCUUUUCUUAAUUAUUAUUAAUAAACAGGUUACAGAGGUUUGAGGGCUGAAAAGCCUUGAUCAUUCCCAUCCCUCAACACUCUUUACCUUUGGGAUAAUAAUUUUACAGAAACAGUGACUAGGCUAGCUAAGUGAAAAGGUACAGAUGUGGCCAAAUUUAUAAAUAAAUUGUUAAUUAAUUAAUUUUUCCGUAUUAUUAAUAAAGCGAAAUUCGUUGCUCCUUCCUUCUAAAUCUAAACAGAGUUGCACAAUUUCACCAACUUGGAAUAUUUGUCAUUGGACGAUUCCUCUCUCAAUUUAAGCCUUCUGCGAAGCAUUGCAUCAUUAUUCCCUUCAUCAUUAUUCCCUUCAUUAAAAAAUCUUUUUCUUCAUUAAAAAGAAAAGCGUUGAUUGUGAACUCACUCAAUGGUUUCCUACGUGUUCAACAUGUUUGUUUAUUUAUUUUAUUGUUUAAUGUUUCUGCUAGGUUUUCCUCAUUUCAAGAGUUUGGAACAUUUGGACAUGAUGUCCACGCGCAUUGCACUCAACACCAGCUUUCUUCAAAUCAUCGGUGAAUCGAUGCCUUCUCUUAAGUACUUAUCGCUGUCAGAUUCUAACAGCAGCAGGAUUCUUGAUCGAGGUUAAUCAGAUGCUCCCACCCUCCCUUCUUAAUCUAUAAUAUUAAUUUUCAAUUCAAUAUUCAAUUACACAAACCAAUCACUUAUUAUAAAUGAAUAAUACGCAUUCAUUAAUUUUUAUAUUGUAUUAAUAAUUGAUGAAUUUAAUAAAUUUUCAGGCCUCUGUUCGUUGGUGCAUCUACAAGAGUUGUACAUUGAUAAUAAUGAUUUAAGAGGUAGCUUGCCUUGGUGCUUGGCAAAUAUGACAUCCCUCCGAAUAUUAGAUGUUUCUUCCAAUCAACUUACGGGAAGCAUCUCCUCAUCUCCCCUCGUUCAUUUGACAUCCAUUGAAGAGUUGAUGCUUUCAAACAAUCACUUCCAGAUCCCAAUUUCACUUGAACCAUUUUUCAAUCACUCAAGACUUAAGUUUUUCUAUGCUGAAAAUAACCAAAUAAAUGCAGAAAUAACUCAGUCACAUUCUUUGAUCCCCCCAAAAUUCCAAUUAUCACGUCUCUCAUUGUCUUCCGGUUAUGAAGAUGGCGUCACAUUCCCCAAAUUCCUUUACCAUCAACAUGACCUGGAGUAUGUUGAUCUCUCACACAUAAAGAUGAAUGGAGAAUUUCCAACUUGGUUGUUGGAAAACAACACAAAGUUGAUACAACUUUCUGUCGUCAAUGAUUCUCUUGCAGGACCUUUUCGGUUGCCAAUUCAUUCACACAAGCAGUUAAGACUGUUGGAUAUAUCCACCAACAACUUCCGAGGCCACAUUCCAGUAGAAAUUGGAGAUGUUUUACCAAGUUUAUACGUUUUCAACAAUUCCAUGAAUGCUUUAGAUGGUAGCAUUCCCUCUUCAUUUGGUAAUAUGAAAUUCCUCCAAAUUCUAGACUUAUCCAACAAUCACUUGACUGGUGAAAUCCCCGAGCACUUGGCCGUCGGUUGCGUCAACUUGGAGUCUCUUGCAUUAUCAAACAACAACUUAGAAGGUCAUAUGUUCUCCAGAAACUUCAACCUGGCAAACUUGAAAUUGUUACAAUUGGAAGGCAAUCGCUUCGUAGGAGAGAUCCCACAAAGUUUGUCUAAAUGCUCUUCACUAGAAGGAUUGCAUCUUAAUAAUAAUAGUCUCUCGGGUAAGAUUCCACGAUGGUUGGGUAAUCUCACAUGGUUACAAUAUAUUAUAAUGCCCAAUAAUCAUCUUGAAGGCCUUAUUCCAGUGGAGUUUUGUCAGCUUGAUUCGCUUCAGAUUUUGGACAUUUCAGACAACAACAUAUCUGGAAGUUUACCAGCUUGUUUCCAUCCUCUCUCUAUCAAACAAGUUCAUCUUUCAAAAAAUAUGUUACAUGGACAGCUAAAAAGAGGUACAUUCUUUAAUUGCUCUUCCCUUGUGACAUUAGAUCUUAGCUAUAACCGCUUGAAUGGCAGCAUUCCGGAUUGGGUUGAUGGACUUUCUCAGUUAAGCCACCUUAUCUUAGGUCACAAUAAUCUUGAAGGUGAAGUGCCAGUUCAAUUGUGCGAAUUGAACCAACUACAAUUGUUAGAUCUUUCUAAUAAUAAUCUUCACGGUCCUAUUCCUCCUUGCUUUGAUAACACCACACUUCAUGAAAGUUACAGCAAUAGUUCUAGUCCUGAUGAGCAAUUUGAAAUAUUUUUUUUCAUCGAAGGCCCUCUGGGAGAUUUAAAAGAGCAAAUCCAUGAAAUUUUUGAGUUCACAACAAAGAACAUUGCGUACAUUUACCAAGGAAAAGUGCUUAGCCUCCUAUCAGGACUUGAUCUUUCUUGCAACAAGCUAAUCGGUGAUAUUCCUCCUCAAAUUGGAAAUUUGACAAGGAUUCAAACAUUGAAUCUAUCACACAACAACUUGACAGGAUUGAUCCCAUCAACAUUUUCAAACUUGAAGCAUAUCGAAAGUUUGGAUCUUUCCUACAAUAAAUUGAAUGGGAAAAUCCCUCAUCAACUUGUGGAGUUAAAGGCAUUGGAGGUUUUCAGUGUGGCAUACAAUAACUUAUCAGGCGAAAUUCCAGAAUGGGAAGCACAAUUUGCAACCUUCAACGAGAAUAGCUAUGAGGGAAAUACUUUUCUUUGUGGACUGCCAUUGCCCAUUUGCAGAUCACCAGCAACUACGCCGGAGGGUUCAAUCGGCAAUGAACGAGAUGAUAAUUUAAUUGACAUGGACAGUUUCUUUAUCACAUUUACAACAUCGUACGUAAUUGUGAUAUUCGGAAUUGUUAUUGUUUUAUAUGUAAAUUCUUAUUGGCGACGUAAAUGGUUUUACUUUGUUGAAAUGUGGAUAACUUCAUGUUAUUAUUUUAUUGUAGACAAUCUUAUUACAACAAGAUAUUGUCAUUGAAAUUAAUUAGCAGUUUAAUUACGAUUCUUUAAGUUCUAAUCAAGUUUGCACUUGAUCGCCUAUUUUACUUUAAAAAAUAAUGAUUAUGGUGCUAUCAUCAUCUUCUUCACUAGCAACAUUAACACCAAAUCCAGCGAUGGACCCAGACAUUUUAUCAAGAUAUAUAUAAUAAAGUUGAAGCUUGACAAAAAAUUUAGGAAGAUUAAUGCCUCGCCACAACAAGGGGCACAACAACAUCAAAGCAGAGAUGAAGCAAUAUUCUCAAAGCUAAAACUCUCCAAUCCACCCACCAGAAUUUCAUAUCUCCUCAACAAUUUUAAGAACUAAAGAUAAUUAGGAUAUAACAUUAGUUUUUUAUAUAUUAGUUUCAUAAUUUACAAAUCAAUGAAGAUGAAGAUUAUGUUAAUGAAUUCAAAUUAUACCAUACAUUCUCGAGAUGCUACCAAAAAUUUCUAAGUCAAUCCCACAUAUUUCAUAAUUUUAAGACUAGAAAAUUUCAUUAGGUAGAAGUUUCAUUACCUUCAAGUGGAAGAUGAAGAACAUUAUACAAUUGAUUCAGAUUAUAUCAUACAUACUCCAAAUGCAACUAGAAAUUAACAAGUUCAUGCGCACAGAUUUCAUAACAUUAUGAAUGGAAAGUUUCACAAAGAGAAAUUAUAAAUUCAAUCUCUUGCAUCAAGGUAGUUUGAUUGAUUUGAGUUACUUUCUGAUCAAGCUAUUAAUAUAACAUUCAAGUCAGGGAGAAAGUAAAUUAAAACUGGGAAGAAAUAACAGUAAAAAUUUGUUGCUAAACAUGAUGUGUAUUUUUUUUUUAAGGCAAUUUGGAAACACAGUUGUUACUACAGAUAUUCUCCUCAACUUAGAGAUAAUACAAAUAUUAAAAUGCAUAUGAUCGCACAUAUUACUUGGAGCUUAGUAAGAUUUCAUUAAGAGAAGCAAUCAAACCACUUAUCGUUGCAAUCGUUCUAUAAGCUAAAAUAGCAAUAUAAUACAAGAAAAAGAACAUAUAGAUACUUGGCAAGAGUUCAUUAAGAAGUCGCAUCACAUUCGGGUGAGGAGUUUGCUUCUGAUAUCUUGCUAGCUGCGGCUUUUUCUUGUCUUUCUACGUAUGCCGAGGGAAACCAACCAGCUUGGCCCUUGCAUUCACCUUCCGACCAUCCAGUAGGAGCCACCUUGAGAAGUUAUAACUAAAACAGUGAAUUAAACAACAGUUGACUGUUCAAAGACCUAAGGGGAAAUUCUUUUACGUAGGAGGAGUGAAUUAGUUGUGAUCACUGAAAUAACAGCAUAACUAUGGAAGCAUAACAAGAUAUAAAUUCACACGUCUAUAAGGGUAAACUGGGUGGUUUAGAACUGAGCUAGCAACCCUACUAUAUUCUGAUUUGCACUUCAAUGUAAAAGGGAAUAUAUGGUAGGAAGAAAGAAAACCAACCAUCAUUUGUUAACUCAUUGCUUUUCAAUCAAAAUUUUAAGAACAAAAUGCCAUGUGCUUUGAACAUCAAAUAAGUAUAAGCAUUAGUUCUAAAUUCCACAUAUCAUAAUUUAGAAGGAUAAGUUAAUAGCAUAGUAGAAAAAUCUAUGUGUUGUUAUUUAGAGGGGAAAGUACCCGGCGAACCACAACAUAAUCAUCAAUUGAAAGACUUAGCUCUCCAUUUGCUUGAGCAUCAAAUGGAUGUAUAACCUGCAAGAUAAUGGGAUAAAUAGAACUUAAUCUUAAAAAAAGCAUAACAAAAGCAGCAACAGUAGCAGCAGCGUUCAUUGUAACCACUAUGAUCAUGGCCAACAAAGAUAUAUUAGAAACAAAAUUCCAUUUUUACUACGACAUUAAUAUGUACUAUAUGAUAUCAUGACGAUUGGGUUACCAAGAGCUAUCAAAGUCCAAUAAGUUCUGUAGAACUUUAUGUAGUUAUUCAAAUUAUGGAUCAGAUUUUAAAUCUGAAAUUUUGACUGCUCUCCACAAAACAUGGCCUACGCACAAGAAAGUCAUAGAUAAUGAGGAUUACAAGUGGCUGACAUCUUUUGAGGGAUGGAUUUAACAUGAGAGCUUAUGGUCAGUCAAUUUCCUCCGCCUAGCAAUAUAAGCUUUCUCGGCCAGAUUUAUCAUCAAAUACAUAGAUUGCCCCAAGUCACAUCCAUAUAAACAUAGUUUUUCUAGGUAAACCAAGCAAGGAGAAUCAUAAUUCAGACAUAAUCAUAAAAAGGCCCAUCUAACUUAAGAGAAAAUCUCAAAAAGAGGGAUGUUGAGCUAUCAGUCUUGUAUCCAUAAGGAAUGUCAAGACUUUACAUCACCUGCUACAUCGUGAGUGGCUACACAACUUUCAGUGGUUUGUCUUUCUUUGGCAUGCCUAACUCAGCUUUGAUGUUGCUGAGAUAUUGAUAGUAGAGACACAUGAUACUUCUAGCUCAUGCAUUCUAUCUAGCUCAUCCGACAACUAUCUCUUUUUUAAUUCAUUAGUGUUUGCUAAACCUCAUGCUUAAAAGUCCUGUUGUUCUAAACAAAGUUUCCUAAGAAUGACUUCCUCAGCACCACAUUUGGACACUUUUAGAGCAAUUUUAUUUGGGGGAAAAGAAUUUUCAAGGUGUUAACUAAUAAAUUUUAAAAAAUAAUUACAAUUUGUCCUACAAUUAUAUGACAAUUUAUUUGGGAUGAAAGGAUACAGACAGACAUCUUCCACUUUCAAGACUAAUCACUACUUCCGUAGAUGUUUUGCAAUAAUAAAAAUACUUGACCAGAUGGUAGAAAAAAAUUUUAUUGCUCCAAAAUUAAAAUAGGAAUGCAAUAUGUUAAGCAAAAGACUGUGCAACAUCAAAUUAAUUGAUAAGUUUGUAAUUCAGUAAAUUAACAACUUUCAUGGUCAAAUAUAACAAAUUUCUUUUAAAAAAAAAUUAAAAAUAAAUAAAUCUUAAAAGACAACAUUCAAUUUUGUGCGCAUCUUAUUUCUUAAGAUUUUCCAGGAGGGCAAUAGAGGGACUUUCACCUAUGCAAUAGAGAGCAGAAGCCUUACUUUCGCUAUAAAGUAGACGUCAUUCUGAUUAAUAUGCGUUUGCAAAUCAGCUCCAUUUGAAUCAGUAUUCUGAUAGACACACGAGGCAUUUACAUCCAUUUCCAAAGUCACAUGUUGCGAGGAGGACUCAUUUGAUUGCUCCUCUAGGAUCAUCUAAUUCAAGUAGCAAGGGUUGGAAGAGAAUAAAAAGUCACAAUUAUUCUUUUGCAUAAGUGAGACGAAGAUGAUAAAUGCAAUAUUAUCAGCAGUAAUAACGUGUUGAUGAUAUGCUUUCUCAGCAUCUACCUGCAAAGGCCCGAGACCAGGAAAACAACAAUAAAACCACUAGCUAAAGGAGAAAGUAAAGAAAGAAAUACACUUGACAUAAAUCUUGACAAGAAGCACAAUUUAAGACAUAACAAACCCCAAUCAUAUUGUUUAGAACUACCAUUCGUUAUUUCGUUAUUGUUGCAUUUCGAACAAGUGUUGACUUAAUUCAACAUUGUUGGAAAGAUAGGCUUUUAGAAGCGGAAGAAAGCCACUCAAACCAAAGUGAUUGUCCUUGUAUUGAUCAAGGGAUGUAAACAUAUUACAUUUGCAGGAUGAGUUUUAAUCACUCCCCUGAUUUAUUUGGGUUGCAGUAAAACUAAGCGAGCAACUGUUUGACCUUCAAGCAACAUCUGAAUCAGCUAUUAAAAUUCAAAUAAAAUCAUAAUAGAAUAAUAACAGGCCAUCUUGCAUCAAAAAUUAAGUUUAAUUUGUGAAUUUUUUUCCAUAGACAUGUUAGCUCCUGCUAUUGAAAUGUUAAAAGCAUUGAAAAAUUAUUCAAUAAAUUAUGCAAACAUUAAAAUAGAGGACACAUUAAAAUGUUUCUAAUUACAAUGUUAAUAUUUCCUAUAUUUUAGCAUUUGAAUAUUUUAAUUUAUUUAAAAGCUACGUCGAUCAACUUUGGGCGUGAAGAUUUUAGCUUCUACGAGACUUGAUUGGAAUAUGCAUAAGGAAGAGUGUUAAAAUAUGAUGCAUCCAACGAAAGACAAACCACGUGUAGUCUUUUAAUUAAGCCAAAGUAGCAGCUCAAACAAAUGACACUUGGACCAACAUGCAAUCAUGAAGUGGCCGGAAAAAGGACAAAUGCAACUUUGGCUUAAAUAAAAAAUAACAUGUGACUUGACUUUUGCUGGACAUGCAUCAUGUUAUUACAAGACAACAGAAAUCAGUAUGAUAGUACUAAAAGUUGACAAUAACAUGAAGAUAAGAGGCAGAAUGUCAACACAUGCAUAGGCACACACAAGAAAGUAUUAACUUAUAUACCAUAGCAAAAAGUCUUUGAUAUGUCAUCUGUUGCUGCUGUGAUUCAACUGACAGCAUGGCAGCUGUUGCUUCUCUACCAAGAGCCAUUAUUGUAGAUUUAAGCUCGGUCAAUCUUGCUUCUGCAUUUCGAAGCUUCACAGCACUCUCUGCUGAUAUAUCAGAUUCCCUAAUCUUUGAUCGGCGCCUAAAUACUUCAGCUGCCUGGUGAAAAUAUUCAAUAUAAAUCUAACAUAAUUCUAAUCUUACCUGGGCUUCAACUUCAUGUCGAAGUUUGUCAUAACGAUGAGUCAGGUGUCGAGCAUCUUCCAAAGGUGCUCCGUUGAUUAACGCCCGUAGUGGCUCAGAUACCUACAUGUCCAAAAACCUGUAACAUAGUUAGAAAAAUGAAAAGAAAGAGCGAAACCUCAAUUAAAAAGUUCCUCCAACAUAAUCAUGGAAUUUGGGCCUACUUCAAGGAUAUAUAUAAGGAUAAUUUAUGCAAUUUUGGGUCUUAGGAUGAUUCAUAUUAGGUUAGUGUUCUUCUCUUCUGUAUUUAAGGUUAAAAUAGAAAUAAACCUAUGCAAAUAUAUAAAUUAGGGCUGUAAGACUUCCACAUGCAUCCUUCAGUCUCAUGGAUUUGAUUUUACUAUAGAUGCAAGUGUCGUUAUCGAAAAUGCUUGGAGUCAAUUGAGAGAACUCACGGCCAAAAACUUGUCACACGCUAGUCUUUGCUAGUGAUGUAAGAAGUCACAAGGUCUCUUCAACAUUUGAACCAAUAAAAUUAUUAAGUCAUGGAUGUCACUAGCAAUGAUUUUAAUAUAAAACAUUAAAUAUUUCAGAGUUGUAACUUUAAAAUGGAUUCUUUUAUUCAAUAUCUUAGAACUAAGUUUCCUUAUGAGAAGAUAAUAGUUUCAGUAGUAAUUUACAUAUAAUUUUCUAUAUUUGAAUUAUUUUCUAGUUAGGGAUGAACUAACCUGAUCACGAAGAAUCCCAAGCAAAGUUUCCCUCUCAUUUUCCAUCAAAUCAUGUGAAGUGCCAAAUUGAACAGCAGCUCUUGCAACGCAAGAAUUGUCACUCUGAUUCUCCGCUCCAUACUUGCAACAAUCUUCGGCCAACUUUCUCGCUACAAUAUUUGAAUACAAAAAUAUUGUACACAAGAACUAGUCAAGAAAAAAAAAAAAAUCAAAUAUUAUAACGAGAGCAAGAGCAAACGAACAACCUAUUUCCAUUUGUUUCAAGCUUACUGCAACAAACACUUCAACGCCACGGACAACAUUCCUCUGAAAAUGCUGCGCUACAGAGCAUAUAUUCCAAAUUAUUGUUCAGAUAAAACCAUAGAAACCAUCAUAAUUAUUCAACAUACAUUAAGCUCCGUUUGGUAAAUACUUGCAACUUCAGUCUAGAAAAUACAGUUAAUUUUUAUUUAAAAAAACAUCAUAAUUAUCAACAUACAUAUUUGACAAAAUUAUUAUUUAAAAAUCAUAACUAAUUACCAAAAGCCACAAUAAAUCAAUAUCAAACAGAGUCUUAUUAUUAGCUAAAGGAGGAUGGUGCCUUAGCUGCCCUGGUGGAAUUGUAUAGAUUUUGAAGUUGUUGGUGACACUCAAUUUCAGCUUCAUCAACCGCAACAUUUUCAAUGCCAAGAUGGAGCAGAUGCUUCAAUACUGCCUGUACAAACCAUAAAAAACUAAUGAAAAAUAAAUAAAAUCGAGAAAUUUCACUAAUUAAAAGUCUAAAUAAUUCAAAAACAAAAAAAGAAAAGAAACGGACUUGCUGCUGCUUGGCGACUUGUUCUCGGAGCUUGAUUGCCUGUUUCUUGAUAGCUUCCAUACUGUUUCUUUCAAAAAGCGACGACGGCUCAGCUCAUGGAAGUGGAAAAAAAAAAGUGUGAUCGAGAAAAAUGAAAAGGCGUGAAUAAUUUUUGACAAAAAGCGAAAAUCAAGGAAAGCCGGCUCUUUCCAGAAAAUAAAAAAGAAAAAAGAAAAUUAUAAGUUUGAAAGGAGAAGAUGAUAGUGGAAGUGUGCGGUGUGGCUGCCAGCUACUUGAAUUAUAAGAAAUUUUUUUUUUUUUUGGAGAAAAAUAGUAGAGAAUUUUUUAAGAAUCUAGAAUAACUGCAUCACUUCUUAAUCGCUUGCUUUAACUGCAUCGCUCUCUUUGUGCUCUUCUAUAUAUGUAACGGUUAUGCGGUUGUAGUUCACCACUGAGGCUACAUGUUGGUUUGACGUGGCAGUUACGUUACAAGGGGAUAAAUAAGAUUGGUUUCAACAAACCCACUAAUUUUAUAAAAUUCGAGUAAUAUAGAAUAAAAUAAAAAAAUAAAUACAAAAUGGGCUUUUACUUUUUAUGGUUGACUGUAUUUUGUGUUCUCUUCUGGCACUACUACAAUUGUUCCCUAUAUAUCAGUCACAGCCAUAUAUCAUUAACACAAGAAAUGAAAUCUAAUGUCACCUAUUUAGUUAAAGAAUCACUCAUGAAAAAAAUUUACCAUUUUGAUUUGAGGAUCCAUAUUUUGAACUGCAAGCUAAUGUUCAUUAAGAAUCCCUAAUGUUCAUAAAAAUCAGAGUAUGGCCAUUGAGUAGAAAAACUAUUUUUGGACAAAUUAUUUUUGUUGAUAGAAGAAUUUCUUAAGGGACUACUAAAAUUAUUAAUAAAAAUGUAGAACACACCCACAUAUCAUCGACACAAUUGACUUUGAGGAUCCAUGCUUUGAAUUGCUGCCUAAUGUUCAUCAAGAACAGAGUAUGACUUGUGAGUAGAAAAUUUUAUGAUUUUGGCCCGAAAUAAAAGGAAAUUAAAUUAGAUGAGAAUCUGCCACUUUCUCAUGAAGAAAGGCAUACGGAGCAUACCAUGGUACCAUACAAUACAAAGAGUCUCUGUUCUCUGGUUUUUCAAACUCUGAAGGGGCCAAUAUUCCCGAAUUCCCCCUUGAAAAUUCUGAUUACGACAUUAUCCAUCGCUUGACGCAAUCAAAGUAGCGACAAAGUUAUGAAAAAUAUGAGUCCUAAGUAAUUGCUAGGUAGGGUUCCUGAGAGUAAAAUUGUCCUAAGCAUUAUAUGCAUACAUGGUGUGGUACAUAGAGCACGUUGAAUUCCCCACUAUAACACAAACCCAGAAAGACAAGUAAUAACUCAACUGAUAUAAAGACAAAAAGAAGAUAAAAUGAUAUAGAAAAAAGAAUUUCAAAGAGACAGCAACAUACGAUAGACUGAAGCCACUUGAUCUGCUCAUUGAUUGCAGCCUUAAACUCGCAAAUAGUUACUGUACGCUAGUGCUCUAAGAAGUGAAAAUGAUGCGAGCCCUGAUUCCCUUUUGACUUCCAUUUAUUGUCAAACAUUCUAGUAAUACAAAAAAUUGUUUAGAUAUCUCGCUAUAAAUAUAGCCGUUUGACUGUCAUAAUAAAGUCACAAAUAACCAUUCAUAUUGAUCCACUGUCACACAACAUGCUUUAUGCAUACAACAACUGUAUGUAUACCAACUCCUAACCUUAUCAAUACAUUUGGCAAAAACUUAAGAAGAAAACUAUUUCUCCAUCUCUUUUUUGAAAUUUCACAAUAAACCAGCACAUUGUAAACGUUAUGUUGUAACCUUAUGAUAAAUGCUCUAGACUCCAAAUGAAUUUUAUAUAUGAGGGUUUGUUGCAGCAGAUAUAUUGACUUAUCAAGUAUGAAUCAUUGUCUAGAAGAACUAUCUUUAGAUAAAAGAACAUUAGAACCACUAUAGAAUAUCUUUAGGCUGCUGGUUCUAACAGGAAUCUGCGUGUGGCAACAAUUGCUAGAUCCACAAUUCCCCAACUUGAAAUACAUAGUUGCACACCGUGAGAUAGUGCUGCAAUCUACUGAGAUCUAACUUAUAUGAUAUUUUAAGCUACUAAUGUUUGCAUAUUUCUACAUGUUAAAUUAAGCAGCUUUUGGCCACUUAUUACUAGCAUCCACAAUUAAUUUUUGUUCAGUAAUCAGCUUAUUUUAAAGAAAUUGAUUUAGUCAACAAGAAACACUAUAAUCCUUGAAAUUAGUUCUUGUUCUUUGUAAUUAUGUAUGAUCUUUCAUACAUCAAUUAAUCUGCAGUACCAAGAUGAGGUUUUCAGAGAAUUGGGGGUGAACUAGCUAGGUGGUUUACUGUUAAAGAUAUAGUUGCAGCUGAGCUAAACAGAGUAGCUGGAGGUUGCUGAACAGUUACAUCAAAAGACGGGAUCAUAGUCUAUGCAUUGAACAGUUACAGUUGCUGCUACCAAUUGCUUCGGCAAAGAUCAAGAAGACUGAACGGGAAGUUAAUGCCAUCAAUGUCGUCUUCACUAUAGCUGCUGGGAAUGUAGGUGAACUUUCCUCAUUUGCAGCUGUCUAUACAUAGGCUUUUCCCCAGCUUAAGUACAAAUAAAUGAACCUGCCUUGAAGGCUUUAUUAUUGACCCCAAUAAGGAUUACUAAUUGAAGAAGACUAUACGGAGUUAAUCCCACACUCUCGUUCUCUCAAUUUCUUUCAGAAGUGCCUCUGAAAAUAGCUGCCAAACCGUUAGUCAGCUUGUAUACUCUGUUUUCUGGAAACAGAGCCCUCACUAACUGACUGUACAGAGUAAGUCAACAUAGCAUAUUUAAUCGUUUUAAUUGAAUUAUCUUCGCAGCGAUCAUCAACAAACUCAUCAUAAGAUAUUUGAAGCACCCAAGGACUAUCACUGGGUUUCUCUUCUGGUUGAUUUAUUAAUUAAUCAUAGAACGGUUGGAUACCCAGCGACAAUUAAAAUUAUUCGACUUCUGGAACUAGGAAUGAAGUGCAAUGAUGGAGCAAAAUUUACAAUGUCUCCGGUUUCUCCUGACCAUCGGACUUUUGCAGUGAGAACAUAUAACAAAAAGGCCUUCAUCAAAAUUUGUAGACUCCGGGUAUGGAUUGGAUUGAGUUUUUUGUUUGAUAUUGAAGAACCUCUUUACUAUCGCGAUAUAGAUUAUGUGCAAGGAGUUGUCUACUGUUCUUUGCCUUGUGCUAUGAUCGGUGCUCUUGAGACUGCCCUGAAACACAGGAAAAUACUUCGAUAUCCUCCGUUCGAUGAUGCAAAGAACCGGUUAAUGUAUGAUUAUCUAAUUGACUCAGGAUCAGGUAACAACAACAACAAUUUAUUAAUAGUAAUAUCACAAACGAAGAAGAUUUCGGAGAGGGAGAUGUAUGCGUAUACUGUUUACAGGUUUGAUCCACUGGGGAUGAAGUGGUCUCAAGUGGAAAGUGAUUUAUUAAACAACAAAUCGUUGUUCUUGGGUUAUACCUCAUGAUGUCAUCAAGUGGAAGAUGAAGAUUAUGCAAGACGAAGAUCGUUUGAUAUUGAAGAAUUUGAACAGAAAGCCCAUAGAAAGUACUUAAAUAAGCAUAUUCUUGUUGGGGUAGAAUAUUGAGAAAGGAGUUGUCUACUGUGUGUUGCGUAAUUAUGCUAUGAUCGGUGCUUUCAACAUUGCCCUGAAAACAGUGGGAAAUACUUCAUAUCCUCGACAUGAUGAUGAAAAAUUGGUUACCGAUUACCUAAUUGACUCAGGUGACAACAAUCCAUUAAUAGCACAAUUUGACGUGAUGCCGUUUAGGUAUAUGGUUUUCAAGUUUGAUUCAUCAGUGAUGAAGCGGACUAAAAUUAAAAGUUUAAAUGAUAAGUCAUUGUUCUUGGGCAUAUCGUCAUUACUACUUCCAGUGAUCAACGAUGAAGAUGAAGAUGAAAAUUGUGCGAGUUCAAGAUUACCAUUUAUCAUUACUUGGGAUAUUACUUCAACAUAGAUGGGGUUAUAAUUUACUCCCACGAACAUCAACUCAACUUUAUGAUUGGAGUGUCUCACCGUGACUCAGACAAAUUCUGAUUCAACCUCCUUCACCAAUGGAUUUUGAUUAGUUAUUUUGUGAUCAAGCAACUUAAUUAAACUCAGUUUGUUAGUCUAAUUUUAGUUUUACUGUGACCACUAUUCAAGGUAAGCGAAAGUUACAGAUGUGGCAAAAUCAAUAAUUAAAUUCAUAAAAUGUUAAAAAAUAAAACUUAUAAAUGUUGCAUGACUACUUACUAAUAAAUAAAUAAGUUAGAAUGUAGUUAUUUAAUUUUACACCAUAUUAUAUAUUAUUCGAUAAUAAUAUAAAAUAAAAAUAAUUAAAAAAUAAAUAAUUGAAUAAACAAAUAUGGCUUUCUAAACAGUAAAAAUUCUAGAGUUAAAAUUUAUAUUAUUAUUUUAUUUUUUAAAAUUGACAUUUUUCUAUUGUCUUACAUGUAUAAAGAUUUUGAGAGUUGAGAAGAAUAUAUUUAAUGAAGCUUGAUAACAUUUGAUGGGAUAGCAAGUAAGGGUAAAUAAGAUAUUUUUAUUUGUUAUUUAUUUGAAUUAUAUCUAUUUUGUUCAAGUUAAAAUACUAAAUAUAAAUUGGAGGUAGACAUUUUAACAGAUCAUCUAAGCUCUCAAAUCUGAAAUUUUGUGUAGAUUUAAAUUCAUAAUUUUAGUUAAUUUUCAUACAUUCAUAUAAACAAAUUUAUGAGAUUUUUCUUUUCAGCAUGUUAUAUUUUGAAACUUUCAAUGUAUUAUUCUAGCUUUAUUUAAACAAUUAAUUUAUUUAAAAUUUAUUUAAUUUUGAAUUUGAUCAGUAGUAAAAUUAUUUUUAUAUCAAAUUUUUUUAUUUAAAUAGUUCGUGGAUUGGACAAAAUUAAAAAUUUUUAAUCCACAAAAUGGUGGAUUAGAUAUGAAUUAGGUUAAAUCCACAUUCGAUCUGCAGUGGUAUGAAUUUGAUUUGGAUUGAAUUUCAUCAAUUCAUGGAUUAGAUUGGAUUGAAAAUUUAUUAUCCGUAAAAUCAUGGAUCGAAUAUGGACUAAUGUCCAAUCAGCAAAAUCCGAUCCCCGAACACGCCUCUAUCAAAAUUUUCAAGAAUAUGUUUUAUCUUACAAAUUUUUUUUAAAGUCAUAGUCUAAUGGCAGCCCAAUUUUAUAAAGUCACACACAACCAUUCUUAUUAAAUUAGCAAGAUCAAACACUGCACUGGAUCUUGAACAGAUCAACACAAGUUGCACAACUUGCGAUUGAAUUCGGCCAGAAACAAUCAACUCUUUAGCAAGAACAAUUAAUCAGAGUCAAGAAACAAGUUUAAUGAAUAUAAACCUAUAAUUGAAACAAACAUAGCCAAGAAAAAAAUACAGAUUUUACACGGUUCAGUUGUACCCAGGAUGGCACAACCUACACCACGAGAGAAGCUUUCUGGUGAGAUUUUAUUGAUGAUCAAAGAAGAAUCUUUUGACAAAGCUAAUAAUAGAGAUUUCAGAGAAUAAGCUAUGACCCUCUCUCCCUCUUCAAUCUCUCUUUAUUUUGUUCCCAUUGAUGACCCCAAUCUGCUUAGUUAGCCAGCUUUAUAGCUGCAUCAGUAACAAACCAGCAAACCCAGAUUGAGCAGAUUGACGACACGUGGAUAACGGCUUUAACGAACCUGGUUAAGAACUGCUCACAUGUUCGUCACGCGUAGGGAUGGCAAAUAUCCAAUUAUGGAUGGAUAAUAUCCAUCCAAACACAAAUCCAUAAUUAUCCAUAAUAGAUAUAUCCAUAUCCAUAUCUAGUAUUUAAUAUUGGACAUGGAUAUGGAUUUUAUCCAUAUAACUAUGGAGAUCCAUGGAUAUCCAUGGAUAUUUUAUUUUUAUUAUAUAAAAAUAAUAAUAUAAAAUAGUUAAAAUAUCCAUAUCCAUAUAACUAAUAAUAUAUAUAUAUAUAUAAUAAAAUGGCGGUCCGGUAGUCGGUGGCGGCGGUCCGGCAACUUUCCGGCAAAUUCCGGCGAAAUUCCGGCGACGGUCCGCGCGAUGUCCGACGGUGGUCCGGCAACUUUCCAGUGAAUUUCGGCGGAGGUCCGGCGACAUUCCGGCGUGGUCCGGUGGUGGUCCGGCGACUUUCCGGUGGAUGUCCAUUUAUAAUAUUAAAUUAAUAAAAUAAAAUAAUAAUUAUUAAUAGUAUUAAAUAAGUUAAAAAAUUAAAGGAUAAUUUUGAAAACUUUAGUUUUUAAUAUAAGAGGAAUUUAAAAUUUUCACUAGUUAAUAUAAUAUUUUUAUAAUUGUUUGUUUAUUAUAUUUUUUAUUUUUUAUUUUAUAAAAUUAAAAAUUUUUUAAACUUGUGUUGGGUUAAACGGAUAUUCAUUGGGUAAAAAUAAUUAUCUAUAUCCAUCCAUAUCCAUCUGGAUAUAAUUUUAAAAUAUCCAUUUCAAAAUCCAAAAAUUUUUGGAUGGAUAUUAUCCGAUCUAAUUGGAUAGAUAUUGUGGAUAUCCAUUAUGGAGCGAUCCAAUUGCCAUCCCUAGUCACGCGUGCUGCUUAAAUGAUGGCCAAAACGACUUCAAACAAAUGUCGUUUUGAGGCUUAUGAAUUACAAGUGAUAACACGAGCUUGUCUCAUGACUUUUAAAUGCAACAGCGUGCCCAAAACGCCGUCGUUUUACUCUGUUGAGUUUGAUUCAUUACUAAGCUUUACGACUGGCACUGGAGAAGAUGAUAAUUUAAUUUACAUGGACAGUUUUUAUAUCACUUUUACAACAUCCUAUGCAAUUGUAAUAUUGGGAAUUAUUGAUGUUUUAUUCUGUGAAUCCUCAUUGGCAAAAACUAGUGGUUUUAUCUUUGUUGAAAUGUAAAUGACCUCUCGUUACUAUUUUAUUAUAAACAUAUAGUUUCGUAAGUGAAACUACAUGUUUAUAAUAAAAUUAACAUAUAGUUUCGUUACAUUUCUGCCUCAUUAAGAUUCUCAAAUACCAGUCAGGUUUGCUUAAGAAAUAAAAUUUUUCCAUUAAAAUUGCAGUAGUAUUUCCAAGCAUAUCGCAUUUUCUAUGAUUUUUCAUAAAUUAAUUAAUCUGCGGUGCCAAUAUCAGAUUUAGUUUUUCAAACUAAAUAAUCAAGAAAGCAAACAUACAAAUAUACAGUUUAGAGGGGUAAACUAGGUAGGUGGUUUAGAUUUUAGAACUAAGCCAGCUACCUCACUAAAUUCCGAUUCGUACAGUGAACUGCAAGAAAUUGAGAAAACAAUGAAUUUAUAAUUUAAUAGAAUCAUAAGAAAACAAUGUAGUCAUUGCUCCAUAUAAGAUGAUGAUUUCGGAGAGGCACAUUGUUUUCAAGUUAAUUUGAUCCGUUUAUAAGAGAUGAAGUGGAAUCAAGUUGAAAGUUUAAAUAACAAAUCCUUGUUCUUGAGUUUUACGACGUCGUUACUCCUUCAAGUGGCAGAUUAUGCAAGUGAAUGCAGAAACACAAUGCAUCAUCCGCGGGGAUGAUACAUCAAAAGGCGGGAUUUGUUUAUGCCUGCAGAUUAGCAAUUUCACUCAUAUAGAAAAUUAAUUUUUUAUAUAUACUAAUCAACACUAAAUUGAUUAUGUGUUGUAUGUUUAUAUGCUAAUCAACACGAAAUUAUAUUGAAUUAUUAACAUUCAUAUUCCUAAUAAAAAUUAUUUUCCAUCAGUAUUCAAAAUUUUCACUUAUGGAAAAUGCGUUUUAUGUGAAUACUAGUUAUUGUGUAAAUUUGAAUGAUAGCGAAAAAUAAACCUAUUUGAAAACUGUAAGGGUGUGUUGGGAUAUUUUACAACUGUCGGAAUCUGGUAGGAUAUUGCACCAUUUGCCCAAUAUUUUUAGACGUACUCUAACCGGUAUUCAAGAUAAGUAAAAGUUACAAGCGUGGCAAAAUAAAAAAAUAAAAUUUGUAAUUUGUAAACGAAUUUUCCUGACAUGUAUAGUAGAUGAAGUUGUUGAUCCUUUCUUUGGAUUAUUUCAGCUCUGGUUGUUGGUCACCGAUGAGCCGAAGUCUUAUUUUAAUUUUAUUUAAACUCAUCAUAAGAUUCGUGGAGCACCUAACUAACUUAACUGACUGUGCAGAGCAUCUCAACAUGGCAUAUUUAACCAUCAUUCAAGUGAUGGGUUUAAUAAGACUGCUUUUGUUCUAUCAACUAUCAAGUUCCUCUGCCUCUAAGCAGAAUUACUAUUGAAGGGCCAAAAGGAAAAUGAAAACGUGUGAGCUCCAACAACCACCCCACAAAUUCAAUGACGAUGCUCGGAGAGGGUUAGGUUGGGCCUCUGAGAAAAAAAAAUUAUUUAGUUAAAAAGUUACCCUUAUUGAAACCUGUAUAAAAAUUUUAUAUUAAUUAGUUAUGUUGCCUCUUCAACUAUGAUCAAAUUUUUAUCCGAGCUCAUCAUUUAAUGAGUAAACAUGUAUUUUAAUGAUCUCAAUUAAUAUUUAGAACAAAUAUUUUAAGAAGUAAAGCUCAUUAUAUCUUCCAUUAUUAUGUAUUUCUUUAAUUUCUUAUUUACAUAAUUAUAUUGUACAUUAAAAAUGUAUUGAAUUUGAAGAAAAAAAAAUUCAACUCACUCAAAAAAAAAAAAAAAUGCUGGUAGCUUCGUAAUAAUUACUGUAUUGACUGCACCAGAUAAAGUUUUGUAAAAUAAUAAGUUCUCAUUAGUGGUUUUUAAUUUUUUUAAUUUUUUUUUCCGGCACACCUGAUCAAGAAUUCUAUUUUGUUAACUAAUCAAUUGCAAAGCAUAAGUGUUGAACGGCAAAAAAAUUUAAAAAAACACUUAAAACGUGGGGAAAUGAGAAAUAUAGAAAGAAAGGAAGAAAGUUGAGACAUGAAACUGAUCUGCAGUGAAAUUGAUAAUCAUGUUUCUAUUUCGUUAACUAAUCAAACGGAAAACUGAAACUGUAAACAAACAUUAACACGUGUGGACUCUGCUAGCUGCCCUACAAGUCUACAAUAGUAAUUGAGUACCUUUGAUUCAUCCUUCUAUGAAUUUCUAGCUGUAUUGACCCCAACUGCUAAAGUUUUGUAAAAAAUAAAAAUAAAAAUAAAAAAACUGGAAUUUCAACAAAAUUCAAAACGUGUGAAAUUCAAAAAUGGACUUUGGCCAUGUGGAACAAAAUGUAAAUUAAGGAAAAAGUAUAAAUCUCAAUUGCUUAGUAUGGUUAGGAUUUUGUGAGCAUCACUAAAAAGUGAAAACUAUGAAUGAUAGAGGUGAUGUUUGCAACAUGAAUAAAUGAUGAACUGAAUCAAUUGAUGAUCGUAAUUACAUAAUGAACAAAAUUUACAAAAUCAACAAAAGUUAAUAAAAAUUUAUUUAAAUAAUAAAAAAUCAAUAAAAACUUAUUAUUUAACGACGCUCUAACCAAGGAGUAUCAUAAUCAUAAUCUUCUUUUAAGAAUUAUAACCUAUUUCAAAUAGCACCGCAAUAUAAUUCUAGAUAUUUAAAAGAAAAACAUUAUCCACCUGGAAUGACUUGAAGUCUAAAGAAAAAGAGAGAAUGGCUCCCCGCAAUUUUCUUGUCUUCGGUAUAUUUUCUUUUUUAAAAUCUUUUGCCGCAUACAUAAUCUACCCUUGUUUAUUAUCUCCACUUUGAUCUGUUCAAGUCCAUUUUUUUCAAAUCUUAUUUUAAAUAAUAAAUUGAAUAAAAGUAUAUUUUUGUAAUUAAUUAGUAUUUGAGAGAGGGGAGGGGGGGGGGGGGCAUAUUUUUUGCACUCAGCUAUUAUCAAACAGUUCCUUAACCUAUUUCUCAGUUUAUUUGCUAUCUUUGUGGAUCUCAUGGGCGUGGCAGAAUUUAAUAAUUUUAUUCGUCUGAAGAAUAAGAUAUUGGCUUCAAUAAAUUUAAACCAACUUUUAUUUACUCUAUCAAUUAAUUAAUGCCAUUUUGUUUUAGAUUAGAUUCUUUUAAUGGCUUAGGUACAUACACAGUACCAGAUCCGGAUCCCGGAAAUGGUGCUCUGAAGGAAUGGAGGGAGAAGAAAAGAUUUACAACUGAGGAUUGAGAUCUGGUCUCGUUGCCUCAGAGGAAUGUACAGAUUUUAUGGCAGAUCUGAUAAAAACCAGUCUGCAAACAUGCUUUGAAGAAAGAAUUAGGCGGUUUCUGUAAACAAUUCAAUUAUGACCCCUUUAAAACUUCUACUUCCAAAGAUUGUAAUGGUGAGUGUUCUAAACCUCGCAAAAACAUUACAAAUCUAGAAAUUUUAGGAAACCCUUUCGUAAUUUUAGAGAACUUCCUUAUAAGAAACCUUCGAGGCCUUAUAAGAAACCCAAGUUCCCUAAAAAAGAGUUCAAAGCCAAACCAAAAAACUCCUUUCACUCCUUUCAAUUACAAAGAAGCUAUAUGUCACAGAUGUGGCAUGAAAGGUCAUACUGCAAAGUACUGCAGAAUGAACAAAAAGCUUCAUGAGCAGUUCGUCAUAAGGGAUUCGGUUAUCAUACAGGGUUUUAAUGGAAUUUCUAACCUUCUCUCCAAGGAGAGUUGGUAAUCCUGCAAGGAAUUUUUCUUUCCAAGUUGUAUGAUUAGCAUCAUCCCUAAGGAAAAGACGAGUGAAGAAAGUGGUUUUAUAGCUUUGGAAUUCACUAAGUUUCCUACAUCUUAAAUUAUGUAGUAACUCAGCGUUUUUAUCACGAAGAUGAGAAGGAUCACCAAUUAAAUGGAGGGAAAUUGUCAAAAUUAGAGUAGCAACGGCAUCCUGGAUUGGAUUGUUGAACUCAUCAAGAAUAGGGGCUCCAUUUUCAUCGACUUGUAUAGAAUUUAGAAUGUCUAGUUGUUGCCGAUUAGUGAGAAGAUGAUCCCACCAACCUUUCAAUUGACCAGUAAAACCGGCAAUGAGGAUUUCUGAUAUGGCACGAUCAGAAGUUCCUGCUUGGGUUUUAUAGGCAUUGGCUGCCAUUGUCAUUUGUUGCAACAAUCCUAGAAUAUUAUACUCGGACAUACCAUCAAUAUUCCACUCAUAGACUGAGGAUGCAUUAUAUCGAGAUUGAUUUAAUGCACUUGGUCUAUUAUCUAUUGCUAGAUCUGGUGGAGUCUUGACAGUGGGAAGGGCUAUUUACAAAAGGAUUUAAAUUUUCAAAGAAUUGAAAGUCAAUUACAAAGUGAUUUUGUUCAAAGAAAAAUCUCUGAUUUCAAAAACCUUAUUGAAAACGAAAUCUGUGCUGAUUUACCAUCUGCUUUUUGGAAUCGAAAACAGCAUUUAGUGGAUUUGCCAUAUGAAAGUUCUUUUGAUGAAAAACAGUAAGAUUCCACUCAGGGAUUUUCUUUCUAACAGUAAUAGGGUUUGACUCUUUGAAUGGAUAAGAGAUGUUGUUCUCCGAAGAAUAUAUUUCGAACCAAUCAAAAAACAAUAUAUGAAUUUUAUGAAAAUUCACAAAUUCAUAAUAAGUUUGUUGGAUUUCUUUUCUUUGAUUUAAAAAAUGUUUGAAGAACCAAAUUCUUUUUUCUUUGUUCAAAUCUGAAUAAAAAUCAUUAUGAAGAAAUGCUUUAUCCAAUUCAAAAUCUUUUUCGAUGACAUUAAUGACAUUUUCUGUAACAGCAGAAAAUGUAGGAGAUGUUGGAGGAGAAGGUUCCUUCUCUUCCUGACUUUGUACCUGUUGACUACUAGUGUAGAUCGGAUGAGGAACACUAGUGGUGUAAUCAACUGAAUGAAUGGAGGUGCUAGGUAAAUCUGAAGUAGAAAACCUAGGCUGACACUUUGUAUUUUGGAAUGGAUGAUUUAUAACAGAAGGUACUUUUGUAAAUUUCCUUUCUAGUGAAGGAAUGCUUGAGCACGACUCUUUAUCAGAAAAUCUGUGAGAGGUAGACCUUCUGAAUGAUAGUUUGACUUUACCAUCGGAAUACUGAGUCACAUUUUGCAACUCUGUAUUGGGCUCAAGUUGUUUCGGAGUCACCUGUGGGGCAGCUCCUUUAAGGAUCCAUUCUUCUGGAAGAUUAACAUCUUUCCAUUGGAUCGGUUUUGGAAUGACAGUGUUUGCUUUGGACAAGUCAGUCUGCAAGAGAAGAGUUUCAUCUCUUUUUGACUGGAAUUUAUGUUGCGUACAAAACGCAGAGACCAUAGCUUUAUAUGAAAUCUUGAAAAUCAAAGCAACUGGGAUGGACCCUUUAACCAUUUGGUAAUUAUGGGUUUUGAUUUGUAAAAUCAUGCUUUUUAAAAUGUUUUUGUCUUUAAGAGAAGAAAUUCUUUUCUUUUAAUUUCUUUAAAGAUUUUUCUGAAAAUAAAUAAAUUGUUUCAAAAGGCUCUGAAAGAGUGGUAUCACGUUCUUCAGUUUUUAUAAUAUAAUCACUUUUUAAAAGAUCAAGCAUUUUUGUUUUGUAAAUCUUUUCUUUGGAAAUUUUUGGAAGUUCCCAACAAUCAAUUGCUUUAUCAAAGUUCUCAAUAAUGAAUUCUUCUGAACUCACAACAUGCUUUGAAUCACUAGUCUUCCCGGAAGAAGAGCUAGAAAAGGACGAUGUUCUACCGAGUAGAGGAUCCAUGUCCAAGACCUUAUGGUCUAUUUUUGGUUUGGUCAGAAUGGCUACAGGUAUGGAUUUACAGCCCUCAGCGGAUAGCUAGAUUGUGGGGUAUCAGGGGCUAUUUGAACUUUGCUAGAUGAGGAAGAAGCAGCUUCUAUCCGAUCUAGUUGUUCUCUAAUGGCUUUAGCAAAAUCUGAUUUUGACUCUUGGACAAGCUUUUGGCUAGUUUUCGAAACCUGAAAAGGUUUGAAAAUAGGUUCCUUAAGCUUUUUAUCAGAAUCCGAUUUUGUUUGAACAGUAGUUGAUGAAACAGUAAUGGUUGACUUUUGGAAUUGGUUUUCUAUCCUAGUCAACUGCUUUCCGAUUGUAUUUAAGUUAGUAUUACAGAAAUUGUUCUGUUGGAUAAUACUACUUAAAUUUGCCUCGGAAUCAUUUGGUUUUGGAAUUUUGUAAGGUGAUGCUCUAAUUUCGACAGGAGGUUCACCAUGAUCUAUGGUUAUACUCCUAAGAGGUGGAUGCUCAGACUCGAUGGAUCAUUCAUUUUUAAAGAAAAUCAAUGUUUUGACUAAAGACUAAGAGACUUUUCUUGAACUUGUAAAACAUAUUUCUGAUCCAAAUCUUCAAAAAGAAUAUCUUGAUAAACUUUUGAAAACUUUGGAUUUUAAUAAAGCCGAGACUUCUAAAGUCCCAAUUGUUAAAAAGAAUUCUUAUGAUCUUACCCAGAUUUUAGAUAAAAAGAAAACAAAGAAGUCAAUGCCCACGAUUCAAGAUCUUCAAAAAGAAAUCAAAGAGAUUAAACUUGAGAUUAAGGAUUUGAAAGAAAAACAGAAAACUGAUUCUGAAACUAUCCAACUCCUUUUACAAAAGCAUUUGGAUAAUGAUUCUGAUAAAGAUGCCGAUUCUGAUGGUGAUCAUAAUGACCAAAAUGUUGAUAAUAUUGAAUCUAUACCAAAUGAUUUUUUGUUUGUUUUAAAACAAAUCACCACCAGGAAGUAUUUAAUUAAAAUCUCUUUAAUUUUUUCCAAAGAUUUUGCUAUCGACGCCAUUGCCCUUUUUGACACUGGUGCUGAUUUAAAUUGUAUAAGAGAGGACAUUGUCCCCAAAAGAUUUCAUGAAAAGACAAAAGAAAGCCUUCUGUUCAAACACCAGUCACUAUCAAUAAAAUGAGCUGUGAUCACCAUGUAGCUCAUGUUUUGAACAGAAGUCCAUAAAUCAGUGGUAAGAGACACUCGCUGUUUGUUGUUGCAAAUCAAACUCUUCAACAUUAUCUUUUCUUCCAAAAAUAAAUCCAUAACAUCCCUACCAACAGUUCUCCGAGAUGGCAUAACAAACUGUGGAAUGGCUACACUACAGAAAUGCCUGAACCCUUUGUUAUCCACAAAACUAAGUGGCAACUCACCCAUAAUGAUCAUUUUGGUGACUGCCCUUCUACAAGCGUCUUGACUCCACCCUUUAGCCAAAACCAUAUUACUUGCAUUUCCUUCCCCACCCUCAGUUGUCAAGUUUUGUUGACUUCCCUCUUGUUGUUCCCGGAAUGUCUUGUAUGCAAGGCAAGCCAGUAUAUGAUUUCUCAUAUUUGUAAUCCCAUCACGCCUUGAAUGACAUUGAUAUUGUCUACCACAAUAGUUGCACUUGCAUUUGUUUGGAUUGUCCUCGAGCAAAGUAAAAUGAUUCCACGUCGCAGAUCUUUUCUUCAUCGCUGGUCUUUUCCGCUUUGCCUUUUGAGUUCCUUCCAUUUGAACACUUUGAUUGUCAUCAUCACUUAUUGAAUUCGAUCUUGAGUGUCCAGACAUCUAAACAUACAAAUAAAUAAUUAUUAAUCAUUAAUUCAUAAAUUAAAACACAAAAAGACUAUUAAAAAAAUCUACUUAAUAGUUAGUAUUACAAAUUGAUUCAAAUAAUUGUUAAUUUAAUUUUAUGAAACUUUUUGAAAUCGAUAUUUCCAAUUUUCCACCAUAAUGUUUAUAUAUGAUCAAGAAUUCAAGAUGCAUAUGCCCACAUUAUAUGUAGUUAACCACUUAAUAUUUACUUAUUGGUUAAUGGUUAUCAUGCAAUUAAUUAAAUUGAUUAAUUAUUUAUUGAAGUUGAAACUUAAAACUACUGCAAUUAAAUUGGUUAAUGGUUAAUUUUUUGUUGAAGUUGAAACUAUUCUACAAAUACACAUAUCAUAUGACAUAUACAAUUAUAAUUUAUAUUGUAACAUAAUAUUUAAUUUUAAUUUUUAAUCUAACAUUAUACUAUUCAUACAAAAAAUCAAUUAUUAAUUAAUAACAGAAAAUUAAUGCCAGAUUAUUUUCAUUUUAUUGAUAAAAUUUAACAAUAUAUAAUUAAAAAUUUAACAUACAAAAUUACAAUUAACAUUUCUCAUAUAACAUAUAACAAAUAAAAAUUAUAAUUAAUCAUUAAUGCAUAUAUAAUUAUAUAAUAUAUACCAUCUCUUAAAUAACUUUAAAAGCCGGAUUUGCUGUCUUGCACUCUUGCUUUGCUUCUUAUUCGGGCUUCAGCCUUCAAGCCUUCAAGUUCCAAUUCCAAACUUCCAAAUUUCCAAUUCCAAAACAGAGAGUGAAGAGAGUCAGAGAGACAGAGACCUUUUGAGACUGGAGGCUGGAUCCGUGACCCGUGAGGCGUGACCGUGAAUGGGUGUGGUGGCCGGAUGUCAACACUCAACAGCCGUGACCCGUGGAUGCCAAUGGUGGAGACUCGAGUAGAUCGGAGGUAGCUUGCUGGGUGGAUCUUCAAUCGGACUGAGUUAUGGUGGAGUGGAGGAUUCAAGGCGUGGAUCCGGCGCUUGGUUGCAGCAGAUCUGUAGAUCGGGUCACGAUCUUCGCGAAUCAGCUUCGGCUUCGGUUGGGGUCGUUCUCGGAAGUGGUUGCUGGCUGCGUGUGGUGGCCGGUUGAAGCUAGCUCCGUGAACUGUGCGUGUGUGUUUGCUGCGCGUGGUGAGUGACGAAGGCCGUGACUCCGUGAGGCGUGAAUGAGCGUGGGACAGUGGGUUGGCUGCUGCCUGCUUGUGCUUGACGGCUGCUGGUUUCAGUGAUUUUUGUGUGACACUGUGACAGUGAGGGUUUGUGAAUUGUGAUAGUGAUACCGUGAGUGAGGGUUUGUGACUGUGAGUUGUUACUUGUUACUUUGCUUAAUUGCUUUGCUUGUGUUGUUUUCUUGGUGAAUUAUUGAAUUGUUUUGUAACUUUUGUUGCGGUGAAUACUGAAUAGUUUGGAGUGAAUUGACUGAAUUCCUGAAUUGUUUUGUUGCGGUGAAUACUUUGUGAAAUGUGAAUUAUUGAAUUGAAUUGUGAAUUACUGUAAAUCCGUGAGUCUGUACUCUGUACUGUGAUCUGUAUUUUGUUUCUGUGAGAGUGUGAGUUACUGAUUCAAUGCAUGUACUCGUGUGAGAUGUGAAUGUGCCAUGUGUGUGUCUGUGUGAUAUUGUAAGUGUAAAUCUGUAAUUUUUGCCCACUUUUUUUUUUUGUCUCAACCCGAUCGGGUUUUCGGAUCGGAUCGGGUGAAACCCGAUCCGAUCAUGAUCCGAUCGGGUUGAGACAAUUUCACCCGAUCGGGUUUUGUUGACCACCCGAUCCGAUCCGAAUCCGAAAUUUUUCGGAUCGGGUCGGGUCGGAUAAUUUGCCCACCCCUACUUCUAGUUCUAGAUGAAAUUGAGAGAGAGAGAGAGAGAGUGUGAGAGAAACUCUGAAAAGCUUCAAGAAUAAUAAAGCCUAUGUACAGGCUGCUGUUCAUUUAUUUGUACAUAAGCAGGGGAAAAGCCUAUGUAUAGACUGCUUCAAGUGAGGAAACUACACCUAACUACCCAGCAGGUAUAAUGAAGAAGACAUUGACGGAGGUUGGUAGCAGCAACUUUAAUUGUUCAAAGCAAACACGUACCUUUCGUUUCUCAUAAAACCUUGUGAGGUAAUGCUUUAGAUGACUGGCAUGCAAUAUUGUCAAUGACAAAAUUUAAUGUUGCAUCCUGCUGAUAUUAGGUUUAUUAAUAGUUGCAGCCUUAGGCAGGCAUAAUUUGGUCACGGAAACAAUAUAUCCAUCCAUUUUCAAAGGAUAGUAACUGUAACAAUAAAUCAAUUAAUAUAAUUUUUAUAAUUGGGAUAGCAUUGAGAAAGUCAAAAUUCAUUGUCCAGAUUUAGAUUUAAACUCGCCAUAGAAAGUUUUUACUUUCAUUCAAUAUCACAACUACAUUUGGGGACCACAAGACAGUCAAUUUUGAACAGAGUUAUAGUUAAUGAGUAAUUUAAAUUCAAACGCAUGAAACGUGAGGAUUUAAUUAUUGAUUUUUUAGUUUUAGUGUCAUUGAAGAUCAUAGAGGGAAAACGAUCGGUAAAAAGAUUGUAGCUUGUUUACAAGAUUGGGGGAUAGAGAGAUUGUUUGCAAUAACUGUUGAUAAUGCCAGUACAAAUGAUGUUGCUGUUAAUUAUGUGACUAUGCAAUUACUUGCUUGGAGGAAUGAUGAUGCAAUUGUAUUGGCGGGUCAGUAUAUGCAUGUGCGUUGUUGUGCACAUAUUUUGAACUUGAUUGUUGUUUCGGGGUUGAAUGAAUUGCAUGCUAGUGUUGCCGCCAUCCGGAAUGCUGUGAAGUAUGUGAGAUCCUAGCGGCAGCUAUGGUGGUACAAGUUAUUCUCCUUAUUUUACAACUGAUGUUGGUUUGCCGGAGGGUCCUAGUGGUGAUGGUGAUGACAUUUUCCGAGUUUCUCGCCCUUUCUUUGGGUAUGCUCAGAAAGUGUUUGUUCAGAAUGAGGGCAAGAGAGUAGUAUCUGAGGUGGAACGAUAUUUGAGUGACCCAGUUGAAGAUCCGAGCAAUCUUAAGCUCAAUGUUUUGCUUUGGUAGAAGGUUAAUGGAUCGAAGUAUCCGAUAUUAGAGAAAAUUGCAAGGGAUGUCCUCGUUGUUCCUGUUUCCACAAUGGCAUCUGAAUCUGCCUUUAGCACAGGGCGUCGCGUCAUUGACGAAUAUCGGAGUUCUUUGACCCCUUGUAUGGUUGAGGCAUUGAUAUGUACCGAAAAUUGGUUACAAGCUAAACUUUUUGCUAAUCUUGUCUACAACCUUCAGGAAGAUAUUAAAGAGCAGAUAUUCCAUAUGGAGCUACAAGAAGGUAAUAUUUUUCUCAUACUUUAUAAAGUUAAGAUGUAUUAUAACUUUAUAAAUAGCAUCUACAUGUACUUAAGUUACUUACUAAUUUCAUUUUUUUUUUGACAUUUUAAAGAGUUUGUAAGAUCACAAGCUUCAACGGUGGAAACAGUGAGCGUUGAUAUGGGUGUUAUGGAUAUUUGAAAGGUAAUUCUUAAUAUAUAUUAUUAUUUAUAAUUUCAUAUUAUAUGUUUAGGUUGUAAUUUACACUAUAAUAAUAGACAAUAGUUGUUAUAGUUUUAAUUUUUAAGUUUUAAUUCAAAUUGUAAUAUUAUAAUUGUUUUAUUUAUUUUAGACACAUUGAAAUUGAUGGAAUGGUAUUACUUGGGCAUAUUUUUUCAAUUUUUCCCUAGGGGAUAUAUGCUUCAAUUCUUCAACUUGGAGUAGAAGAAAUUGAAGUUAAAAGUUGUCAAAGUGCUUGCGAGGAAUGGUGGAGCCGUGGAGGAAGUUGAUCUAGAUUUACAUUUAAACUUUGUUGUGUUUUGGAUUUUGGAACUUUGUCAUUUGUGUUUUGGAAAAUGGAAACUAUUUAAUUAUGUUUAAUUUUGUGUUCUAAAGAUUAAUGUUUAGAUUUUAGAAUUGGAUAUUGCGCUUUGGAUGGAGACUAUUAAAUUUAAACUUUGUGUUAAUUUUAAUUUUAUGCUUUGUGUUAAUUUUUAAUUUUGAAUCAUUUGAAUUUAAUUCUAGAGUAGUUUUCUUUUUUUGUUGGUUGAAAUGAAUGGAUGGAUAAAUGAGGGAGGACAAGGAAGGUGGGAGAGAAAUGUCUUAGUUAGCAAGGUGACAAUAGUGGAAAAGAAACCAAUUGAAAAAUUUUGAGAAAAAAAGAAGAUUAGAAUCCAGCUUAGAUUAUUUGGAAUUUUGGUUAGAAUCCGUGCAUAUAUUAUUUGGAAUUUUGGAUACCAUGCAUAUAUUAUUUGGAAUUUUGGUUAUAGGAUGCACAUGAUAGUUCAACUUUUUUCAUUAUUAAAUGGCAGAGGUAUGAGUAUUUGUUAUAGCUUAAAGCAUUGAUGACAUACUCCAUUGAAGAUUUUUCUUUGUAUUGACAAGUUGGGUUGGUUUUAAUAGUCUGCAAGUGCACAAAUUCUGUUAUUGCCAGAAUGUGAGUAUUUCUUUGUAUUGACAAAUUCUGCAAGUGCACAAGCCACAAAUGCUUGUUUUACAAAUGACAUGCACGUUCAUGUUGUUAUUGCCACUUUGCCAGAAUGAAAAUGAAUCAAUCCCUUACGUUUGCUGUGUUUGUCUUUUGGAUUAGAUAAAUGUUGUCAAAGUUUGGUUAAUUAUUAUAACUAAGUAAUGAAUCAAUCCCUUGUUUUAUAAAUGUUGGGCAAUAAUGCAAAUCUUAUGUCCGUCUCUAUAAAUUUUUUUAUACAUGUUGUCAAAUUUUGGUUUCUUUUAAACGGUUGUACUAUGCCUGUAUCUCCCGAGGUCCCCAUGGCAAAAAGAAUAAAAAAAAGAAGAAAAAAUACAAUAAAAUUAUAAUAAAUUAAUUUCCUUAGUUAGAAUGUGACUUUCCAGCAUCAAAACCCCUUAGGAAAAAAUACAAUAAAAUUAUAAUAAAUUAAUUUCCUAAUUUCACCUCCCCAAUUGCCAAAUUAAUUAUAACCCGAAUUGACCCGAAUUGAUCCGAAUAACCCGAAUUUAAUCCGAACCCGAACUAAUCCGAAUCCGAUCCGAUUACACCCGACCCGAAUUAACCCGAAUUCAUCCGAAUAACCCGAAUUUAAUCCGAACCCGAAUUAACCCGAAUCUGAUCCGAUCCGAACUCCACCCGACUUUUUAACCCGAUCCGAUCCGAUCCGAAUUUAAUUCGGAUCGGAUCGGAUCGGGUUUUAAGUUCGGGUGGAGUUCGGAUCGAUUUUUAUCCAACCCGACUAACCCGAAACCCGAUCGGGUUGAUCCGAACCCGACCCGAACCCGAUUUUGCCCACCCCUAUCUAGAAGUCCCUCCGAAAGCAUCACCCAAGACAGUUUGUCAUCUUUUAUACUCUGUUUUAACAGUAAUUUGAACCGUCUUCAGAGUUAUCGUCAACAAACUCAUUCAUAAUUUGUCCAAUCUUACGGACGAUAUCAUAUGCUUAACUCGACACAAUCUAGAUUCAACCUCCUCCUAUCCAACAACGGAUUUCGAUUUGAGUUACUUUGUGCUCAAGCAAAUUCACAUCAUAGUUUUAAUUCUUUUGAUAUGAAUUCAUCACAUUACAUAUAUCAGAUUAAGUGUAACAAAAUUUUUAAUUUACUACGAAAAGAAUAUGCGCUAAAAAUUAUUUCAAGACUAUUUGAUUACCAAAAGCUGCUGUCAGAGUGCACUGAAAGUUUCUGUAGGAUACUUUGCGGUUGUUUAUUAUGUUAUGAUGGGCAUAUAAUUCUCAAAUUUUGACUCCUCUUAGCGAAAAAUAUAUCAAAGUUUAGAUUGAGUGCAGCAACUCCACAGGCCGAGUGGUACAACUACACCUUGGUCUUACUAGGAAUAUCGAUCUGGGAGAGUGGUAUCUGAAUGCUUCUCUAUUUACUUCCUUUCAACAACUUGGUAACAAAAUAGCCGGCUGCAUGCGUUGAGAAUGAAAGUCCUUCAUUUAAUUUAAUUUACUUAAUUUCUCCCUCCUAAUUAAUGUCUGUAACCAUUAGGAGGAACAAGGGAUUUUAUUAACUCAAAUAUAUGUAAUGGAGGAGCUCAUUCUUUGGUUUUACUAGCAGGUCUAGAAGCAGGUGUCAUCUAACAGCUGCUUUGAUAAUUUCCCACCCCUUCAUCUUUGAUGGAAAGAUGAAAUAAAAACAAAAUGGUGAAAAUGGUAUUGGUACCUGAGGCUAUGUAAUCUAAUUCAACAACUGCACCAUCAAAACGAUUACAUAAGUCCCAGAAGAAUCAAACAUUAGUUUGCAAAAUAUCAAUUGCUGGAGGUUAGAUUCUAACUUCCGCUCUUGGUUUUUAUGGGCAUGUUGUAUUGUACUUGCAUACGAAAAUCAUAUUUUAGUUUACUUACACCCAACGCUUGGAUUAAAGUUUCAGAUGGGGAAAAUUGAAGGAGACUAAAAUGACUCAAAAAAUAGUUGAAUGAGUGAGGGUUUUGUCUUCAUUUAAGGAGCUCUUUAUAAAUUUUAGGAUUUUUUUUCCCGAGAAAAUAUAUUUCAACUUAUUCUUUGCUUCUUUUCUGAAGGGACAAAUGCAACUGAAAGUGUAUUCUUGAAUUCUCCAGGAUAAGAGACAUACGUUUAAUUAGAUUCUCGAGCCUUCAAAACAAUAUAAAAUUUUAGAUUGAUAAAAUUUUAUAUAUCUGAGCAUGAUGGUGUUUGACAUGACUUAAAACUAUUUAAUUUACUCUCACGUACAAGAAUAUCUAGUUAUAUUGUAGCUCAGAGUUCGAGGUUAAUCCAUAGACAAAUGAUUUAAUUUCUUUAUUUAAGAUUAUCCCAUAAAUAAAAAUAAAAUUUAAAUAUAUGUAAUUUAAUUUGAAAAAAGUUAUGAAAUUAAAUUAUUUAGGGUCAUGGAUCCACUCUUAGUAAGUACAAUUUAAUAAAUUCUUUUUAUUUUUAUUUUAUUUCCCAAAAGAUUAAUUAUAUAAAUUAUAAUUAUUUUCCCAUUAAUUUUAUUAUGGAUUAAGUACUUAAUGUGCCAAAACUUAACUUGUUUACAAUAAGUCAAAAUACCAUUUUACCAUACUUUAUGCUAAGAUAUUAAGAAUUCAUGUGCCAAACUCCCAUGUUUGUCUACAAUAAAUCAAAAUUUCAAAACAUAAAAUAUGGAUCAAAUUAAAUAAAAAAUAAUUUAAUUUAUAUAAUUAAAAAUAGAAUUUGAUUAAAUCAUAUUUUUCUACUCAGAGUUUUACCUCACCCUAACUAUUAGUAUUUAGCUAAACAUAUUUGAAAUAAAUGAAAUUAUUAAAAUUGAAAAAUACAUAAUUAAAAAAUGGUAUUUGAAAAUUAGAAAUAAAACUAAUUUUAUUUAUUGAAAAUGUAUUACAAAGAAAGAUGAGAAUAAGAAUUUGAGGGGAAAGAAGAGAAGAAAAUUUGUGGAGAGGUGUGUGAAAUUAUAUUGUAAAGAUGUUACACAAACAAAUGAAUAAAAAAAAAACUAAAUGAAAAUUACACAAAUUAAAAAGAAAAUGAAAAUUAAAUAAAUAAGAUAAAUGUGCAAGAAAAAAAUGCGCAAUAAAAAUAAAUAAACUGAAAAGUAAUUAACUAAAAUUAAAAUAACUAAAUAGGCGGUAAACAAAGUAAAUGCCAAAAAUAAAAUAAGUGCGAAAAUUAAAUUACAUAAAUUAAAAGAAGAAAGAAAGAAAAAAAAUUAUCUCAAAGUGUAAACUCUUUUUCUUUUUCUUUUUCUUUUCAAAUUUUAAAUAUUACUAGUCAAUUAAGUGAUUAAUUCAAAUUAUUAGGCUUUAAUAGUAAUUUUUAAAAUCAAUAUUCAGUUUAUUGAGUCCAAAUAAGGUCCAAAGAAGUUCAAGUUGUUGGUCUAAAAUUGAGAAUUUUGGGAAAUAUUGGCAACGGACCUAUUCAAAAAGUUCUAUAAUUUUGUGGUCAAACUACAAUUAUGAGAAGAAUGAUCCAAAAAUUAGAAUUUUUGGGGUGAGUGAGAUUUAGAAAGAUUUUGUGGAUAUAACAUAAUUUAAGAAAGAAAAAGGAGGUAAAUGAAAAUUUACACAAAAAGUAAAAAAAGAAAAAAAAAAGAAAACAAAAUAAAUACCUCUCCCAGCAACGGCGGUAAAAACUUAACACGAAUUAAAAGUAUUUAAUUUACUCUAAAGUAUAAGAGUACCUAGUUAUAUUAUAUCGCGAGAAGUCUGAGAUCGAUCUACAGAAAAAUUAUUUAAUUAAUUUAUUUAAGUUUAUCUAAAAAAUAAAAAUAAAAUUAAAUACAUGCAAUUUAAUUUGAGAAAAAUUAUGAAAUUGAAGUAGUUAGGAUUAUGGAGCUCUUUAUAAAUUUUAGGAUUUUUUUCCUGAGAAAAUUUAUGCCACCUCAUUCUUUGCUUCUUUUUUGAAGGGACACAUGCAACCGAAAGUAUAUUCUUGAAUUCUCCAGGAUAAGAGACAUACGUUUACAUGCUGGAGCAUUUAAAACAAUGUCAAAUUUUAGAUUGCUGAAAUUUUAUAUCUCCGAGUAUGAUGGUGUUCCAAUUAUAAGCUCCAGGGUGCAACUUCACUGAGGUUUAGAAUGCCAUCCUUUAGAAUUGAGAAAUCUCCGUUUGCAUAAAUAUCUUUUGAAAAUACUGACAUCAGAUUUUGAAUUGGAGAACCUGAUUGGACUCAGCUUGCCUUGUAGUAAGGUUAAGCAAAUUUGGAAAAGAGAAAAGGUAUAAUGUAUUACUAUUACCAAAGUAUAUAUUUUUCUUUCUUUAAGUAUUUAUAAUGAAUAACUUUGAAAUUCAAUGAUGCUCAUUUAGUAUAGUUAUGUAUCUUUGGUUAUAGGAAGCUGUCAAGUUAAAAUCUAUAGACCUUCACCACCCCUCUAUCUCAAUAGGAUCCCAGAAAUACUAAAUCUUAAAAAAAUAAAUCUUUCAAAUUGUGAAAGCAUGCUUACGUUACCCCCGUAUAUCCACAAUUUCAACUAGCUGAGUAUGUUGUGUUUCAGGGAUGCAAAAUUCAUUUUGUUUCUCAUGAAAGGAUUGACUUGUCCGGAUGUAUUAGGGUUAAUAAACCAACUAAUCCCAUAAUUUGUUGAUGUAGGGUCCUAAAAAAUUAUUGCAGUAGAUUGUAGAUCAGUACACUAUUCGAAAAUGUAUUUGAUCCACACAGUGAAGUGGAUAUUGGACCAAUUUGAUGAUAAUGAAUUUCUUUCAAUCUCAAUCGUUUUUCCUUUUAGCAACAUGACUAGUCAUUGCGCAAAUUCAAACUCUGACAAUGAUUUCUCAAUCGGUUUCUAAGAUGAUGACCAUGCAUGUAUAUGUAUAUGCGUGUGUAUAUGUGUGUGUGUGUGUGUAGAGAGAGAGAGAGAGAUCACACGUGUGUGAUUUCCUUUUGCCAAUAGGAUAUGCAGAGAGCUUGAUCUUACCCAAUAGCGAAACAAACUUCCUAAUAAGUGAAGGUAUAGUAUAAAUACUUAUACUUUCAUGUUAUUUUUUUCAUCAGUAGCUUGAUUAUUUUAUAUGCGUCUUCGAUUUUAAUUUUCUUUCCCUAUAAUCGCUAUUAUCUUUGAACUGGUCAUGAUUUGCCUAUAAGAUUUCUCAUGUUGUUUUGAGGUGCAAUGGAUUUUGAAUUUAGUGACGAGCAGUGGAAGCCAGAAGGCAAAUUAUGAAUAUGGAUAAAGAUCUAUAAUUAGCUGUUAUGGGAUGUCACAUAUCAUAUUGAUGGUAACAUUAUACAUAUGUACAUAUAAUUAAUGGGGUUGGCUCACGAGCCCAUUAAUAAUCAUAUAUUAGCUUAAAUACUUCAAACAAUGUACCAUGAAGCAAUUUCACAAAUACUUGUUAGCUUAUGUUGAGCUUUAUUGAAUCAGUAGUUCACAGUUCAAUAAAAUGCAGGUUUGCUAUUUAACGUACAUGGUUAUGGUGUGUGCAUUCUUCAUAAGGCUAACUACAAAUUUAUCAAUGAAACUUGAAAAAUGUAACAGAGAGAUGUCGAUAACAACCGCAAAACACUGAGAUUGAAAAUCAGGGCUAGUAAAUUCUAUUAAAAGCUCUUAAAAUAGACAGCGAUCAUCCUUAACCGCAAAGUUAUGCACUAAUAGAACUAUUGACUACUUAUCUUUAGCAGAAGGUAUAUUUUUAACUACAGCUUUCUGCUUUGUUCUAAGAACUAGGCAAAAGUGGUAUAUCUUCAAUCCAAUCAACAUAUAUACCACUUAUCUUCCUCUUCACUUCUGUCUAUUUUGAUUUGCACUUUACAUCCUGCACUUGCUGCUUAGAAAUAGUCUUAGUCUGGACAUUGAAAGUAGAAAAAGUACUUGAAACUAUCAUUGGCACAGCUCGAGAUUCCAUUGAAUCGUGGACUCCAAGCUUUCAUAGUUCUAUAAAGAAAAUUACAUAACUUCAUACAACUGGCAUUCUGCUUUUAACAUUUGCACAACCUGAGCAAGUUAGCAAGCCCCUUGUCGCGUUCCCAUUGAAUAGACCUACUUCUGUUAUCCACAGAAGAUCCACCACUCAAAAUGUUUAUCACCAGGCUAUUCUUAAACUGAGCCUAAACUGAGUAGAAACUUCCGCACAUCUCUCAGCAUUUACAUGAAGAAAUCGACAACUAUCCUCAUCUCUCAGCACAUCUCUCAGCAUUCUACAAAGUUGCAUUUCACUAGGCAAUCUAUCCUCUCCAUUCCUAGCAAAGUGACAUUGAUUCUCGUAUUUGUAAUCUCCUAACUUGGGUUUUGGGCAUAGCGUGGUCUUAUAAUUACCACCCAAUACUUUGUUCAGUGCCACUGGCAUCCACAAGCUCUAGCCCUGUUAGCUGAAUCAUAUUCAAUGGGACAGUGAGGCAGCAUUUCACUAACAUAUUCAAUUUGACUACUUAUAUUGACGCAAAUAUUAGAAUUUGAAAUCACUUCUUUUCUUGGAAUAUUAUAUUAAAAUAACCCCAAAUGAAAGUUCUUGAAUGGAAAUGAUUUUUAUUUAAUCUUCCAACAGAUUCAAGAAAACCCAGAGAACACAAAAUUUACACAGUAAUAUGAUUAAGAGCUAAGAACGUACAUGUAGUAAAUGUCUAUCAAAAACACCAAAGGGUUUCUUUAAAAUUAGAAACUAGGUAAACUGUUAAGAUUUCGUUGGCUUCACUUGACUAAUUGAGAGAGAUUGUUUCCUUAUAUGUGGCUGAUUUGUAAUCCCUUUGAAUAUGGGAUCGUUAUUUACGUUCCUUUGUUUUGUGAAUAUUAGCUCUUUUAAACUUAUAUAUAAAUCCUCUAUAAUUCUACUGCAGAAAAAACAGAGAAGAAUAAAAUCAGUAUUCUUUUCAAAUAUCAUUUUUUCAUGGUAUCAGAGCAAUGGUUUUGAUUCAGUAAAACACUUUCGCUUCUCUUUUUUUUUUUAUGGAUGAUAUUGAUAGUGAUAGCAGUCACAAUCAUUCACCAAAUCAUAUAUCCUCUCAAACCUCUCAUCACAUUAUGUCUAUGUCUAUGGUUGAUUCCUCAUACCCUCUUUUUCUUCAUGCUUCUGAUCAUCUUGGCAUGAUUCUUGUUCCAAAAGUCUUAGAUGGAACAAAUUAUGCUAUGUGGAAGAGAUCUAUGCUAGUGAGUCUUAGUGCAAAAAAACAAACUGGGAUUCAUUAAAGGAACCAUUCACACACCAGAUGAAGAUGAUCCAAAACAUUCUUUAUGGCAGCGCUGCAACGAUAUGGUGCUUUCUUGGAUCCUUAACUCUCUAAAUCAGGAGCUUGCAAUAGUGUACUCUAUUUAGAGACACCCUCAGAGAUUUGGACUGACCUUCAAGAACGUUUCUCUCGAGGUGAUUUUUCCCACCAUUAUCAAACUCAGCAAUUUAUUGUUGAAUUGAAACAAAAUCAAGAUUCAAUUUUUUCUUAUUACACAAAGAUAAAAAUGUUGUGGGAUGAGCUAACUACUUGCAGUCCUUCAAUCACAUGCACAUGUGGAGGACAAAAAGACUUGAAAGAAAAAGAAGAAAAGAUUAGGCUGGGACAAUUCCUCAUGGGAUUGAAUGAAACAUACUCAGCUUUGCGAGGACAAAUAAUGUUAAUGUAUCCUCUACCAACUGUCAAAAGGCAUAUUCUCUUCUCUGUGAGGAAGAAAAGCAGCGAGGACUUACUGAAGCCAAAGGCAUUGAUCUCAUUCAUGCCAUGAGUAUCAAAGCUCGUGAUAAAUCUAGAGAAACACAAUUUGAUGCACAACAACAAACCAAACAAGGAUCAUCCUCUCAUCCCAAGCCACAAGGAAUGAAGAAAUCUUUCUUUCAUACUUACUGUGAGGGCACAACUCAUUCAGUAGAUUGUUGUUACUACUUGAAUGGAUUCCCAGUUGGUCAUAAGCUUCAUGGCAAAGACGUUCAGCCUCCAAAUCGAAGCAGAAAACCUGUUGUGCAUUAAACUAGUGCUGAAAUGAAUCAGAACUUAGCAAAGACACCAACUAAACAAACUCCCCAAUUUAUCUCUGAAGAGCUUGCCCAAAUAAAAGCUUUCUUUAGAAAUGGUAACAAUCCUGCUCGAUCAAACUACAUAGGUAUCCCUAUACCUUUCUGUUCAUCUUUCAAUACGCAAAAGACAGACUUGAAUCACUGGAUUAUUGAUAGUGGUUCAACAAAUCACAUAGCAACUUCAAUACCUAUUAAAACUCCUCUGUCAUCUCAAGUAACCUUGCCUAAUGGUGCCUAUUCUUAGAUAACUGGAAUUGGUUCAACACAACUCUCAAACCACCUACAUGUUAAUAAUGUAUUAUGUGCACCAUCAUUUCAUGUUAAUUUACUUUCAGUGAGUCAACUUACUGUUGCCAUGAAUUGUUCAAUCCAUUUUUUUUCCCACUUUCUGUAUAUUGCAGGACCUAGCUUCGAAGAAGAUGAUUGGCUUGGGGAAGCAGCUUAAUGGCUUGUACUACUUUGUUCCUCAAGUGAAGUCUACACCAACUUCUUUUUCAAUCACCCAUCAUGCUGAUUUUACUACACAUAUUACUUGGCACAAGUGGUUAGGACAUCCCUUAAAAGCACCUUCACAAUUUUUAAGCAAUAAUAUUCCUGCAUUUGUAUUUGAUUCUCAAUAUUCCUGUGAAACUUGCCCUUUGGCAAAGCAAACUCGUUUACCAUUUUCUUUAAGUUCUAUUCAAACUUUGCAUUCAUUUGAUCUUAUUCAUUGUGAUAUUUGGGGACCUUUUCGUACUGCAACUCAUACAGGGGCACAUUAUUUCAUGACUAUAGUUGAUGAUUACACUCGUUUCACUUGGAUUUUUUUAAUGAAAUUUAAAUUCGAAACCCAAGGAUUAAUAAAAACAUUUAUUUCUUUUGUGAACACUCAAUUUAAUUGUCAAGUUAAAUGUCUUAGAAGUGAUAAUGGCUCAGAAUUUCUUUCCAUGAAACCUUAUUUAUCCACCCUUGGUAUUUUAUUUUAAAACUCAUGUCCAUCUACAACUCAACAAAAUGGUGUCGUGGAACGAAAACACCGUCAUCUCUUAAACGUUAGUCGGGCUUUGAGAAUGGAUGCCAAUCUUCCUUUAAAAUUUUGGGGGGAGAGUUUACUUACUGUAGCCUAUCUUAUAAAUCGUCUUCAUACUCCCUUGUUGCAAUAUAAAUCUCCAUAUGAGUUGUUGUAUAAUAAGCCACCUAACUACACUCACUUACAAGUUUUUGGAUGUCUCUGUUAUGCAACAAAUCUACAGCCGUCCAAUAAGUUUGAUUCUCGGGCUCGACAAUGCAUCUUUGUUGGUUACCCUAUAGGCCAAAAAGCCUAUCGAUUAUAUGAUCUCCAUACUCACCAAUUCUUUUCCAGUCGUGAUGUCAUUUUUCAUGAGUCUAUUUUUCCUUCUCUUCGUAUUGAAAAAUCAUUAGAUAGCACUUUUCCUCAACUUGAGAUAUUAGAUUACAUCGAUAAUCUAUCUCCUCCUGCAACUCAUCCUGUCCCUCCAACAUUAGAGACCAUUAUUCCCUCUCCUAAUCUUUUAUUGUCAUCAACUCCUUCCCCUUCUUCCUCUAUAUCUUCUCCUGCCCCUCAUAUUCGUAAAAGUGAUCGUGUCAGGCAACCAUCUGUUCUUCUUCGUGACUUUCAUUGUGGACAGAUUAGUACAACACCAUCAACUGCAACUUCAAGUCAGUCAUUUUCAACUAAGUCAGGUACUCAAUAUCCUUUAAGCAAAUACAUUUCCUAUGAUUCUUUGUCUUCUACUCAUAAACACUUUGUUAACACCAUUUCAAGUGUCCUAGAACCAACCUCUUAUGCUCAUGCUAUAUUGGAUCCGAAAUGGCAAGAGGCUAUGCAAUGUGAACUUGAUGCUCUCAAAUCACAGAAGACAUGGUCCUUGGUCCCUUUACCCGCUGGCCAUCGCCCCAUUGGCAGCAAAUGGGUUUAUCAUAUCAAAUACAAUUCUAAUGGUACGAUUGAAUGUUACAAAGCUCGAUUAGUUGCCAAAGGAUUUUCUCAACAAGAAGGCCUGGAAUACACUGAGACAUUUGCUCCUGUGGCUAAAUUGACCGUUGUUCGUUGUUUACUUGUUGUGGCAACUGCAAGACAUUGGCCAUUGUAUCAAAUGGAUGUGACCAAUGCUUUUUUGCAUGGUGAUUUAGAAGAAGAAGUAUAUAUGACUCCACCGCCGGGACUUUGUCGACAGGGGGAGAAGCUUGUUUGUUGACUUCAUAAGUCCCUUUAUGGGCUUAAAUAAGCUCCUCGCAAUUGGUUUGCGAAAUUUUCUCAUGCUGUCAAGAAAGCUGGCUUUAUUCAAUCACAUUCGGAUUACUCGUUGUUUGUGAAGACAAAAGGCACAUCUAUAACCAUGGUUCUUAUUUAUGUAGAUGAUAUGGUGAUAACUGGAAAUGAUGCAGUCGCUAUACAUAAUCUCAAACAAUUUCUUCACUAGCAAUUUCAUAUCAAAGAUCUCGGUCAUCUUAAAUAUUUUCUUGGGCUGGAAGUUGCAAGGUCCAAAGCAGGUCUUGUUAUCUCUUAACGAAAAUAUACCUUAGAAAUCAUAGAUGAUGUUGUAUACUUGGGUGCUCAACCGGUAAAUUUUCCCAUGGAGAUGAAUUUGAAACUCACAAACCAUUAAGGUGAUUUGCUACAUAAUCCAACUCGCUACAGGAGAUUAGUUGGCCGACUAAUAUAUCUCACAAUUACGAGACCAGACAUUACAUACUCAGUUAACAUCUUAAGCUAAUUUAUGCAUGCUCCAAGAAAGCCUCACUGGGAUGCUGCUCUUCGUAUUAUGAAAUAUUUAAAGGGCAGCCCUGGUUUAGGUUUGUUAUUCUCCUCAAGCAAUUCCUUUACUUUAAAGGCUUACUGUGAUGCUAAUUGGGCAAAUUGUCGUAUAACAAGAAGAUCAACAACAGGUUAUUGUGUGUUCUUAGGGGAUUCUUUGAUUUCUUGGAAAGUAAAGAAGCAGAAAACAGUCUCAAGAUCAUCAUUAGAAGCUGAGUACAGGUCCAUGGCAGCAGCAACUUGUGAGCUCACUUGGUUUAGAUUUUUAUUCAAUGAUAUGCAAAUUUCCAUAGGACCAGCAAGGCUAUUAUGUGAUAACCAAGCUGCUCUUCACAUAGCAGCAAAUUCGGUAUAUCAUGAACGCACCAAACACAUAGAUCUUGACUGUCAUGUGGUAAGGGAGAAAAUGUACGAUGGUCAGAUAAUCACCAAAUUUGUUCCAUCUCAUUUACAGUUGGCAGACAUUUUUACAAAAGCUCUUGGAGGAAAGGUGUUUAAGAGACUAACAACCAAGUUGAACAUGCUAGAUAUACAUGCUCCAACUUGAAGGGGGAGUGUUAAGAUUUCGUUGGCUUCACUUGACUAAUUGAGAGAGAUUGUUUCCUUAUAUGUGGCUGAUUUGUAAUCCCUUUGAAUAUGGGAUCGUUAUUUACUUUCCUUUGUUUUGUGAAUAUUAGCUCUUGUAAACUUAUAUAUAAAUCCUCUAUAAUUCUACUGUAGAAAAAACAGAGAAGAAUAAAAUCAGUAUUCUUUUCAAAUAUCAUUUUUUCAUAAACAAAAAGAAAGAAUCAUUUUACAUUUUUAGCAAGUUUGAAUGAGUGAGAAAUUGAAACCCUAAAGUGAUGACAACAAUAAGAUUCAGUAUGAAGUGAAACCCCAAUUUGAAAUGUAGGCAUGAGUUGCUGAGUCAGUAGAUGAAGCUAUAAAUAGGCAUUCGGUUUCUUUCUUUUCGGUUUGGAGGGCCAUGGAAUAGUGUAUUGGAGUGGGCUCGAAGUAAUAGCCUUUAUCACUGAAUGACACGUUUGCAAAACGUGAUACAUAGGGAAGGAUUGAGCAUUAUACUCUUAGAUUAGCGCCUUAUUUAGGGUGUAUAUUAAGCAGAUUAUCUAUAUAUUACAUGGAGAUGGAGUUUAUGAAAUAGAUUAAAAAGAAAAGGAAAAUUAGUGUCUGGAGUUUGCCACUUGGAAUAUUUCGGUGUCUAAACAUUCACUCACCACUUAUUUCAUGUCUGAUCAUAUGUUGAAAAAAUAUUAAAGUAAUAUAACGCUAUUAAGGCUUAACGUAUAUUUUUUAUUAGUAGAGUGUAGAACUUUUAAGAAAUAAAUUAUUAAAUUACUAUAACUAGCAUAUUAUUUUAAAGUUGUGUUGUGAAAAAAAAAAUGAAAUAAAAACGUGAAGUAAAUUAGAGUAUUCUAAAACUUUUAUCUUUUUAAAAUUAGUUUUUAACAUAAGGUGAACUAUUUUUUUUUUAAAUCACAUACUCUAGUUAAAAUCAAAUAUGUAUUUAUAUGAAGCUUGUAAUUUUUUUUUCAGUACUGAUAUUUGAAUAUUAUCAAUAUUAUUUUUAUGGCCCACAAAAGGACAACACCGUUUAUGUUAUAAUACUAUCACCUCUGUUAUGAUAAUAUUUUUUUUGUGGCCAAAUAUCAUUUUUUUAAGUAAAAAGGUGGACAAAAUGCAAAUCAAUUUUUAAUCCUCAAACUCUCCCAAAAUUUAAAUUCGUAGUUAACAAAACACAAUUGUUGGAAAACCAUUAAGCUAGGUCCAUCGGUUGUUAAAACUAGGGAAAUUUAUAAAAAUAACUUAAAAACUUUUAUAAUUUCACAUUUUACCCUCCGAAAUUUUUCCUAUCAACAUUAGCAAAAAAUCCUUUCAAGUGCCGAAAAUACCCCUCCCAUUCUCAUCAAACUUCCUCUCUCUCUCUCUAACCAACGAUUUCUUUCUCAAGGUGGUCACUCAUCGCCGCCGGCUUUCCAGAGUCCAUCCUUGAUAGUCAACAUCACCAAAAUUUCAGUCAAGAUCUGAAAUCAAAGAUUAAUUUAAAAACCCUAGAUUUUGAAGCAUGUUCUAUUUCUAUUCUUCUUUUAUGUUGUGGUUUUGUUGUUGUGCUGGUGAUGGUGAGUGAAGAUUGAAGUGUUUGUGAUGUUGAUGGCAUGGGCGAAGUUGUUGGUGUAGUGCAUGGGUGAAGAUUGAAGUUGGCGUGGGCUUGGGGCCGGGAGAUAUCGUGCCUGAUCAGGCGCAACAACGCCCCUGUCGCACAAGAUCUGGGAGACAGGCACGCGCACCUGUCACUCACGCCUGUCGCGCGUGCUUGGUGCGACAGGCAGCAUGUUACAAUUUUUUUUUUUAACGUGAAGUUGGUGCGACAGGCGCAAUUUCGGUGCAACUCACACCUGUCGCACAAAUUUAGUACGACAGGCGCCUGUCGCACUAACAUACAAUCACACUGAAACUCUCUUGUCGCACGAAAUCAAGUUGACAAAACAUCUCUUAACACUCGGUGAUGCAAAAACAAAGUAUAAACAAUCAAAGAAACAUUUCAUCAAACACUUAAUACGCAAUAUUUUUACAAAACUAAUUUCCUUUUAAUUAGCUUACCUAGAUUUUGGGCUCUAUUUCACUUUGUUAGAAUUGUGUCCGAUUGGUGUUGGAUCCGAAUGGAUUUGGCUAUCUUUGAUCUUAGUUCACUUUUACCGUUCGCAGUCAUCGUUUGCCGUUGCCAUUUGCCUGUGAUGAUUUAAGAGUUCAAGGCUGCGUUUGGUUUGAUAAAGAGGGAGAAGAAAAGUUGCGUUUGGUUUGAUAGACAAGAGUAAUUUAGGGAAGAAACCUUAUGUUUGGCUGAUUAUGAUAGUAAAAACUUUAGAGGGCCAAUUGUAAAAAUUAUAAAAGUUUUUAGGUUAUUUUUAUAAAUUUCUCUUAAACUAUAGCUGACAAAAAGUUACUAACAAAAAGAGAAUGUCUAUUUUAUAACUUUCUUAAAAAACUUUCCUUAACUUUUUCAAAAAAGUAAUGAUAUAGUCACAAAUUCUUGUAUAAAUUUAUUUUGUACAAAUUAAUGUGAUAUGAUAAAAUUAGUUGAAUUAAAUAUCUUUUGGUCCACAUAAUUUAUUUUUAUUAUUUAUAUUUUCAUUCAACUAAUAAAUUAAUAACACGUAAGAGUUAUGACUGUAUCAUCAUUCUUUUUAAAAAGUUACUAACAAAAAGUUAUUUCCAAUUUUUAUUUUGUUAUAAUUUUUAAAACAAAAUUCGUAGUUAACUAAACUCUUCUUAAUUCCUAUGCCCUUUCUCAACUGCCAUACCCUACCCUGCUCCCCAUGUCCCCACUAAACCACGCUCAAUUCAGGCCAUCAGAUUCUCCCGGACCCACAUUAAUCCAACUGCUCACAGUGACCGACAGCCUCUCUAUCGCCAUUUCAAGCUCCCUCUUAAACUGGCUUCUGCUACCGUCGUACUCUUUCUCGGAUUCGGAGUCCGUAUUUGCUCGGCCGGUCCCACGCAGCUCCCUCUCACUCCAAUUGUCACCCAACAAGGCCAAUUGCUUACUCAAGGCACAGAACAAGAAGAGGAUGAGAAAUUGAAACAAGAAUUUGAGAAUUGGAAAUCGAAAACGUACGCAUUGACCGUGCCUUUGAGGGUUGUUUCUCUUCAGAAUUCAGUGCCUUAAUCUUGGGUUAAGGAUUUUAUGCGAAGUCAAGGAAAGACAUUGAUAAGUUUCAGAUGAAUUUGUUUGCUAGCAUUGAUGGGAUCUUUCACAAUUUAUCUAUGCCCUUUAACAAAGUUAAGGCUAAGUCAGCUUCAUAUAUGGCUGCUGAUUUGGUUAGUGUUGGUGAUUCAUGGCUCAGUUAUGCGAUUAUAAAGAGAUUGAUUGAGCCAAUAGCUGUAGCUGAAGAUCAAUAUUGGUUCAAAUGCUUAAGUCACAAAUGGAAGGUAACAUCUUUAUCUUUGCCCCGAUAAUUUUUAUUGUCUUACAUUGAAAUUUGGUAAUGUAAUUUGUUCUCUAUCUGUGUCACCCUUUGUAGUCAUUUUAUUUAUUUAUUGUUUUGCUUUUAUUUGCACUAACGAAUUCUCAGGCAUAUCUACCCAGGAAUGAUGCUGGAGAAAUUGAUCCUCGAGGUAAAAUAUGGGCGGCAGCAUACCGGUGGGGCACAAUGGGAUAGCUUACAAGAAAAGUAAAUUGCGAAAGCAUAUUUGGCUCCGAUUUAGGUAAUUGCCUUUAAGCUCAUUUAGUUUUAUAUGAAACAAAAUCAAGACUGCCUUUCUCUUCAAUAUUUUUGAUGAUAAUAUCUUUAGAAGCAUCUCAUUCACGGGUAAUCAUGGUAUCCCUUAAAGAGUCUAUAAACUCAAUGAUAUUAUCUUCUACAAAUGGUUCAUUAAACUUCUUAGUUGCAGUCAAAUGUACACUAAGAACAACGAGAAGCUAUGCCACUGUAGCAUGUAGUGAUGGCACUUAAUAAGUGACUUGCUAGGAUGUGAACUAGAUAAAUUAAAUAUUGUCUCCCUGGGCAUGCUAGCUCAUAAGUUGGGGUUAAUAUUAGCUAUUGACUGCCAAUUAAAAUAUCCAUUAAAAUGUCUAAGGAGUUACGAAGGUGGAGGUAUCUUCCAAUUUCUAAGGCCAAAUAGCAGACAUCAUCCAGGAUCCUGGGAAAGUGCAGUUAACUUCCUGCUUGAUCCUAAUGUGAAAACAAUUAAUAAAUUUGGUCAAUGCAACUGAAACCUGCUAACCGAUGUCACAAUGCGACAUCAGCACCUCAAAAUGGGAUAGAUGGUUAGUAGCACUAAAUUUUUCUGGCCUCAGAUUGAGCAAUUGGCCCAACGACUAACCCCGAUUGUGGGUUGAUGAUAAUUUUUUAAUUAUUUUCAUUUUGACCGAAAAAGUUACAGAAUCUUGAUCUGAAUAUUGUCACUGAACAGUGUCAAUAUCGUUUAGCAUAUCCAACUAACUUGAGUUUGGUGAAACAAACACAGAGUGUGUCUCUCAUGUCUCACCCUUCAAAAUUAUCAUCUGUAAUGAUGGAGAAUUUUUCUAAUGUAUGAACUAUGCUUCGAUAUAUGGGUUAGCUUGGAGAAGAUAUCUCAAGAUAAAGAAUAUGGGAAGCUAAUGGGAAGAAACAGGGGAUCUUCAUUCUUUUUCCUUUUUAUACCCAGAUAUCUCUCGACCUUUAUAUGAUCCCUACUGGAUAUUUGCUUCUAAUAACUAAAAUAAAAAUUUCACCCACCAAAAUGAAUACUGACCAAGCUUUAACAAUAAAAAGUAGCAUCUUUAGUCAAGUAAUUUGCAGUUCCUCAUCAUCUUAGUGUGAGUCUAUCAGUAUGAUCAAAAAACAUAAUAAAACUGGUUAGAUCCUGUUCAUUGAUGUUUAAAUGUUGUUCAGUGUGAAAUGUAGCAAUGAUGAGGUGAAGUUUCUUUGGUCAUCAAUUAGUAAGAUCUUGUAAUCUGGCAUUACUGGGAAACCAGGUACUCUUAAAGAAAUGAUAUCUGGUCAUUGCAUGUUAUUGCCUGACAACUGAUUUUGUUUGUAAAAGUCUGCUUCUUCAUACAUAUGAAUGCAUAUGUUAGUGUUGUCUUUUCCUUUUCCUACAUAUUAAUGCAUAUGUUGGUGUUCUCUUAUGAAAUGGAUGCAAUAAAGGCUUUUUCUCCUAAAUUUAGCUGAGGAAAUGGCAGGGGAUGUGAGAUUCUGUCUCAUUAAAUUAACAAAAACCCAAAACAAUAAAAACCCAUAAUAAUGUGGUGUGGGUAAAUUGGCGACAUUUGGCUCGUUACCCUGAUGUGAAUAUGCGAGCAAUGGAGACUAACAAAAUGAAGUGACGAUUCAGUGUCCUUUGAUGGAUGCAUUUUUAAGCAAAAAUAGGUUUGUAACUGACCAAAUUUGUCUGGCAUGCCAAUUUAAAAAAAUUAAAUUAUGUGGUUGUUAGCUGUAGUGAAGGGGGGGUAGUAGGUCCAAUCCGGUCGAUCCAGGAAAGUUCAACAAAGUUCUGGUAUGGUGCAGUGAAACUGGUUUGUGCAACUCAAGAGUCGUUCAGGUAAAAGAUGAUGUGUUUUGAUUUAAAAAUGUUAUAAAUUUACUGUGUAUAGUAUUCUAGUAGAAUCAUCUAUAAAUUUAAGUUUUUGAAAUUAUCUGCUUUUCCCAGUUUGAGUUAAGGGCACAUGUAAUAUGAAAAAUAGUUGUCGAAUGUUGUAGGUUACCUAACAUUUGAUCAAUCCUAUUAUGAUGGCUUCAAGAUGUCUAACAAUAUGUAGAAUGCCCCUGCUCCUCCCCAUUGUUUAUCUUAUACAAUAAUAUGUUGUGGAUGCUAAUAUCUUUGUCGAUACCUGUAACAGUAUUACAAAAUCUGCGUUCAUUGGGUUUUAUAUAGGUUCAACUGUCUGACAGUUCACACUGUCUGAAGGCAUUUGGAAUUGGAGAUGUAUGGGUUGCCGUUGAGGGGAGUAGUGAUGUUCUUCCUGCUGUCAAACGUAUGUCUAAUGUUGCAGUUUUUGUUCCCAAGUCUGGUGCUAGCUUAUGGGCCGAUCUUUGGGUUAUAACCAUGCCUGUCAUUCUACUUCGAUAUUCACUUUGUUAUCACCUUCAUAUUAGUGAUCAGUAAACAUGACAAUGUGACUAAUAAAUUUGUAUUCUCUUUAUAGGCAAUCCGAGCUGCCUCAAGACUUGAAACAAAACAAAUUGAAGGCAAGUCAGAGGUCCAUCUCCAUUAAUCCAUUAAUAGAUAGAGUUCCACUUGCAAACAGCAAGAGCAUUGCCUUUCAAGCAAAAGGUUAUCCCGGGUGCAACUCCCUCUGCCCUUGAAAGUACUCUGGUUAAGUUGCCUGAACAACUUCUGAAGGGUAAACCAAGUCUGGAUACUAACUUAACUGCUGGAGUACCUCCGGCUGAAAUUCUGGCCAGAUGUGGGUUUUUGGAGCCAUUAUCUGAAGCUACAUUGUCAAAUUAUGAGUGGCUGGUUGCUAAUCUACAAAAACCUGCUCCUGUCUUGAUGAAAAGGGUGCAACAUUACAUGUCAUCAUUAAUCCGAAGCUUUCUAGCAAAAGCUACAUUGAAAAGUUAAUGGCACCGCAUGCCAGUCAUUAUAAUGCUGUCAGGGCAAUUGGGUCAGAGCAUAACUUCAUUGGGAAAAGAGGAUUCAGCUAGGUUACCUAUUACAGGACGUACUGAGAUGGCUGAAGUUCUUGAGGUUUUAUGAGAAAUGAAAGAUGAGUGCUUGUUUGAACAAAGUUGUCACCAAUCUCGUAAAGUUCAAGAAGAAAGAUCACAGAGCUAAUGCCACCAAUUUCUUCAUUAUUGCAGCCUCCAUUGUUGAAGUUUCCUCAUUUGAAGCUGUUUAUGCAUAUGCUUCUUCCCUGCUCAAGUACAGGAAAUUGAAGAAUUAGCCAGAUAUGAUAUGAUGAAAGAGGGAAGUUUUCUUCCUUGAAUAUGGCCUUGUAAUUUGUAGUGAAGGAGUAGGAUGAUCACUAGCAAGAACCCUAUCAAGGUAGAUUUUAUGAUGUUAACAUAUUACUAAGCAUUUGUUUCUUUAGCAAUGAUACUUUCAUAGCAUGAAUUUAAUUAUAUGAUCCUGAUUAAUCAA